rnacentral:lncRNA from 1 species
CCUGUGCCCGAUGCGGGUGGGUCCUAGCAGUGCCGUGGUCGGUGCAGAGCAGUCUCAAGUGCUUCUAUUUCUUUUGUACUUUGUGAUUUUGAUUUUGCCUCUCUGAUUCGUUCCACGGGUGCCUUCGAUUCAUAUUCUAGGGUUUGGACUAUGAUAUCUCUUGUUCCAAUGUUUGCCUUCUCUGUGUUCAUCUGUGAGAGGAUGACACCAAUUGGCAGUGACAUUGCUGAGUCUCCAUUCAUGAAACUAAAUUAACACGUUGUGGGGCUAUAAACCCCUAUACCCUUACGGCUAGACUUGGGUCAGGAGGCUUGGCCCAUCAAGAAGACAGUCCGAGGCUUGAUCCAACUGCUCGGAGUUUCGCGCAAGGAAACAAGACGUGGAGAUCAAGCCGGAUUCUAGUCGGUUAGAAUAGGAAUUGAUAUUGUGCUAUCUAUGGCAAUUGUAACCGACUAGGAUUAGUUUCCAGAUUUGUAACCCUGCCCUGUGGACUAUAUAAAGAGAGGCAAGGGACCCCCUAGGUAAUUCAUCUCAACACAAUCCAAUACAAUCAGACGUAGGACGUAGGUAUUAUGCCCACGCGGCGGCCGAACUUGGAUAAAAACCUAGUCUGUGUCUUGCGUCACCAUCAAGUUCGUAGCUUGCGCACCGUCUACCAAUAAACUACUACCGUGGGUAUACCCCAAGGUAGACUGCCAACUAGCUUUCGUCGACAGUGGCGCGCCAGGUAGGGGGUGUGCGUAUAGCUCUCCCGACGAACAAGAUGGUCAUCGUUCCAGCUUCCGCGGCCGUGGCUGAAGGCCUCACGUUCACCGUCGGCCACAUCACGUGGACGACUCAUGGCGGCGGCCUCAUGACCACGACUUCAGAAGAAACCCAGAUCUGAUAUGGGACAGCAGGGGCGUCGAUUCCGAUCACGCCGACACCGAGCACCCGACCUCCGCUCCCUCGUUACAGGGGGAAAAAGGUCGACGACUCGGAUCUUUUCCGAGCUCUGGAUCGCGCCGAUCUCAGGCUCCUCGAAGCUUCCAAACUGGUAGAUUGGAUCUCGUGCCAAUCUGAUCAAGCGGCGUCGAGAAACUCUUUUGACUCCUGCCGGCCAACUCGUGUCAUCACACACAAACAGCUGGGGACGUCUCUAACAAUAACGUCCACCCCCACGGGGCGGUCCGUCAAGCUCAAGACAGCUCAAGACCAGAGUCCCCCUUAUGGACUAAACAACUCGGCCGAUCACUACUCACGGCACACCUAAUCCCUUUUCAACAGGGCGGGUUGGUCGCCGAGACAGAGCAGCCGAGCAGCUCGCCACUACGUCAACAUGGUAUCGAUCCAAGUACUACCGAACGACAAGGCUACUAGUACGAACUCCAGCACAGGGUCUGUCCCUACCGAGGUUCUAAACUCCGAGGACGAAGAUUACGACCUGGAUUUACCACUGUAUCCUCCAGGUUUUUCUCGUUUCCCAGUCUUUCCACCUCGGCGAGGAGAUCUUAUCUUCAAUGUCAGCAACGAUGAACCGGUUGUCGACGGAAAAACAGACGAGCAGAAGCAGGUCCGUGAACAGCGCAAUGCCGAUCGUGCUCGACGACGUGCGGAUGAGGAACAGCAACUUGCGCUGCAUAACCUCAGUGAUGCUUUCGACAUGGUCGGAGAUCAGCCAGUCUACAAGACGCCAAGCGCUAACGUGGCUGUUGCUAUGGCAAACCUGGACCGACUCCCUGAUACUCCUGAGUGCCAGGGCGUCCGAUCCAGUAUACGCGCACAUCUGAUCGCCGCGAUGGGACAGACAACCACGUUACUCAAAAGGGUCCAAGCCAUCUCCUACACAGAGGUCUCUUCCGACCAGACUCAUCACAGCCGGACUUCACCACGACCCAGCGAGCGCCAUCAUAGCCGCUCUCCCAACAACCGCAGGAAGGACAUGGGGCGCGACAACCGUGGUCGGGACACCGGCGGCUACCGCGAGCAGAAGCGCGGGCGUGGUCAGGAAGUAAACCAGGACAGGGAUCUACGAUACAACAUCCCUCCCAAGGACGCCUGCGACCGCAUCAACAGGCGUGCUAGAGAAAGAGCGGUACACGAAAACUUGCAACGCAUUGAGUACGAUGCCACCCACGGCCCUCCUGGCCUAAGACAGUUUUCUUCACACCAUCGCCAAGUCGUAUGACCCCACAACUUUAAACUCGAGAAGCUUAAAAAAUAUGACGGCAAGGAAAACCCUAAAAACUGGAUCACUCUCUAAGAGAUCGCAGUUCGGUCAGCAGCUGGAGACGAGCACGUCAUGGCAAAUUACUUCCCAGUCGUCCUUGACCAGGCUGGCCAUCAGUGGCUCCUCGGCCUGCCCGAGGACUCUAUUGACUAUUGGGAAGAACUGCACCAGGCGUUUAUUGACAAUUUCAUCGCUACCUGCAAGCAGCCUGGGAACAAGUACGAUCUCGAGAGAAUAAGGGACCGGAAGAACGAGCCUUUAUGUGAUUACAUCCGACGGUUCUCGGAUAUGCGCCUCAAGAUUCCAAAAAUUUCUCACGACGAGGCCAUAUGAGCCUUCAUCAAAGGCCUACGCUUCCAUGAAGCAUUAAGGAAUAAACUACUACACAAACGGCCGACCACAGUUGCCGAGCUUCUCGCCACAGCAAAAAACUACGCCGAUGCCGACGACGCAGAAAAACUCAUUCGAGAAGAUGCGAGAGGCACCGACCAGCCUCCCCGACGAGACGACAACCGUGGACGCUUCGACAACAGGAACCCUCAUCGCGCUGACAACCGCGACCACAGAGAAGGUUGGGACAGAUGACGCGACAAUCGCGACGACUUCAGGGGCAAGCGACCUCGUGACCACGACCACGAGGUGAAUACAGUCAAGCGCCCCAAUGGGCGGCAAGACUACCAGGAAGACUACAACAAGACGUUGAAAGGACCAUGCCAACGCCAUCCCAAGUCCAAUCACACGAUGGAAGAAUGCUGUGUCCUCAAAAGCAUCUACACACAACGGGCUGCUCAAGGGGAUUUCGCCAAGAAAAACGGGAAGCAGGACAGACAUGGUUACGAAGACGAAGAUGACGACCAGGAUAGGGACCCACGACACCAGUAUGUCAGUCCCACCGACGUGGUCCAUUCUAUCUUUGGAGGCAAAGUUUCCAUCGAGUCCAAACAAGAGAGAAAGCUCCUGAAGAGAGCCUGCCUCAAUGUGGACAGCACAGACGGCCUGGUCGCCGACCCGAAGUUUACUCCCUGGUCGCACAGGGAGAUCUCCUUCAACAGGAAGGACCAAUGGGCCGCCAUCCCAGAACCAGGACGUUUCCCCCUGAUCCUGGAUCCUUGCAGCAACAGCGUCAGAUUCGAGCGCGUGCUCGUUGAUGGUGGCAGCUCCAUUGAUAUUCUCUUCCGCAAUAGCCUGCCUGCUCUCAAGCUAACCCCGGCGUAGCUAAAGCCGUAUGACGCUCAAUUCUAGGGAGUCCUGCCAGGUCAAAGUUUAGUACCCCUCAGACAGAUAACGCUGCCUGUCUAGUUUGGAACACCUGACCACUUUCGAACAGAGUUUGUCAACUUUGUGGUCGCCGACUUCGACGGCACUUACCAUGCAAUCCUGGGCCGACCAUCGCUGACAAAGUUCAUGGCAGUUCCACACUACUCAUACGUGGUCCUCAAGAUGCCAACAAAGAAGGGCGUCCUAACUGUCAGAGGCAAUGUCUACACCGCAUACACUUGCGAGGAGGAAAGCUUCAAGAUCAUCGAGGCAAUCGAUCUCUCGAUCCGCAUGGCAGAAAUCGUAGCCCAAGCUACGCAGGUUCCAUCCGACCAGCUUCAACUACCCGAACAGGAGACUCCGCGGAAAAAUUCAAAGUCCAAAGAGCACAAGGAGGUGCAGCUGGUCGACGGCAGCCCCGAGAAAACCGCUCUCAUCGGGGCUAACCUAGACCCCAAAUAGGAAGACGCGCUCGUCAGGUUUCUAAGGGACAACAUAAGCGUUUUCGCAUGGAAACCCGUAGACAUGCCCGGCGUCCCAUGAAACCUGAUCGAGCACUCCUUAAACAUCUCGAAAACUGCAAGACCUAUCAAGCAGAAGCUACGACGGUUCGCUCGUGACAAAAAGGAGGCUAUUAGGACAGAAAUAACACGGCUUCUAGCAGCCAGAUUCAUUAAAGAAGUGUAUCAUCCUGAUUGGCUCGCCAAUCCGGUUCUUGUAAGAAAAAAGAAUAAUGAAUGGAUAAUGUGCGUUGAUUACACUGAUCUCAAUAAACACUGUCCUAAAGAUCCCUUUGGUCUCCCUCGCAUCGACGAGGUGGUCGACUCAACGGCCGGAUGCGAAGUCCUCUCUUUUCUAGAUUGCUACUCUGGUUAUCACCAGAUCUCACUAAAGGAAGACGACCAGAUCAAAACAUCUUUUAUCACUCCUUUCGGUGCAUACUGCUACACGACCAUGUCCUUCGGGCUCAAAAAUGCUGGAGCUACUUAUCAACGGGCCAUUCAGCAAUGCCUCCACGACGAGAUUCUUGACGACCUCGUCGAGGCCUAUGUAGAUGACGUCGUCGUCAAAACAAGGGACGCAAGCACUCUAAUCGACAACCUAGACCGAACUUUUAAGGCACUGAAUAAAUACAAGUGGAAGCUUAACCCCAAAAAGUGUAUCUUUGGGGUCCCCUCUGGACUACUGCUCGGCAACGUCGUCAGCCGCGACGGCAUAUGACCGAAUCCUUCAAAAGUUAAGGUAGUACUCGAUAUGCGACCACCUAAGAAUCUCAAGGAUAUUCAAAAGCUCACCGGAUGUAUGGCUGCUCUCAGCCGUUUUAUCUCUAGGAUGGGAGAAAAAGGCCUCCCCUUCUUCAAACUUCUAAAGGCGCCGGAAAAAUUCUCCUGGACAGAGGAAGCCGACGCUGCAUUCACCCAGCUCAAAACUUUCCUCACCUCACCACCCGUCCUCACAGCACCUCAACCUAAUGAGGACCUGCUCCUUUACAUAGCAGCAACAGAUCGGUUUGUUUCCACGACAAUGGUGGUCGAACGGGACGAGCCAGGCCACGUCUACAAAGUCCAGAGGCCUGCUUCAUAAGCAAAGUCUUAAUGAAUCCAAGACCAGGUAUCCUCAGGUACAAAAGUUAAUUUACGCCAUCCUGAUAACCUCAAGGAAGCUGAAGCAUUACUUCGAUGGCCAUCGGGUCUUAGUAACCACCAGUUUCCCUUUGGGGGACACUUUGCGCAACAAGGACACCAACGACAGAAUUGUAAAAUGGGCAAUGGAAUUAUGCCCAUUCUCCCUGGAUUUCCAGAGUCGCACUACCGUCAAGUCCCAGGCCCUGGUCGAUUUCAUCGCGGAAUGGACGGACCUCAACGAGCCCUCCUCUUCGGAUACCUCCGACCACUGGUCAAUGUUCUUUGAUGGGUCGCUAAAAUAUCAAUGGCACCGACGCCGGAAUACUCUUUGUGUCGCCUAACAAGGACAAACUUCGUUACUGUUGACGGUCCUUAAUGCUCACAUUUAACCAUCAACUAAUCAUGGAAAAAAGACUUAUAUGCAGCCAACACCUAGACUUAGGGUUUUAUCUGACAGAAUUCCACGAGUUUUGGUGUUUGUCUAUUUCUGCAGGGGGUUAUCAGGAAAUAUGAAAGAAAGGCCCACACGUCGGGUUUACAUAGAGAUAUUAACGUGCCGUGUAAUUUUCUACCAUUUAGAAGACUCCAGAAGCCACGGGAACGAACGGGAGGCCGAUCGGGCCCGGGGGCAGGGCGCCCGCCCAGCUACAGUAACCAAUCAGCUUCAACUUCGCGGAUCAUGCUCCACCGACCUAAGGGACCAAGGAAAACCGUGCGAUUAUUGUCGGUUUGAUCCGACGGCCCAGAUUCAUCUGAAAAGACUAUAUAAGCAAGCCCCCCUGGCCCCUAGAGAGCAUACCUCUUCUACAGAAUCAAAGCUAGGGUUUCAAUUCUUCAUCCAAGUAGAGAGGAUCCCUCUAGUUCUUCUAGUUCUACCUCUAGUUCAUCUAGAUCUAGUUCUAGUUCAUCUAGUUCUAGUUCUAGUUCCUCUAGUUCUAGUUCUAGUUUGUUCUAGUUGUAAUCUAGAAAAUAGGGAGAGAGAAGAGGAGAGCGGAGGAGGAGCCGGAUAUGUCGGAUCUUCCUCAACAUUGUACUUUUGCAGCAACUGGUUCGUUCUUCAUCGUUCUCCAGGUUCUUCAAUUCAUAAUUCCUGAGUUCUUUAAUUACUUUUAUUUACAUUCAAGUUAUUUAUUAGAUUCCUGCUUGCAUCAAGUGCUCUAAUCAUUAUAACACUAGAGUAGUAAUUAAUAGAUUAGAUGUGGUGUUUAGUCUUGCAAUUACCUGGAAUUGCACCAAAUCCUGCGGAUUGUUGUGGUAGCCUUAGGGUAGUGACAGCCCUAACGGUUGACGUAUUCCACCUCAUUCGGAUCGGUGUUUGUAGGACCGUAGUCAGACCUUCCUAGCCCCCUUCUCAUCUCUUUCUGUGGUUAGUGCUCUGAUGUCCCGAUAUAGAUAAUCUUGAAGUAAUUCUUGAUUCUUAGAUCAACUAGAGAACUCUCAGGAAACUUCCUCUCUUCCCACAAAAAAUAUUCAUAUAGUUAUCCUUGGGCCAUCUUGGAUCUUAAUUAGUACACUCACGUUCUCUGUGGAAAAUCGAUACUCUCGAAUACUCCCGGGUGAAAGCUACAUCGGUAUCCGUGCGCUUGCGGAUUUUUCUGUUUGCGUUUAAAAUACCCAACAGUUACGUUCUUAGGAUCCUCUUUCCGACAUCCAACAACGUCGCCGAAUACGAAGCAUGCCUACAUGGCAUACGACUGGCCGUCGAACUGGGAGUCAAACGCCUUUACGUCCACGGUGACUCCGCCCUAGUCAUCAACCAGUUAAACAAGGAAUGUGACACAACCCACAAAAAGAUGGACCUCUAUUGCAAAGAAAUUCGGAAAUGGGAAUCCAAUUUCUACGGCAUAGAAUACAUACAUGUGGUCCGGGAUAGGAACCAGGCAGCAGAUGCGUUGUCAAAAAUAGGGUCAUCUCGGGCCCAGAUUCCGCAAGGCGUUUUCGUUCAAGACAUCCACACGCCAAGUGUCGGUAUAGACCUGGUCGACAAGCAAGCCAAUGAGGCAAUGCUCAUAGACAAUACCAAUCCGACAACCAGCGGCCAUGAUUGGCACACUCCCUUCAUCAAGUAUAUAUCGAAUAGAUCGGGUUUUCAAGAUAAAACGGAGAACGAGCGCCUCAUUCGGUGGUCCAAGAAUUACAUACUGGUUGACGGCAAACUUAUGCGAAAGAAUGCAAGCUCAGAAGUGUUGCUGAAAUGCAUAUCCCAGGAUGAUGGCGUCAAGCUCUUAGAUGACAUACAUGCCGGGUCCUGCGCCAACCACGCUGCCUCCAGAACACUGGUCGGGAAGGCCUUCCGAGCAGGUUUCUACUGGCCAACCGUGGUCACCGAUGCUGAGAAACUGGUCCGACGCUGUGAAGGAUGCCAGUUCUUUGCCAAGAGGACCCACGUGCCUGCUCACGAGAUUCAAACGAUUCCGUCGUCCUGGCCUUUUGCCUGUUGGGGCCUUGACAUGAUCGGGCCAUUUAAGCCGGCCCCCGGCAACUUCAAGUUCAUCUUCAUGCUAAUCGACAAGUUCUCGAAGUGGAUUGAGUACACGCCACUGGUCAAAGCAACCUCCAAGAAGGCUGUGGAUUUCCUCAAUCAAAUCAUACACAGAUUCGGGAUCCCCAAUAGCAUAAUCACUGACCUGGGCACUCAGUUCACCGGCACUACAUUUUGGGACUUCUGCGAUGACAGGGGCAUAGUCAUAAAGUAUGUGUCGGUAGCUCACCCACGGGCCAACGGUCAAGUGGAGCGAGCGAAUGGAACGAUCAUCGAUGCUCUAAAGAAAAGACUGUACAUGGAAAACGACAAAGCACCAGGACGAUGGAUGAAAGAGUUACCAGCUGUGGUCUGGGGUCUCUGGACACAGGCCAGCCGCAAUAUGGGUGUAUCACCCUACUUCAUGGUUUACGGCACUGAAGCAGUGCUCCCUUCCGACGUAACCUUUGGAUCUCCAAGAGUCGAGAAUUUCGACCAGUCUUCGGCUGACCUCGCCAGAGAGCUCGAAAAUCAACUACACAGAAGAAAGGCGCCUAACCUCGUGCCUUCCAACAGCAAAGUAUCUCGAAGCUGUUAGAUGGUACCACAACAGGAACGUCAAAGACCACUCCUUCAUGGUCGGUGAUCUGGUACUCAAGUGGACAACAAGCUAGGAAGGAAUGCACAAGUUAUCUACACCUUGGGAAGGACCCUUUGUGGUCGCCGAAGUCACACGCCCUACAUCUUACAGACUGGCGUACCCAGACGGGACACGCUUUCCCAACUCCUGGCACAUAGACAAGCUGCGCCGUUUCUAUCCCUAAGUUCCAGUACAUUUCAUUUGUAAAUCUCUUACGAUCAGUAGUAAUAAACAUUUUUUAUUUCUUGCUAUAUACUUCUUUUAUAUGUAGAACUUUCGACAAGUGUCACAAUCUUCUUUUAGGACGAAGGUCCUUAAGGGUUAUCCACCCGACUCAGUGAUACAUCACUCAGACAACAUUGUAGCACUCAAAACCAUGGUUAUGAUAAAUCAACCUUUAUUACAAACUUUAUAUACAAAGUUUACAAUAAACACCCCUCUGGGCGGUCCCUAGUCUACUUCUACAGACUACUCUACAGGCCUACUGCUCGGGCUGAUCACCCGCACGGCCCUGCUGUCCAGUCGAAGGGGUCGGGGCCACCGACGUCUGGCUGGUCGAGACCGCAGGCGUCGACCGCCCAUGUCCUGCAAUGGACGCCCCCGACAACUCUCUGGCCGACCUAUCUGACCCGGGCUGGUUAGGGGGAGUUGCUGUCCCGCAGAGGUUGAUGUCACCGAUCAAUGUCGACGACAGAUCGAGCAGACCAACACGAAGGUCGUCUGCCUCCUGCGGACCAACCUCCUUGGGAUACCCCUCUCCAGCUGGGACAAGUCGACCAAGGGGUAGUGGGCACGCACCAUGCUGAGGACGUGCGCACCGGCAAAUUCCCUGGCGUCCGUGACAAACUGCUGAAGCCAGCCCCACGCUCGUUGCGCCUUCUCGACCGGGGUCAGCCUCGGUGCAUGGGGCUGGUCUUCGGGAAGCUCGGGGCUGAUCAAGUCAAGAACCGGGAUUACUUCUUUCUAGAUCUUGAUACAGUUGGCCUUCCAGGAGUCGCGGUCCUUGACCAGGUCGUCGAGGUGUUUCUUCGUAUUGACUUUAAGCACUAUAGAAAUGCAAGCAAGAGGUCAGUAUAAAGCGAGAGGAGGAAAGUUGUGUAAACAAAAGCAGCGAAAUGGCUCCUACCAGCCAACUCUCGACUCCUAUUCUUCAGCUCCUUGUUAGCCUGCUGCCCGGCCUCCAGCGCGUCGGCAUGCUCCUGGUCGAGCCGUUCCUUUUCUUGUCGGAGGCGUGCAACCUCCUCCUCCAAGUCUGUAGGAGUAAUUGCUGGUCAACAAAACCGACCACGCGGUUAUAUACAACUGCUCAGAAUGCAUGACUCCCCUUUCUUUUCCGGAUCCUUGUCGGCUAGUCGCCGAUUGAGAUCGAGCAGGCGCUCUUCCUGAGCACCCAUCUCGGCCGCCUUCUCCUCGGCCUCUGACCGAAGACGGUCUACUUCUGCGGUCAGGGCCUUAUUCUUGGCCACGACCCUUCAAUCUGGUCGAAGCACCUUUUCCUGUACUUCACCGUUUUCAUUGCGCCCUACACAGGAAUUACAUAUAUUGAAGCAAGCGACAGUACAUAUACAUUUCAGGCAGAACGCAAGACCGCUUACCUUAACCUCAUCAACGAGCCGCUUAGCUGCGCGCUCCACCCUCGCGCCUCCUCCGUCUCCGCGAGUUCUUCAUGACCAAUGAAAUGGUCCCCACGUUGGCGCCACACGUAAACGUGUUGGCGACCAUCAUGGGGGCGACCUUGGAUUUCUUCUACUUCGUCGUCGGAGGCCGCCUGGGUCUCCUCGCCCUCUGCGCUACCCCCAACCAUGGUCACAGGUAUCACUAGACCCUUAUCACGGCCAGGGGAGCCCUUUGGCGAAGAGGUUUCUGUUUGGGGUGGAGUUGGGGCCCUCCUUUCUUCAGCGGGCGGGGGAGUCGGCGCCCUGUCUCCCUCCUCCGCGACACUGCUCGGGGGAGGCGUCCUUGCAGCCUCAUCCCUUGCAGGAGUGCUCACUCCGGUCCUCGCCUGAGCUGGGUCCUCCUCGGCAGUCUCCGCCGCGAUCACCACCGUGGGCUGCACCUCGGUUUGUUCCUGGGUGGUCUGUUGCGCGACGUCUUUGACGACAACCGCUGGCUCGGCCGUCUUCUGGCUAUCGACGUUGUCCGGAUCAACGUCAGACGCCGUACUAACAAAAAUGCGACAUUUUACCAAUGUCAAAAAAUGCAGCACCAAAACAAAAAACAAAUAGGAGGAAGCGUAGAAGUGAGAUUAUACAACUUAUAGAUCGGAGCGCCUAUGUGUCGCUGUGAAGAACCUCCUUCUGGUCCUACCAGUCGCCGCCGCCGCCUCUGUCUCUCCAAGACGCGUCGGCUCGGCGUGUGGGGCAGGAGGGUCACUGGUCACCCAACCAGUAGUGAUCGGCGCGACGUCUGGACGACUGCGCGGCCUUCGGACCAAAGAGGGCACAGCCUCCUCCUCCUCCUCCUCAUCGUCGGCGAUCCUAAUGAGCCAACGACGCUUCGGAGCUUGGCUGGUCUCCGCCGGCAGCGUCUCCGCAGGAGAUGGAUCCACCGCCAUUGGCCUUUUCCCCGCCACCCUGUCCUCAGUGGUCGGGGCAGGGCGGUUCUGUUCCUACUCACUGCUGGUGUAUUGAGGACACCGAGCAGCAUCGCCCUCCGGCGGGUCCAUCCCCGCAGGAUUCUCCAUACCAGGUGCCAGUGACACGUACACUGCGCACCGGUCAAUGUCUCCAAUCUGCAAUAACAACCAACAACAAGUCAUCAACCAAGAGGCAACAGUAUUCACAUGACAAUACUAAUCAAUAACAAUAUUUAUUUACCUUAGGAGCUGGCCGUUGUUGACGGUCCUUAAGUAUCAAAUUUAAUUAUCAAAUAAACAAAGAAAAGGAUCCAAAUGAAAUCAACAUCUAGACUUAGGGUUUUAUCUGAUAGAAUUCCACGAGUUUUGGUGUUUGUCUAUUUCUGCAGGGGGUUAUCAGGAAAUAAGAAAGAAAGGCCCACAUGUCAGGAUUACAUAGAGAUAUCAACGCACCGCGCAAUUUUCUACCAUCUAGAAGACUCCAAAAGCCACGAGACCGAAGCGGAGGCGAAACGGGGCCAGGACCUGGGUGCCCGCCCAGUUUCCUUGGGCGCCCGCCCACCUGCCGAGGCCAAUCAGGACUCUUUCUCUCGGGAGAUCUCCACCGACCUAUUGGAUUCAGAAUAACGUAGUACCACCUCGCCUACCGACCCAAAAACGCAUAGAAGGGGAGGACUAUAUAAGGAGACCCCCCUGGCCCCUGCAGAAGACAAGAAAUUAUCAUAGAGAUUGAGGGGUGCUCUCGAAGGAAAACCUCUUCUCUAAAUAAUAUUUCUUUUUAGGCUUAGCAACCAAUGUAAAGUAGAAAUAGAUCUUCUAGUUUCUACUAGAUUGAGAGAGAUAGAGUGGAGGUGUGGAUCGGAGGAAGGCCGGCCUGUCGGUGUCUACUCCGAGUUGUACCUGUGGGAUCAAGUCUCCUAACCCGAGGCUUGCUUCUAAGAUUCUUCAGUAAUUCGACUUCUAAUUCUAGUAAGUUCUUGUUUUAUUGUUCUUUGGUUUAUGAGUUUACUUUAAUCCUCUUCCGGUUGAGUGUUAGAGUAAUCACUUGCUAGCGUAAACGUGGUGUUUAGGCUAGGGUACUCAUAGAUAUCCCAUGACUAGCUGGACCGUGGUAGUAGCGAGGAACGUGACAUUUCCGAGUUACCUUUGUAUCCCAUAUCUUGUUAGUAGGACGGGUAGGUUUAUAGGUGCGGGUCGAACAUCCUUUGUGUUGUCUAGAUUCCGUGAGCCUCCCCAAUAGAACGGUAGAUCAUCCUUACCAAGGUUAGAAUGAGACUACGGUUGCAGUCUUCUCUAUACAUCACUCACAUCGAGAGACAUUCUUUGUAGCCUAAAGGGAUAGUAGCAAUAGAUUUGGUUAGUCAGAUGCACCCUUUCUCCCAGUGGUAAAAAUAUAAAUACGAUACUCUGGAAAACCUCCCGGGUGAAAUGCUCACCGAUAUCCGUGCGCUUGCGUUACCAAAUAUCAACAAGCAUUUCUGGCACCGUUGCCGGGGAGAAAGACGGUUUGCUGAGAUAACUUUGAGUCUUGCUAUUAUCUUGUAUUAUACUUUUAUGCUUUUAUUCUUUUAUCUUUUUAUUUUUAUAUUUAUGGAUACUUUAAAUUCUAUACCUAUUAUUAAAUUCUUUACACCUUCGGAGACCAGCCAUAGACCAUGGGAGUCAACACGUCCUGCCCCUAAUUAUGAUCUGUGUCCGGAGUUGAUUGCAAUAGGUCAAAACCAACCCUUUUCUAUAGCCGAGGUCCUAUCUUUUAAUCAAGAAGAUAAUGCACUUUUAGCUACACCUAGGGAAUCUUUUAAUCUUUCUAUAAAUUCUGGUUUAGACCUAGCCCUACAAGACCAUGUUUUUCCUGAAUAUUUUCACAUUGGCCUUAAUCAUAUAACCUUUGGUAGAGUCCUUCUUUCUUUAUCUAUUAGUAAAGGAAGGUAUGUCUUCAUUCGUGGACAUCCUUCUUGUACUAGUCUUCAUAGAAAAAUCUUAGAAAUAGAGAAGGAAUCAUCUCCCAUACAAGGAAAGGAAGUUUCAAUAGCCAAUUUCCAAACAUUUCAAUCCCAUGAUUCGGCUAUCCAUCCCAUCCUUGAGUUUAAUAGUUUCUACUAUGCUCUUUCUCUUGAACCUCCCGAUAAUCCUAUGAAUCUCUCUAGACAUCCCAUGCAUAAGAAGGAGGAUCGAGAAGAGCAACAUCGAUGGCUAGAGGGCAUUAAAAAUCCAUGUGCUAUCACCAUUGAAUGGAUAGAUAAAACAAACUUGAGAGACAAUCCUAGAGGAAUUUUGAGCACUCAUGAAGAAUCAUCCUUGGAGUUUGAGAAUGAGAGAAACAACAGUGAGCAUGGAAGUUAUUUCAUAAAUACUUUACCAAGUCCUUGCUCAUAUAAAACAUCUCUCCAAUCAAUUGGUCUCUCCAUCCUUACCACAUUUGAGAUCUCCAACCCCCUCUUCCUUUCUAUUUAUAAAAACUUUAAAAGGGCGGUUGUCGAUGCAUAUGUCUAUAAUAAAUAUUGCAGAUCUCGUCGAGUUAAUUGAUGGUUUCCCAAGGACAAGCUUAGUGUCCUAAAACAAGCACUUAUCAGAUCGUAACAUGAACUUCUAAUUACUUGCAACAUUACCUUGUGUUGAGCAUAUAAGAUAAUUGUAGAAAUAUUCCUUCGGGUAUUCUUGUCACUAACCUUUUUAGGAUUGGAGCAAGAAGACCGGAUGAAUGACAAGCGCAAGGUAUGCCCAACCAAUCAACAUGCAACAUUGAAUUAAAUUCAUCCAAUCUUGAAUUUUGCAAAAUUCAAGCUUGGGGGAGUACUUCACAUAAAAACAUCCUUUGCCAUGUUGCUAUGUUGGUUGUCCUUACCUUUGAGACAUGCUCAAUUUGUUAAAUACUAAUCACACUACUUCAUCUCCACUUGAGUAGAUCUCUAUAAAAGCCAUCAUGCUACCUUUGUUUAUCCUAGUAAGUGUUAAUUUGGAAGUACUGGACACACUUCCAAUGGCAUUUAAAUUAAGCGUGGUGCUUAGGUUAAAUAGCCUUCCUUAAUCUGAUUAGACAUGGAGUCUAGUUUGGUUACUGAACUAAAAACUGCUUGAGUAGAUAUUGGUAUAUUUUGUGGGACUAACCCCUGCAGGAGAACUUUCAAUAUCAACCUGGGAAGUCCUGAGAUAAACUCACAUUGGAGAUGAAGAAAGUGACACAUGAAGUUUAACAAUUUGCACAAGAAAGACGUAGCUCAUAAGAGAUGAUUCAUGGAGGGUGCCACAAACACGAUGCACAACUGCUAAGAAAGGAAAGCUUCCACAAGGUGAUACUAUACCAUCACUCUUCAAUAACAUCUUAAAGUACUUGAUUAUCACUUUUAUAAGUUCUCCUUGGUUCUGGCAUACACAUGAAUAAAAGAGACAAACAUGUAUGAUUUAUAACUCCAAAUUAACCAACUCAAUUAAUUCAGCAUGUUUAGUCCUUUAAUCUUUGUUCUUAGUACUACCUUCGUGAUCCCACACUCCUAAUCAUAUAAGCUAAAGUAUUGCACAUUCAAUCUUUGGAAGAUAUAAACAAAACAUAAAUAUAGAUAGAUUAUCUUUCCAUUAGGUUGAGCCAUCUGAUCUAACAAAUGUUUUAAAUGCUACACUCAUGAUCCAUCAACUUUGCCUUGCUCACUAUGCUUAAGGUUAGAGAAGAACAAAUACACUUUUGGUUCUGUUGGUGUUUUCCACCAACAGGGCCCAUGCACUUGAUCUCUGUUGACACUUCUUAACGCAACCACCGGAUAUCGGCGACGGCGCCAGAAGUGCCCUGGUAGGGUAACUCUAUUUACUAUUGGAUAAUUCCGCAAGCGCACAGAAUGUACCGCUGUAGCACUUCACCAAGGAGUAUUCCAAGGUAUCGUAAUUUAUAUUUUCCCAAGGGAAAGCGGCUAAGUGUGUUUAACAAAAAGGGGAAUGAGAUUCCUUGAGUUAUCUAGUAUCAACUAGUGAAUAAGGGUGGUAAAUAACAAAUAGGAAGGGUAGUGGUGAAUCCAAGGUCCUAUGCUAAAGGUAAAUGGUAGAGUUAGCUAGGUGGGAGGACAACGAGUGAGUAAAGGACUCCUAUGUAUCUAACUUGACUUUUGUGACUUACUUUAAUAGAUAAUUGUCUUAACUACGCUAGAGCCUUACUAACUGUGUGCGAGGGAUAGCCGAGCUGGUAAGACGCUUAGAAGGUUUUUCACCUAACCCCUUACCGAAAGCGACUAUUGGGCUUAUGGACGCCUUACCUUUUAAGAACUAGCCUGUACGUGAGGAGAACCUAAUGCCGCCCACGAUCUGUCACCUACUAGGGAGUGCGCUCCUACUUUCCGUUCAAGCCAGCGGUAAUCAAAGGUAAUCUUAAGUAUGAGCACCACGCUCACACUUAAUCCUACAACGCUAACUAGUUGCAGCUAGCUAGAGCUCCUAUACAAGAUAGGACGAUGAUGCACACACAGGAGUGGUUACAGGUCACUAACUUCACUAAGACAACUAUAUUACUAAAGUAAAUGCACAACAAGACUAAAAGACUUGCACUAAGUAACAACUUAGUAAAGUAAAGUAAGAAUAAUAUAUUAAUAAAAGGAAAGUCUUACAAAAGUAGAAAGGUACAAGAGCUAUACCAGACUCUCCAGAAGACGACUCCGGAGACCCCGAGCUUCGCUCGACUCGACUCUAACUCCCACUCUAGACUAACUACUACUCUACUUGUAUGCUUGGAACUUGUAAUGCACUUGGCCUUGGAAUUGCACACUUGAAAUGAAGGAUGGAGGCUGCCUUUUAUAGAGGGAGAUGGAGUAGGGGUUACUCCAUCGCCACGUCAUCGAUCCGCGUGACAUCUUCUCUCCACCCUUGGAUCAAACCGACCUCACAACCGCCAUUUGAUCAACGGCAGGGGCAAAUCAACAUGUGGGACAUGUGGGGAAGGUCGGUGGGAGGCCACCGACCCUGGAACCGCCUUUGAUGUGGGGUCGGGCGACCCCACUUCUGGGCCUCUGGGCCCACCAGCAGUGUCCACAGGGGUCCCUUAUGUCGGUGGACUAGGUGGCACACCUGGGUCCCACCAAAGAGGGGUCGGGCGACCCCCUCCCUGUGGGCCCAGGGUGUCACCUGUUGUCCCCUCGAUCUCCUCUUGAUGAUUCUGAUGUUGGCUUUGUCAAAUAAUGUCUUGAAUUUGUUGUUCCUGCAUAAACAAGCUAAGAGUACAAGUGGAACUAGUUAUGGAUAAAAUAUGUUCAUGUCAUGUCGUUUCCCCUUGCAACCGAGGCAUGUUGACGGUGUUUUGUAUGUGGAUUUCUAUGGUAUAUCCACCGUCAACAAGAUCCCCCAAGCUUAACCUUUGCUCGUCCCGAGCAAACAAUCAAACUUAGCCUCGGUGGAUCAGGUAUUGUUACUAUGUUCACAUUUCAAGAGUACCAUGUGUACAACAAAGUUCUUCUCUUUGCAUGAAAAAUUUAGCUAUGUAAACUUACCCCUAUUACCUUAGUCCCUUAUGGGGCUUAUGGCUUUUCCUUUGUCUUAGGUGGUUGAGAGACAGAACAGUUUGACUUGAGCACUAACUUUCUCAUUCUUAGCAAGUUUGAUAUCAGAGGUUUUGUGAUAUUUUCAAAAGAAAGCUUAAAUGUUCCUCUUAUGGUUCUCUCAUGUCACUCAAAUGGUGUAUGAUUCCUCACCAAGGCAUAUGGUCAGAGUUGCCUUCUCUAUUUCAUCCUAUUUCUAAAAGGCUUAUGUGGAGUUCAAGGUAGGGAUGAAAGGAGAUAGCAUACUUACUUUGCAUGUAUUGCGAAGUCAAAGCUCGGAUCCUUGAAGAGAAGUGUCAUACUCCCAGAUCAAGAUGUGCAAGUGUGAUAUAUGGUGGAACUAGGUUGCUCCUUUAUUUGAUAGACUCUCUAUGUAUUGAGACAUGGCUAGCAUUUUUUUCUUUUUUUUUUGUUUAUAUAUGAGCUUUCAUGUGCUCAAUUUUCUUUUUCUGUGGACUUGCACAUGUCCAUCUUUUUAUUUCAUUUUGCCUAGCCUUUUGAUGUCUCAUUUACCAAAUAAUGCUUAGAGAGAUGUUCUAACAUUUAGAGUAUGGAGCAACCUAUUUAGUGGAUGCGAAAUACAUGUGGUUGCGUACUUCCAGUGUAGAAGCAGCAUAUAUAUAUGUGGUGUGUACGUGAUCUUGAUCUUAGGAGCAUGAAAAGUCUCUUAACAAGGGUCAACAAGACUUGACGACACUCAACACAAAGCAAAUAGCUUAUGUGGAAAGGUUGCAAUUAUGUAAAGUAGAUAUGGCUGUGGUAGGAAUUCAUCACCAUUGAGGAACAAUUAAGGUUUUGAUCAUUUUAAGAAUAAAUCUCUGAUAAUCAUGCAUGCUUAGAAAAAUAUUAUAGUAGCUCUUGUCUUACUAUCUCAUGUCCCACAACAACUUAGACUUAGUUCUAGCACUUGCAACCCACAAAGUUUUUAGGUUCAUGGCAGUUUAAGUGAGCUAAGUGAUCCAUACUUAGAGAAAUACUAAGUUGUAUACUAGGCACUAGAGAAACAUUAACAAGCAACUAGUCAUAAUUUCCAUGAGGGAUAUAAACAUACAUGAAGCAUAUAUGCUAAAGGGAAAUGCUAAUAAAUAUUUAUUUAUUUUUUUAAGUAAGAAUGAUAAAAUGUAUGAAAAUAAAUAGGAUAGAAUACUUACCUUAGUGGGGGAGAGGAUCUCCCCCAAGCUAGAUCUUCGCUCACUGUGGUGGCGGGAAAUUCUGGUACCAUCCGGCCCAACGUUGUGCGUCUUCCUCUCGCACACGUCGGAUAUGUUGGCCGUUUUGUAACGCCAGUUGCAAUGUUGCUUCUUGCCCAAUCUGCAAUUCGCCCAUGUCAUUAAUGAGACUGUCCAUACCUGUGGGCUGGUGACGCCUAGCCCUGUCCCUUGGGCGUGGAGUGCGUUGUGGAGGUAGACCCAUGGAGUCUGAAGCAUCCACUGACAUCGCUUCAUCGCCCUCUUCAACAUCAUGGUGCGAGGAUCCUCCUUGCUCCAUCUGGGCGGCUUGCAUCAUCCUUCUUGUCACCCUGCGUGUCCCUGCAACAUCUGGACUUGCCACUCGGGCUAGUCUAAUGGUAAGUGUGCGGACCCCAUACAACCGGCGCCUCGCACAUGGGAGAGGAAUUUCGGUUGUAUAGCCCGGAUAAAUCAUUUUAAGUUCACCAUUUGGAUCUCUUAUGAGCAUGUUAGCAUUGAUAAAGAAGUUCUCAUCUACCACUCCUCUAACAUAGCCAAUGUCUUCAAAAUAAUGUGAUUCAAGUAAUCCAAAAGUAUCGGCUAUUCGAGUAAUAAAGGAUGUGAAAUAGAUGGGCUUCCCAUACUCAAUAGAGUUAAGCCAAUAGUUCACUAGCAGUUUCACAGGGGAGACCUUGAUUUUACUAACCAUGGCAUAGAGAAUUUUAAGUUCAUCAUCAAUUAAAGUAUCAGUUCCCAUGCCAGGAUAUAGAGUGCACAUGAUCCAGAAGUGAAGAAAGCGCAAGGUUGGAUUAUGGAUUUCAAUGGGAGUAGGAUUUGAACAAUCAUUAGAGCCAGAAAUUGCUUUCCAGAAUCUAAAUUUAUCGAACAUUCUAGUGGCAUGAUCUAGAUCAAGUUCACAUUCAUGUUCACACCCUAAAGCAGUGUUUAGCAAACUCCAAUUUAAUUGAUGUUCUUGCUCACACAUGCGAAAAGAUAUUCCAUUAUUUGUGAGUUUUAGGGUGCAUAGAAAUUCCUUAGCAAGCAAUUCUUUUCCAAAUUCAGGCACUUGCCAAAAACUACUCCAACCAAUUGCUCUAAACACCUUAUCGAAUUCAACAUCCAUACCUGUGCGGGCCAAAAGGUCCGGAUCGAUGAUGCUAGUGUGUAGGAAGAGACCCUCUCGGAUGAUGUAGUACCUUUGCAACUCUUCUUGGCUUAACAUGAGGCCGCUCUCGGGCUCUCUCAUCCUUGAUGGAGGCUCGUAGGGUACCAUCCCAUGGUAACCUUCUUCUUUCUCCCUUCCAUGAGCAUGGUGAGAGCCUUGAGAAGAGCUCUCACCCUUUGCUUUCUUGAACUUGCCGAAGAUAUGCUUCUUCAUCCUCCUACACAAGUGAGGCAAACCAAGCUCCUACUACUACUACUAUGCAAGGGGAAUCUUUUUGGGUUUUUGUUUUGAUGACUAUUUCUAAACUAAACUUGAGAAAUGGCUUGUAACAAAGAGAGAAGAGAAAGGAUUGUGAGCUCGAAAUGGUUCUGGUGGUUUUGGGUGUGGAGUUGAGCUCACAAUGCUGUGGUAUUUAUAGGGGGAGAAGGGCAAGUAGUGGACCCACAAUAUAGGGGUCGGCCGACCCCCCCUAGAAGCACUUUGAAUUUGAGUUUAGCUUUAUACAGGGAACCAUUCUGCAUGCUUUCAAGAUUUUGCAGAGAUGGUCCAAAAUGGGGGUCGGCCGACCCCCAUCCUAGCCCCUCCUCCACUUUAAACAUUGUGUCAUUGAUUGUCCGGAAAAGUAAAGGCUAGGUGUGGACCAAAAGUUUUCAAAUUGUUUCUGAGAUUCCCUGUUUUAGUGCUUUGUGAAAGGUAAAAGAUGAAUGGCAAAAGUGGAGACAUGUCUAAAGUGAUUCCUAUGGACCAUGGGAGCACUCAAGCAUGCCUAGGUGACCACUUUGCAGAAUUUAAGCUAGUGGAGUGGUCCCAAAAGAAUCAAAGAUGAAAGGAGCAUCUUAUGACUAAAGUAAAGGAUCAAGGGACCACUCUUUUUCAAACUUCAGCUAGUGUUACAAGCAUAGGACUCCAUUGUGAUUCAAAUGGUGGCCAGCAGGAGGCAAGUGGGGCCAAUAUGGGGGUCGGCCGACCCCCACAUUGGAGCUCCCAGAGCAUCCAAGUGCUGGGUUGGAACCUCUAUGACUAGCAAGGUUGAAAUGCGGUGAAGUGGGCCCCAAGGUGGGGUCGGGCGACCCCCCUUUGGGAGCUCCAGCAGCUCAAAUUUUUAUGACAAGUUAUUCUCAAGAUUUUAUUUAUUAUGGCUAAACAUUUUGUCGAAAUAAGAUAUGCAAAAUUCAAAGUAAGAAUGCAAUUGAAAAGUGAAUAGUAGAAAUUGAAAUGCAGAAAAUAAAUAUGGGAUAACUACUGAUUUACCUUAUCAGCAAGGGCUCCAUGUUUUAGGUCCAUAGAGCAGGACCUCUCCAUCUUGUUCAUCCUUCGGGUGCAUCAGAUGGUCCCGGAGACGUGGACCUUGAUUGCACCUCUUUCUCCCGCCAUACUUGCUUGGUAUUGAUUUUUGGUUCAGCGGGUUCCUCUUCUUUCUUUUCGGCCCUUUUGGCCGACUUACCUCUCUUGUCCCUUCGGCGUCGGAUGUGGCGAGGCUUAGUCGGAGGUUCUUUGUCCUUCACCUGCAUGUUAGCUUUAUAACCAUUGAAUGGACAUUUUACCUUCCAUCCUGGGAAUUGGAGGUGAAUCUGGCCGGACCCCACAUAGAUGACUGCAUUGACCGUGUUGAGGAAUGGCCUUCCCAAGAUGAUCGAGACAUCAUUAUUGGAUCCCAUAUCUAGAAUGAUGAAGUCGGCAGGGACGUAGUCGUCUUGAACCUUUACCAGUAUGUCCCUUGCCAACCCCUCAGGGAACCUGAUCGUCUGAUCUGCCAUCUGCAAACGAACAAAUGUGGGGUGCAAAGGCCCCCCUAGCAAAUUAUCAUAAGUUACCUUGGCCAUGAUGUUGACACCCGAUCCAAGGUCGCAGAAGGCGUUGUGGAAGAUUUGCGGUCCGAUCUCACAGGUGAUGGUCGGCAGGCCUGGGUCGUCCUUCUUGGUGAUGAAGGGCGAAUCCAGAAGAUAGCUCCAGUUGGAUUGUACCGGAGGCUUAACGAACCUCGUAGUAACUAGUUUAACUCCUUCAAUUGGGUCCUCAGGUUUCCCUGGGAUCUUACCUUGCUCGAAGGAUGGGACAGCUGCUGCUAAUUGAGCUAAUUGUGUUUCUAGCAUUUUGUUAAAGCUCAACUGAUUUUUCAUAGCAGAGUUAAAGCUAUCCAACUUUUCACUUAAGUUUUCAAGGAUCUUAUCAUUAGCCAUCAUUUUCUUGUUAAUGCUAUCAUUGAUUUUAGAUUGGCCUAAGACAAGAUCUCUAAGAGAAGGUUGGUUACCAAAAGAAUUAUUGAAAUUUUGAUUGUAACCAUUACCUUGAUUACCUUGGUAGAAAGGGCGCGAGUUCCAUUGCUGUUGUUGGGGCCGGUACCCAUUGUUGUUGUUGUUGAUGAAGCUCACUUCCUCCUUUGUUUCGGGACAAUUGUUUCCCGAAUGAUCAUCUCCUCCGCACACUUCGCACCAUGAAUCAGAUUCAAUGGCCCGUGCAGUGGCGUAAGGUUGAAUGGUCUCUUGCUUGGAACUUUCUUCCAUCUUCUUCAUUAAGAGGUCCAUCUUAGCAGAGAGCAUGUCCACCUCAUUCAAGGCAUGGACACCUCUUCUCUUGGGUUGGAGGCAUUCCUCAUUCCAUCCUUGGUUUAUAACCAUCUUUUCAAUGAGGUCCUUGGCAUCCUUGACAUUGUGUUGCAAGAAUGCUCCUCCAGCGGCAGCAUCAAGGUGACUACGGGCCAAACCGGUCAGGCCAUGGUAGAAACCUUGGAUUAGGAGCCACUCCUCUAUCCCAUGAUGAGGACAGGCGCGAAUGUACUCCUGCAGACGUUCCCAUGCUUCGGGAAUCGUCUCAUCUGCUUGCUGUUGGAAGCUGGAAAUCUUUCCACGAAGGGCGCUGGUCUUGCCCAUCGGAAAGAACUUCUUGAGAAAUGCAUUGGCGCACCUCUCCCACGUGGUCACUUCACCCUUGUUGGCGUAGAACCAUUGCUUCGCCUUCCCCAAUAACGAGAAUGGGAAGAGGCGAAGACGGAUGGCGUCUGCGGCGACAUUCUUGAUGGUGAAGGUGCCGCACACCUCCAAGAAGUGUUGGAGAUGGGCAUUGGCAUCCUCGUGUGGCUUUCCACAGAAGGGAUUAGCUUGCACCAUAUUGAUAAGCGCAGGCUUCAACUCAAAAGUCGCAUCCCCCAAGUUAAGCUGCGGACCCGUGGCGACAUUGUCAGCCGACGGCGCAGAGUACUCAGAGAUGGUCUUUUGGGCCAUAGCUUCUUUGAUAACCGGUGCAGAUACUCCUUCCUCUAACGGAUUCAGGUUCGAGAUGAACCUUUGAGGUGGAACUUGACGACGUCUAGUUCUCCUCAACAGUUGCUCAGGAUCUUCAACGAAGUUUGACGGCAAUUGGAAACCGCUCAUACACUGUCAGGCUUCACAAUAAAGGAAGACAAGACAAGUGAUGGGUUAUCCCUAUCACUACUUGAUAACUAGCAAACUCUGGAUUCUCUUUUUGUUAAAACUCUUAGACAGACGCUCUCCCCGGCAACGGCGCCAGAAAUGCUUGUUGACACUUCUUAACGCAACCACCGGAUAUCGGCGACGGCGCCAGAAGUGCCCUGGUAGGGUAACUCUAUUUACUAUUGGAUAAUUCCGCAAGCGCACAGAAUGUACCGCUGUAGCACUUCACCAAGGAGUAUUCCAAGGUAUCGUAAUUUAUAUUUUCCCAAGGGAAAGCGGCUAAGUGUGUUUAACAAAAAGGGGAAUGAGAUUCCUUGAGUUAUCUAGUAUCAACUAGUGAAUAAGGGUGGUAAAUAACAAAUAGGAAGGGUAGUGGUGAAUCCAAGGUCCUAUGCUAAAGGUAAAUGGUAGAGUUAGCUAGGUGGGAGGACAACGAGUGAGUAAAGGACUCCUAUGUAUCUAACUUGACUUUUGUGACUUACUUUAAUAGAUAAUUGUCUUAACUACGCUAGAGCCUUACUAACUGUGUGCGAGGGAUAGCCGAGCUGGUAAGACGCUUAGAAGGUUUUUCACCUAACCCCUUACCGAAAGCGACUAUUGGGCUUAUGGACGCCUUACCUUUUAAGAACUAGCCUGUACGUGAGGAGAACCUAAUGCCGCCCACGAUCUGUCACCUACUAGGGAGUGCGCUCCUACUUUCCGUUCAAGCCAGCGGUAAUCAAAGGUAAUCUUAAGUAUGAGCACCACGCUCACACUUAAUCCUACAACGCUAACUAGUUGCAGCUAGCUAGAGCUCCUAUACAAGAUAGGACGAUGAUGCACACACAGGAGUGGUUACAGGUCACUAACUUCACUAAGACAACUAUAUUACUAAAGUAAAUGCACAACAAGACUAAAAGACUUGCACUAAGUAAGAACUCAGUAAAGUAAAGUAAGAAUAAUAUAUUAAUAAAAGGAAAGUCUUACAAAAGUAGAAAGGUACAAGAGCUAUACCAGACUCUCCAGAAGACGACUCCGGAGACCCCGAGCUUCGCUCGACUCGACUCUAACUCCCACUCUAGACUAACUACUACUCUACUUGUAUGCUUGGAACUUGUAAUGCACUUGGCCUUGGAAUUGCACACUUGAAAUGAAGGAUGGAGGCUGCCUUUUAUAGAGGGAGAUGGAGUAGGGGUUACUCCAUCGCCACGUCAUCGAUCCGCGUGACAUCUUCUCUCCACCCUUGGAUCAAACCGACCUCACAACCGCCAUUUGAUCAACGGCAGGGGCAAAUCAACAUGUGGGACAUGUGGGGAAGGUCGGUGGGAGGCCACCGACCCUGGAACCGCCUUUGAUGUGGGGUCGGGCGACCCCACUUCUGGGCCUCUGGGCCCACCAGCAGUGUCCUCAGGGGUCCCUUAUGUCGGUGGACUAGGUGGCACACCUGGGUCCCACCAAAGAGGGGUCGGGCGACCCCCUCCCUGUGGGCCCAGGGUGUCACCUGUUGUCCCCUCGAUCUCCUCUUGAUGAUUCUGAUGUUGGCUUUGUCAAAUAAUGUCUUGAAUUUGUUGUUCCUGCAUAAACAAGCUAAGAGUACAAGUGGAACUAGUUAUGGAUAAAAUAUGUUCAUGUCAUGUCGUUUCCCCUUGCAACCGAGGCAUGUUGACGGUGUUUUGUAUGUGGAUUUCUAUGGUAUAUCCACCGUCAACAAUCUCUGCCUUGUCUCUAUGAAUAGGUACACUUCAAACAAAACAUGGAGGAGUUUUACAACUCCCAGAUUCCACCAAGUGAAGAACCGGGAUCUACGAGCACAAACACAAUGGAGAUAAGACACUUAGUUUCCCAAAGGAAAUAUUGAAGAACCUCUGUGUCCGAGUUGGUACCUUGUACGCUCCAGCAAACUUCGUGGUGAUAGAGACUGGUACUGAGGAGAGGGCACCCAUCAUCUUAGGGAGGCCAUUCCUAAACACCAGAGCUGUCAUCUAUGCUAAUGCUACCAAGAUCAGUCUCUACAUCAAAGGGAAGAAGGAGACUUUCCUUCAAGAACAAGACUACACAAACUUCAGAGCAAUCCUAACAUGAACCAAGGAAGAGGACCAACAGGAGGAACAAGAACAAGCAAAUGUGGACCGAGUCAGCUGAGAUGGUCACUGCAGCUCAAGGAGGUCAAGAUCGUCGACUCAAGUCACCUUUCUUGAUCAAGAAGGACAAUCCUGGUGUUCCAAGCAUCGAGUGCACAAUCAAUGGAAACUCUUUUCAGAAGACACUCUACAACAUCGGAUCUAAUGACAACAUAAUGGCCGCAGUCACUUAUCAGCUCCUGCAUGGAACCAUGCUCCUACAACCAAUAUACAUUCGGCUCCAGGUAAUUUUCAGGUCAUUAACAUGGGAGAAGACGAGUAUGAUGCACCCACCAUCCUCGGAAGACCGUUCCUCAACACUAUCAAAGCAAUCAUCUAUAUUGGAAUCGGAGAAGUCCACAUACACUUCUCCUCUGAGAAGGUAUGCCACUAUUUUACUGACCUUAACUAUAUAGUUGAAGACUCUAAGCAGGUCAGGACAAGAAGAAGACAACGCAACCGCAACCAGAGGAGGCAAAUCAUCAAGAACGGAUGGGUAGACUACGAAGGAGAAGUGAUAAGGUCUGAAGACAUAUAGCUUGAACAGAACUGUCCUGAGGAGACCGUAGCACCGAGUCAGGUGUAGAGAGAGAAGAUAGUUAUAGCCGCCGGAAUCACCGACUACGCCACCUAGCGAAUCCCAGGACGACUGAGAAAACGGAGAGUCCCGUUCGUAGGACUUAAAAACACCAAACGCCUUGCCAAGAGGUAAACUUGGUAGUUAUCCUUUUCCUUUCAAUUAUUCAAUUAUAGUUUGCUUAGUUAAUCAGGUUCAUGCUAUCUUGAAAAGAAAAUAAAAAUGUUAAAAAAAUAGUAAGCCCCAUGUGAGUAUGCUCAUGACAUAAAACCCAUAAGUACAUUCAUUGUGGUGGCAUAAAAAUAAAAUAAAUAAGUUUUCAUCUUACAAUAAAAAUAUAAAAAUAAUAAGUGCAUGAUCCUGCUAAAUAAGUAACAUUUAUUGAGGAGGCUCAACAUGAUAAAGGCUAGAUAUUUAUGCUAACACUUAACCAGUUCCACAAAGCUUUGUUGUCUAUUUGAGCUCCACAUAAUUCAAGGAUCAAAGAAGACUAGCAGACGGAGGACAUCCUAAUCGCUGUUAGGGUGCUGCCGACUUUCAAAUACACCUCCAUCACCUGCUAGCUACAUCAGAAGAAAUUACGUCAAAAUCCAGCUUGGAGGAGAGCACCCCAUUUAUCCAGCUAAGUAUUCUACUCGCGUUUAUACUUUACUCAAAUAAUAAAAAGAUGCAUAAUCAUGAAAAAACAAAUAAAGAUUUUUGUGCUUUUAUAUAUAUCUUUGCUUAGUUUGCUAAAUAAAUAAAUAAAGUUUGCUAUGAACCCUCAUGAUAAACUCUCACAUGGAAAUGAUGAAUAGUUGCUCUGCCAUGACUAGUUCUUAAAAUUAAAAUCUCUCUCAAGUUUAGGCAUAACUGUUAUAAUUUAAACCUACUCUAAAUCUGAACUUGUGGGAAGAGAACUUGAUCUAAAGUCUAAGUCGUUAACGGAUAUGAUAUGGGAAGGUUGAGCUGCUGUUUAUCUGUUUCUAGAGAUGCUAGAAUUCUGGAGAAUUUUAUCUUUAAAAAUCUUUAAAAUGACACAUGAUGAGUUCCUGUAUGAUGAGAGUUUAAAAUCCUACCACAGCCAUAUAUACAUGCUUAUUAGACUUUGAGCCACACAUUUACUUUACUGCUUAUGAGCAUUGAGUGUGGUCAAGCUGUGUAGACCCUUAGGAGCUUGUCAUGUGGUUAAAAUCAAGAUUCACUUGCACGUUCACUCAUACAUGCUACUUCUACUCCGGAAGUACGCAUCCACAUACAUCCACUCAUUUCCAUCUCCAGAUUCAUCCAAAAUUAUUCUACUCCUAAUCCGGAAGAGAAUAGCCAAAAACAUUUUCCUAUACCUGUUAUUCCCUGUGAAAUAAAUGCUCCAGUUAUUUUGGUUACUACCACUUGCUAUAUUAUUUUAGGAGAUGAGUGCUCUAAAAAAAGAGAAAAUAAAUAAAUAAAUAAAUAAAUAAUAUACGAGGAAAUAAGAAGGGGCAAGUGCCCGGAACCUCGAAGAAAAGAAAAAGUGAGACGAGAGGUAAAAAUGGACAAGUGUCCGACAGUAGAAUUAGGGGUACAAGAUACCCACCUGAGAGAAAAAGAAAAAGAAAAUAUAGAGCAUCUCAUUCUCCUCAAAAAAGCUUCAAAGUGCAAGAAAGGUAUGUAUCCCUCAAAAGAGAAAAAGUAGAAUUAGACUUUCACCAUUAUUAUCAUCAUCAUCACCAUACACCAUUCAUUCGCCACACAUGCACAUCAUGAUUUGACUUAUUGACUUGUCUCUCUGGAUCCAUGGUUUGACUAUGCAAUAAAUGUCUUGUAAGUAUGUAUUAGCUGUCUCCCACCUAUGAGCUCCAGAUAUCAAAACCUUAUUAGAGUAGGGUGAGAAAGAAGGCAAUAUCACUAUGCAUUAUACCAAAAAUACCACAUACUUUGAGAAAAGGCAUAUACCAUUACUGCCAGAAAUAUGACAAAAGAGAGAUCUGAGAGAGUCAUACAAGGAAUCUCUGAGUUUUAUUUGAAAAUCUGCAAAAACCCCAGAGCUAUAGCUGAUCAAGAAAAAGAGACAUGGCGCUUGACUUGACCGUUCUAUCUUUUAACUGCUCAAGACACAAGUAACGGUUACAAGCCCCAUGGAGAAAGGUAAAAUGAGUAAGUUUUAAGUCUUAACAGUUUAUUCUAACUCAGAGAUGAGAUCUUGCUUGAAUGCGUGUGUACUUUUAAGGCAUGAAACCACUGCAGAAACUCUUGAGUUCAUCCUUGCUCAGGGACGAGCAAGAGGUAAGCUUGGGGGAGUUUGUUGACGGUCCUUAAGUAUCAAAUUUAAUUAUCAAAUAAACAAAGAAAAGGAUCCAAAUGAAAUCAACAUCUAGACUUAGGGUUUUAUCUGACAGAAUUCCAUGAGUUUUGGUGUUUGUCUAUUUCUGCAGGGGGUUAUCAGGAAAUAAGGAAGAAAGGCCCACAUGUCAGGAUUACAUAGAGAUAUCAACGCACCGCGCAAUUUUCUACCAUCUAGAAGACUCCAGAAGCCACGAGACCGAAGCGGAGGCGAAACGGGGCCAGGACCUGGGCGCCCGCCCACCUGCCGAGCCCAAUCAGGACUCUUUCUCUCGGGAGAUCUCCACCGACCUAUUGGAUUCAGAAUAACGUAGUACCACCUCGCCUACCGACCCAAAAACGCAUAGAAGGGGAGGACUAUAUAAGGAGACCCCCUGGCCCCUGGAGAAGACAAGAAAUUAUCAUAGAGAUUGAGGGGUUCCCUCGAAAGAAAACCUCUUCUCUAAAUAAUAUUUCUUUUUAGGCUUAGCAACCAAUGUAAAGUAGAAAUAGAUCUUCUAGUUUCUACUAGAUUGAGAGAGAUAGAGUGGAGGUGUGGAUCGGAGGAAGGCCGGCCUGUCGGUGUCUACUCCGAGUUGUACCUGUGGGAUCAAGUCUCCUAACCCGAGGCUUGCUUCUAAGAUUCUUCAGUAAUUCGACUUCUAAUUCUAGUAAGUUCUUGUUUUAUUGUUCUUUGGUUUAUGAGUUUACUUUAAUCCUCUUCCGGUUGAGUAUUAGAGUAAUCACUUGCUAGCGUAAACGUGGUGUUUAGGCUAGGGUACUCAUAGAUAUCCCCUAACUAGCUGGACCGUGGUAGUAGCGAGGAACGUGACAUUUCCGAGUUACCUUUGUAUCCCAUAUCUUGUUAGCAGGACGGGUAGGUUUAUAGGUGCGGGUCGAACAUCCUUUGUGUUGUCUAGAUUCCGUGAGCCUCCCCAAUAGAACGGUAGAUCAUCCUUACCAAGGUUAGAACGAGACUACGGUUGCAGUCUUCUCUAUACAUCACUCACAUCGAGAGACAUUCUUUGUAGCCUAAAGGGAUAGUAGCAAUAGAUUUGGUUAGUCAGAUGCACCCUUUCUCCCAGUGGUAAAAAUAUAAAUACGAUACUUUGGAAAACCUCCCGGGUGAAAUGCUCACCGAUAUCCGUGCGCUUGCGGAUCAUUUUGUAAUUGCGUUACCAAAUAUCAACAGCCGUCCCAGCUUGAAGGCGUGCAUCCGAUCACUGCUUCGAACAAAAUUGUCAUCCGAUAAGUUGAACAGCUCGUUCAUCAGCUGCUGGACCUCCGCCUUCUCUAGACCAUCCGGGCACAUUCUGGUCGGGUCUUGGCUCCCCGCAUACUCGUACGCCGAGUGUAUCCUCCUCUAGCAAGGCAUCACCCGACGCACAAGGAAGUUCCCGACCACUCCUGGCCCAUCUAAGCGGGACCAGUCGAUCAGGCUCAUCAGAUCUGCCACUUGGCCCUCGUACUCUGGACGGUCCGUCCAGCGGACCCUCUUCUUGGGGAUGUAGCCCACGUCGCAGAACGUGGCGCUGCCCGGUUCUUCAUGGAUGUAGAACCACUUCUUGUACCAUUCGGUGAGAGAAGUGUUCUAUGGGCAGCUGAGGUACCGGUUCUUCAUCCCAUCGCGCAGAUUGAGGUAUACUCCACCUGCAAUCUUGGAGCCUCCAACUGCCCCUUUCUUCCUCAGACAGAAAAGAUAGCGAAAAAGAUCGAAGUGCGGCUCUAUUCCAACAUAGGCCUCGCACAAAUGAAUAAAGGUGGAAAGAAGGAGAAUUGAGUUCGGGUGCAAGUUGUAGAUCCCGAUCUCAUAGUAAAGAAGGAGGCCUUGAAGAAAAGGAUGAACUGGAAUCCCAAAACCCCUCUUGAAGAAAUCCUCAAAAACGACAAUCUCACCAGCAUGGGGGUCGGGGUAGCUUUCCCCCUCUGGCGCCCUCCAUCCUCUGAGUUCUUGGUUGUGAAGGAGCCCCUUCUCGACGAGGUCGUUGAGAGACCGUGUGUUGCUCCGAGAUUUUUUCCAUUCUUUGGCCAUCAUCUCGGCCCUCUUCUUGGCAUCACUCUUCGCCAUCUCAACUCUCGAAAAGUCUCGAGCUCGGUUUUGGGGUUUGAAGGUGGUGAAGAAGAUGGAGUUUCUGGCAAUAGUAUGCAACUGCUGGGUAAAAAGAAAGGAUACGACCUUGAGCCUUUAUAACAAAAACUUCGCCUCUUCCACUUCCCGCAUUCUUGGGAAGUGGGCGGAUCCUGCGGCGGCUGUGGCGUUUCGGUUUUCAAUAAUUACCGUCAAUUAAUAUGGUGGCUUUUCUACAUAAUUGGUGCUUUCCUUUUCUUGAACCACACAAAGAGCAGCUGCACAGUUACCAGGCGCACCUUUUUACGCAACAGUCUGACAAUGACCUAGGAUGCCUUGUCACAUCACGCAUUAAUGUGGCGAGAUGCUUUUUCUAAAAGACAAGCGGAUCUGGUGGAGGACCGUACAUGACAUACUCGGGGACUGGUCGACCAGCACGCCCAUUUGAGCGUCUGGGGACUGUACCGACCACCAAGCAUUAUAUGCUCGGGGACUGGUCGACUAGUCUGUUCCAUUGCAGACGAGCAUGAUAUGCUCGGGGGCUGGUCGAUUAGUCUGUUCUGUUGCAGACGAGCAUUAUAUGAUCGGAGACUGGUCGACCAGCACGCCCAUUUGAGAGUUUGGGGACUGUACCGACCACUGAGCAUUAUAUGCUCGGGGACUGGUCGACCAGCACGCCCAUUUGAGAGUUUGGGGACUGUACCGACCACCAAACAUUUUAUGCUCGGGGACUGGUCGAUUACUCUGUUCCGUUGCAGACGAGCAUGAUAUGCUCGAGGACUGGUAAAUUCAAUUUUUUAGACCUUGCUACAAGGCUCAUACUUCACCUUCCAGCAAGCUCGGAGACUAUAUCGGUACGAUGCAUCUGGCGAUGCAUCUCAGUUUUGGAAUUUCUAUGAAGACUUUUUUGACCCUGGUACCACGUGCCUACGUCAUCUACUACCAGGUUCGGGGACUAAGUGGGCACACUUCACCUUGCGGUGAACAUGCUUGCUUUUUGAAAGUCUAUACUUUUUAGAAAAGUAAAGUGGGCACACUUCACCAGGAAAGAAAUCUUUUUUGAUUAAGAGCACCAUGCAUUCUUCGAACAACCUACUUCUUCGAUGUCCAUGUUGAUCAACUGCCUUUUGAGUUGGUUAAAAUACCGUUGCAACUGUUUGGGCAAUUUUCCUUCUUAUUGAAGACGUCAAGCCUCACUAGUCGAAGAAGCUCAAGACGGCGUGUUACAUCACAAUACAUGGUGCUCGGGGACUAGCUGUGGGGGUAUAAAUCCCUAUACCCUUACGGCUAGACUUGGGCCAGGAGGCUUGGCCCAUCACGAAGACAGUCCGAGGCUUGAUCCAACUGCUCGGAGUUUCGCGCAAGGAAACAAGACGUGGAGAUCAAGCCGAAUUCUAGUCGGUUAGAAUAGGAAUUGAUAUUGUGCUAUCUAUGGCAAUUGUAACCGACUAGGAUUAGUUUCCAGAUUUGUAACCCUGCCCUCUGGACUAUAUAAAGAGAGGCAAGGGACCCCCUAGGUAAUUCAUCUCAACACAAUCCAAUACAAUCAGACGCAGGACGUAGGUAUUACGCCCACGCGGCGGCCGAACCUGGAUAAAAACCUGGUCUGUGUCUUGCGUCACCAUCAAGUUCGUAGCUUGUGCACCGUCUACCGAUAAACUACUAUCGUGGGUAUACCCUAAGGUAGACUGCCGACUAGCUUUCGUCGACACACGUGAUAUACGAGAAAGAUUUGGUUCAGGUAAUUAUGCAUGUGGUUCAAGCAUCUAUCUAAAAAAAUUGUGACCACUGCCACCAUUGUGAAGUGUUCCAUAAAUAUGUUUAAUAUCCUUUGCCAUUGCCAAGACACAUGUUUUUUUCUCUACACAUUCCUUUGAACGCAGAUGCUCAAAAUUGGGGACAACAUUGACAUACCCUGGAUUGCCAAAGCACUGGAUUGUUGCACGGCAACACCAAAGUGUAGAGGCACAAGCUUGCAUUGAGGGGAUGGCAUGAGGUUAGGUUCAGCGGCAACUACUUAAGGUCUUGUUUUUCUAUCCCAACUAAUAAUUUUUGGUUUGCUUCGUCAUGUUAUUUUGGGAAGCAAGACAUGUCAUUAUCUACAAUUGCCUUGGGUACAAAAGCUUUGUCAAAUUGUUUGCAAGGUUCAGAAGGAGCUGCUCCUUUUAUUGACUAAAAUUAUAAAAACAGUACCUACUGCAAGAGAGAUUGAAUCUAAUUCUAAUGCAUUUUGGGGACUCUGGUUGUAAUGAUAAAGUUUAAAAAACGCUGGCCAUAUUGAAUUAAUCUUGCUCGAUGUUGCCUCUCCUGCCAAUUUGCCAUAUAAGUUGAUUGGUUCUGUCUCAUCUAUUUAGCUAUUGCACACCAAUUAUAUUGCAUGCAGACUCAUCAGGCUUACUUUAUAAGUGUACUUUACUAAUAAUUAGUGUUACCUAUAACGCUAUGACACUAAAAACGACAUCCUUAUUCUUUUUUGCAAUGUUUCCUUCUCGACUGCAUAUGUCGAGUGCUUUCCGCAAGCCAUCUGAAAAAAAGGUUUAAAAUGUUGCUACUUUUUUUUGCAUUAGAAGAACAUUAAUUCCUCAAAACAAAAUAAAGGUUUUGUACGAAUGUUUGUGUAUUUGUUAAAACAUUUUGACUCAGUAAAUAAAGUCCCUUUUGUAUUUCUUCUUCUUCUCUAUUACGAAUAUAAUCAAAUUUACUAUUUUGCUUCAAAUGAUUUGUUUUCUAUUAAUCCCCUUACUCCAGUCAGUGUUUCUUCGUAUAUCUCUUACAUCACUUAGUUUCAAAUUAGACAUGGUUAUGAAAACAAAUACUUUAGAUUACUGACUCAUAAACAAUUGAACAGGUUUAUCUAAAUCAAUUGGGUGUCAUUUGAAGCUAUUCCAACUUAAGCUGGUGUUGGCUCCUUUCAGCCUGCACAAAAGGAGAGAAGUGCUAUAUUAGAGUGAACAUGAUCCUUGCCACCAGCAAGUAACAGGGGAAGGUGAGGUGAGAAUUAGAAUUGUCUUCAAUUUUAGGUGUUCAUGCCGCUUCAUUUAGAGCACCUUGAGGAAGUUCGUGUCUUAGGAUGAUUAGUAUAGCUAUAGCUUACCUUAUUUGUGGAAGGCUGCAAAAUCUAGAUUUUACCAUCGCAUCAAUUUUAAAGUUCAAAGGUCCAAUUCAAGACUGCCAUGACUUGGCUACAUCACUUAAAGUAAAAGAGUCAACAAAAUUUAAGUUCCUAACAGAGUUGCUUUUCUCUAAAACUAUUUUUAGCUGCAAAGGAGUGCCUUAAUAGAAUAUUGAAAUCUCACAUGUGUUACAAAUAUGUAAUAGUUGAUGCUAAUAAUUCUGUAUUGACAUUUUCGUAGGCCACUAAUGAAUUUUCCAUAAGAAACAAAAGACAAUUUCUUCGUUUUUGCUUUGUAUAUAUGUGACUGACAUGUCAAUGAUUUUUUUCCCUCCUAUGACGCUCUUGCCCUUGUGAUGUGUCUUUACAGCACACCAUUUUAGAUCAGAUAUAACCUCUUACUAACACUAGCACAGUUCUUCCCAAACAACGCCUCACUGUUCACAUCUCCGGAAUACCACCACAUCGCUAUUGUGAUUUCACAGUCCACUGUCUUCUCAGUGAAACAUGCACAAUCCAUGCCAUCUCAUUUUGUCAUGCAACAUUAUCGUACUCAGUUGAUGUUCAUGGAUCACAAACCCUCAUGUCUCAAGCAGCACAUGUAGCACUUAGUAUGAUAACACGCUAUGGUUGUCUCCUCAACAUUUGGCCAAUAUGGUAUGACACAUAUAUGGAAGAAAUGCUUGGCCGACUAUCCUCGACAACCUAUGACCGGAUGCCAUCUUUGCAUGGAGGUAUUCACAUCCACAUCUGCAGUCUAAAUGAAAAAAAUAAUAGCACAACAUAAGUCGAAAACAAGAGAAGCUCUCUUUUUUUUUCUCACCAUCUUUUACUUGACCAUUUACAGGAGACACUCAUCUUGACAUAGAGGAGCAACAUGAAGCAUAUACGUACUCAGGUAUGUAAACACACUAUAAAAACAAUAUAUUAAUAAACAACACCAUAACAUAGACAAAACAAUUACUUUUAAUGUACCAGACGACCAGAACAAAGACACCUCCCAACCACUAAGCAAAUAAAUUUGCAUUGCAUUUUGCCUACACCUCACACUACUGAUACUUUGCAUACUAACAUAUAGCGAUGACACCCCUUCCUGAUUCUCGACAGGCAAAACACCGUACCACACCAUCCUGACACGGACUCAUCCAUCAACAUUUCACGUGAAGCAUGAACAUUGGUUAAUAGUGAUGUCUACAGCACAACCACCAAAACUCUUAAACCCAUAGCUCGCUUUCCUGUAUAAUAUUUCGGGCGCAUACUGUCAAAAUGUCUUUGAACACCACAUCUGACACAAAUAAAUUAGCACCCAACUGGAUAAUUGUGUCGUGUAAUAUACCAACCCAGCGCCCUAUGAUGCUUUGGUAUGUUGAGCCAAAUUCAGCGUGUACCAAACCUAAUGACUACUAUGAUAUAUACUCUUUUAUAUAUAAUAAAUACUAUGCUCUGUACAUUCUCCUUAAAUACCAUGAUGGCUCACUCAGGAUUGCUUAUGCUAAAGCGCAAAUGCGCGCGCCAUCAACUAGUCAAUAAAAACACCCGAACCGAACCGGCGGCGGCUGCUCGCCUGCCCGACCCGGACCCGUACUCGGGCAUUUUUUCUUUAGCGACCCGUACUCGGGCAAAUGUAAAGCUUGAUCACUAUGAAUCCAGAACUCGAGAGAAACAGCCCAGACAGCCCACGACCGGCCCAGUCUCAUCACAAACGCACGCGCACGUCGCCGUCGCCAUCGCCCCGCUGUAACCCUACCCUAGCCGCCCCGAAGCUUCCCGUCCUUCUCCUUGCGGCGGCCGCGGGCGGCGCGGCGAGUCGGCGGCCACCCGCCCCCAUCUCCUACUUGAGCCUCCCAACCUCACCGGCGCUGUCCGCCUCCUCCCCCUCCCACUCCGCACCGUAGAUCUUUCUCCUCGGCGCUCGGGAGGACCACUCAAUCCACCUUCACUUCACCGUGCGGGAUCUGAUCGCAAUCGGAUCCCCCCCGCCGGCGCCGCCGCCGCCGGGGUCGCCUCCCCGGGAGGAGCCCCGGGCCCGACGAGACGGAGGCGAGGGUAGACGACGGAGGCGAGGAGGACGAGGAGGCGGGGGAGGGGAAGCCCAUGCCGGCCGCCGGGGCCCGCCGCUCCACUCGCGUCUUCAUGCCCAAGGCGCCCAAGCCGCCGCAAUCCCAGGACCAGGCCGACCCCGCCACCCGGGUCCUCCGCUCCGGCAAGCGCCUCGCCGCCGACCGGAUCCGCUGGGACGCCAAGGAGGCCCCAGCCUUCCACGUCGACAUCAACCACGGCCACGGCCACGACCAGCAGCACCAAAAGGAGGAUUGCCCCAAACCGGGAUUGCCACCUCUGACGAAGUCCUUCGGGAUCGUGUACAGUAGGAAACGCCGCCGCCGGAGGCACUCCGCCUCCGAGGUCGUCGCCGAGGACGAGGACGGCAGCAGGAGGUUUGGGAUAGUAUAUACCAGGAGGAAGGGCAAGCGAUCGAAGGUCAGCCAUCUCCUUCCGCAAGAGCGAGCGGUCCCCUGUGACCUCGCCGCCGCGAUUCCAUGCUCCUCCUCCCUUGAGUUUGCGUCAAGAACUGGCUUCUUGGAUGCCCAUUUAUCGGCCCUUGUAGAUGGUGCCGCCACUCACUCUGGGGCUCAGACGCUGAUCAUCCUUGUUGAUACGUCUUGCCCUGGGAGCUCUCACCGGCUCCUUGGCCUUCUUCUACCCAUGCUGCGGUGGAUGUGCCGCAGUAGGCAGCGUGGAAAGUUCCAGAACCUUGCUACUUUCAUCAUGUCUGCUGGCGUAGCUGCUGCGUUUGCAUUCCAUGGGGUGCACUUUGUCAAGCUCCAGCGCCGGAGUGCCGUAAGCUUUCUACAGCCUUCAUCAGCCCUAUUUUGUUUCUGGUAUAAUUGGUGUAACAUUUGUGCUUCUUUCUGCAGUCUGCAUUGUUACAUAGGCCUCUUGCGCACUGUGGGUGGUGUGCGCUUCAUGGUUCCAAGAUAUCUGAACCGCUUCUGUCAGUUGAUUUCUCAGCACUUCCUUCAUACUUUUGGAGCUUGCAAUAUGCUGUAGCUCUUGAAUCGAUGUAUCUGCCAGCUAUGAUUCGGCACAGCAGGCUGCUGGAUGGGGGAUCUGAAGAAAUCUAUCCUCACACUCCUUUGUAUUUGGAUUCUGGGGCUCAAAGCAGUGGUUUUGCCACUACUGACGUGGGCAGCAAUGAACCUUGCAGAGUGGUUCCGAACUACAUGCCCCUUGAACAAGUUGCUGGACUAGUGGCACAUGGUCUGAGGCUAAAGAAGCAUCAAAGGCGGAGGAGAACUAUGAGACAUCCUCGAAAUCGGCGGCGGCUUAUAACUAGAUUACCUGACAAUGGAAUUGGGAUGAAGCACAGCAUGGCUGCCACGCAAACAGAAUUAAAGCUGCGAUCAAGUAGGCAAGAACCUCCAGUGGAGCCUCUCCAACCUAAAGCAACAUUAGAAAUUUCUCUUGAUUUGCUUGAAAACAUGGAUGAAAGUGAUGUUUCGACUCCCAUGGGAUCAACUAGGAGAAAGAGAUCUUCUUUGAAGAGCCCUGUCGAGAGAAUGAAUGAAAAGCUGGCCUUGGCUGAGGUGAGACAGAACAUAGAUUCUGUUCACAGCAAAGCAAACCUUCUAAAUCUUCAAGCUGAUAGGUGCUGGAGGGAAGAGGGUGCUGAAGUUAUGCUAGAACUAUCAGAUACCAAUAAGUGGUGUAUAGUUGUGAAGAUACAAGGUGUUACUAGGUACUCUCUUAAACCUUCAGAUAUGAGGUCAUAUGUCGUUAAUCGUCAUACUCAAGCCUACAUGUGGGCAGUUGAUGAUGCAUGGAAGCUUGAGUUCACUGAUAAGUGGGACUGGCUGUUAUUCAAAGAGUUGCAUGUUGUGGGCCGUGAGCGUAAUUCCCAGGGGAAGACGAUCCCAAUUCCUGGGGUACAUGAAGUUUCUGAUGACAUGGAAGGGAUUGUUACAGAUCCUUUCUCACGCCCUGUGCCAGACUAUAUCAGGAUGGUGGAUGAUGAAGUUGGACGAGCUAUCUCAAGGGAUUCUAUUUAUGACAUGGAUUCAGAGGAUGAACAAUGGCUCAUUCAGUUGAAUCAUGCAGAUUCUGAUCCAAACAGCUCUCAAAGGGACCAUAUCUCUUACGAAGACUUUGAGAGGAUAAUAAGCAUAUUUGAAAAGGAUGCCUACAACAAUCCCCAAGGAAAAAAUGAUUUGAGUGAGCUUCUUCCCAGAUAUCCUGCUUUAGGAAAUGAUGAGAAUGUGCAUGCUGUGUAUGAAUAUUGGACAAGUAAGAGGUCCAAGAGAGCUGCACCAUUGCUAAGGGUAUUUCAGGUAAUUUUGGGGUUUCUCAUACCCAUUUCCAAGCUCAACACUGCUUUGUUAUAUCAUUUCCCUUUUCUACUGUCUAGCCUUGAUUAUACCAUCUACUGAUACCAGUUACCUAUUACCAAAGCUUAAUUCUUUUUACAGCUAUGUCCUGUUAUUUCUCUUUUUGUCAAGCUUUCAUUCAGUGUAUAUUAUCUAAUUGAUACACUGUUUCAACCUUAGGGUGCACCCAUAAGGCGAGGACAUCUAUCACAAAAGUCUGCCAUGAAGCGAAAGAGAUCUUUUAAGAGACAAAAAAGCCAAGCCGGUCGUGGAAAGCCUGAAGCUUUAUUGCUAGGUAAUUACUACUGCAUAAAAAACCCUACUGAGCAAUACAUUUAAAUCUGAUAAUGUGGAAAUCCAAUCAGGAGACAGAUCUUAAUCACCUUCAAUUCUUGCGCUGUUGGAUGAGUCCCCUCCCCCACCCACCACCACCACCCAUAGAAAGAACCAUGUUUAUCUCCUUUGUUUAACAUUUGAGAUCCAUAGCAUUAAGACCUUGUCAUGGACUUCCUUCUUCUGGGGCCAAUCUUGCUAUGCACUUGUCAACAAAAUUAAAACAAUAAAAUAUGUGCCCUAAGUAUGAUACAUCUAAAAGCAACUCCAAGAGACUCUCUAUAUCAUUCCUAAUUGCUAGAAAUAGAGAUUUUGAUGGAAAAAUACUCUCCAGCAGCUUCUUUAAAUGGUUAUCCAAAUAUAGCCAUCCUCUAUUCAGUAUUUCUUGCUUAGCCUAAGUUAGUGAAAAUGGCUCUCUAGAGUGUGCUCAAGAUAUAGAAAGGCCGUUGGAGAGUGGAAAGAUAUAGAAAGCGAUUUUUAUGCAGAUGGCUUUGCAAACGAUGAUUUAGAGAGCUAGUUUUAGAAAGAUUAUUGGAGAUGCUCUAAUGGCAUUAAUCGGUGGCCAAUCUAGUAUUUAUCACAUUACUAUGGUUCUACAGAGGUAGAAUAAUCUUAUUUCAUUUGUUUGUGCAUUAUGGUUGACAGACAAUGCUGAAGAGGAGGCAGCUUUGCAGAGAGUUGCCCAAGCUGAACGUGCAGCAAAACAGGCUGUAGAAACAGCUAUUCGACUGCGCAACAGAGCCCAGUCUCUCAUGACAAACGCAGAGCUCGCGGCAUACAAAUCCAUCAUGGCUCUCAGGAUUGCCGAGGCUGCUAGGAUAUCUGACUCUUCACGAGAUAUUGUUUGUACUAUCCUCGACUAAAGAAGAAUAUGGGCUGUUCAUUGAUUUGUGUGGAGGACGUGGGAAUACUCUUUUUUCUUUGGUUGCAUCAUCGCCCAUGAUAUUGGCUUUUCGAUAAGCUGUGGGACUAUUUUUACCCCCUCUCGUGUUGUUAACUUUGUCAGGCCAAUUUUGAGGCGAAUGCUUGAACUGAAAACUGUAAUUUCUUGUAUAAAUGAAAGUAGCUAGCUAGAUUCUGUAUGUUAUGGGAACUGAUGUUCUGUAGAAAUGAUGAAAGAAAAAGUAAAAAAAAAAAAAGCAUGAGAUGAAGGGAAAUCAAGCAUCUGUUUGCAUCCCUUUGUCUUCAGUGAUAUAUGUUAUCUUUAAUGUGUCCCUUUUCUCUGUUUUUAUCAGUGUGUGUAGUGUCUCUUCUCUGAAAUUAGUUGCUUUAUAUAUAUCUUGUAAAAAUGUAAAUAAUAUUUGCCAUCGACUGUUGUAAUUGAGCCAUUGAAAUUUGUUCCCAUAAUGGAAGUAGUGAAGUAAAGGUAAUAAUAUUUUGGUUGACCCAUCACUCAUCCUAUGCUUAUUGACUCAGUUUUAUUUCACCAUGGUCCAUUUGCUAUAUUUUGAUUUAUUUCCACUUAGUUAUCUAUACAAUACUCCUAAAGUUGGAGCACUGGAGCCCUCUCACAAAUCACCAGCACCCCCUCACACAGCACUGUUCCAAGCACAGUAACAUUUUACCACCGCAGGAUCUCUAACCUCCUCACUACAACCAUCCAUGUCUUCCACGUUCCGGGUUUCUAUCCUAUCGCAUCUCCUCCUGAAUUAAAAAAAAAAGCAUAUCAUAUUCCCUCAUUCCCUCGUCAAUCAAAAAAAGAGUACUGCAUCGGCUACAUCCUCGCUUCAGACCGUGGCAUCCCCGGGACGCCAUCCUCCUGCCGUGGGCACCUCGCCUCAUCCUAUGAUUCGCCUCCCUUUGCGCUCCUCCACGAUGCGCCCAUAUACUGGGUGCCGCGGGUGCCCGUAUAUUGGACCUAUAACCUAUAUGUACAUAUUGGUUUCAGAGCACAGUCUUCACGAUUGGAGCUGCAGCAUAUAUGUAAAUAUGCACUUCUGUUUUUACUGCUUUAUGCUUCUACAAUACACUUUCAGUAACAGAAGUGAUAUCACAACAUUUUAUCACUUCCCUACCCCUUGUGUUGCGCAGGGUUUCCUGCUAGUCUUCACUAUUUUUUGUGUGUAUUCGUUGUUGUUUAUUUGUUGAGAUAUUUAUCUGUAUAGCCUUAAAAAACAUGUCUUUUUCUUGUGGCCUUAUUUUUUUAAGAGUAAAGUUCAUUAUCAGUCCCUAAACUUGUCUGGGUAUGUCAUCUUGGUUUCUAAACUUGCAAAACGAUACCUGAACUUGUUUGGUUGUAUCAUCUUAGUCCCUAAAUAUGAAAAUCUCUCAUGUAGGUCCUCAAACUUGUUCGAUUGUGUCAUCCAGAUCCCUAAACUUAUUUUUAAGUCUCAUUUGGAUAAAAGAAGUCGAAUCUAAAAACUCUAUAUCAAAAAAUAACUCAUAACUUUUCAUAUGAACUCAAAUCAAGAUAAACUAUCAAAAUUAUAGCCAGCAAUGCGAUCUACAACUUUAUAGUUGAAAACUUUUUAAAUUAAAAUCAUCUAGGGUCCCAAAAUGUUUUUUGUACGUUUAUAGGUUUCAAAAUUUAAAAAUUUAAAAUAAAUUUUGUGACACUAAAUAACUUAAAAUAAAAAAUUCUACUACAAAGUUGUAGAUCGUGUUAAGGGCUACAACUUUGAUAUAAGUUUUUCUUCAUUCGAGUUCAUAUGAAAAAGUUAUAAAUUAUUUUUUCCAUUUAGAGUUUUUAGAUCGCUUUGUUUUGACCUAGAUGAGAUCUAAAACCAAGUUUAGGUACUGGGAUGAUACAAAUUAAUAAAUUUGUUGACUUAAAUGGGUGAUUUCUAAGUUUAGGGACUAGAAUGACAUAGCUAAACAAGUUUAGGGACUGGGAUGACAUAGACGAACAAGUUCAAGGACGUAAAUGAUCGAUUUACGAGUUUAAGGACCGAGAUAACACAAAAGUACAAGUUUAAGGACCGGGGUGGACUUUACCAUUUUUUAAAUUUAUGUGACCUUAAAAUACAUGUGCCUUAUUUUUCUGUGGCUCAUUGUUUUUUUGAAUUUACCUACAUGGCCCGAGAACAAAAAAUCUCUUUCUUCUAUCAUCUUUCGUCCAAUUUAGACCACUAAAAUAUUUUCCUUCUUUGGUCUUUCGUCCAAUUCAGGCCACUGAUGGUGUGUGGAGUAAAAUGGACGAAAAGAAUAAAGUUUUAGCAGAAAAAUUGUAUCAUCGUAUGAAGACGAUUUUUAUAUUAUAAUUGUAGCUCUUAAUAAGAUCUACAAGUUUCUAGUUUUAAGUUUUUUAAUUUAAAAUCUUUAAGAUACUCAAAAAUAUUAAAUAAAGUUUUAGUAGUAUAUUAAUCGUGUAUAACACUGGUCGUCUUGGAAAAAUUAUAUAUUUCUUAUAUGAUGUUAAAUAGAGAUGCAUUAUAAAUGAAAGUUAUAGCUUUUAGUAUAAUCUACAAUUUUAUAGUUUUAUUUUUUUCAUUUAAGAUUAUUAAGAUGCUCAAAAAAUAAUAUAAAUUUCAGCAGCAAAUUAAAUCGUGUACAAGCCUAGAAACUACAAUUUAUGUACUAUAACGUGUGACCUUAUUUGCGGAAUAUUACUCUAAAUCUAAAACAAACAAACUAAUGUAUAUUUAGGUUUGUUACAAAAGCUAUAUUUUGAAAAAAGUCAGAAUAAUUUAUAAUUUGGAACAGAACGAGUAGGAUUCAUAUGGUGUUAUUUUGUGUGUGCAAUGGUUACAAAAUGCUAAUUUGAAGCUAACUUGUGUCUUUGCUAAUUAUUGCUUGACUUUGUUCUUUUUUAUCCAUGUGUAUUUCUGUUCGUACUUUGUUAGAGCAACUCCAACCAUUAUACAAAUGGAUUUGGCAUUUACCAAAAUGCAUAAAACUCUAAAAAAAACCCCUCCAAUCGUUAUGCAUUUGGACUUUGCAUUUUACAUAACUAUGUAUUUGGAGGGGGAAACUUGGCAUAUAUGCCAAAGGAGUCCGGCUAUGCAAAUAGAGAUCACGGGAUUCUCAGUUCCACCUCGCGGGCUUUUUUCUUCCCUUCGCGCGGUUUCCCUUCGCGCCGCCACCACUUCGCGCGAUAGGAGAAGCAUUGCGCGUCCUCCUUCGCCAGCUUCGCGCGCGCGUUUGGACGAAGCGGCUAGAUCCAUUCUCCGGUACCCUCGAUCCCAUGUUGGCUUCACGAAAUUCUGCUGCUCGCGAGCUGCAACGGCUUGACUGAUGGCGGCGACCUGCCUUGACGACGAACUGAUGGCGGCGAUCGGAAACUAAUGGGGAACAUGACCUGAUGGAGAUCGGUACUGGAGCCAAGGGGCGAACCUGUACGACGACGAACUGAUGGCCAACAGACGACGAACUGGUACGGUGAACGGGAACUAACGGAACGGGCUACUGCGAGGCUGUUUGGCGCGAGAAUUGGUGAACGGGAGACGAUGGCGGGCUGUUUGGCGCGGGAUCGAUUGGCCGCGCGGGAAGGAGUGCCGCGAAACAAAAUUUCCGGAAAAAAAAAGAUGAUGGACUUGACAUUUUGCAUAACGGUUGGAGAUCACCCGAUUUUAGCCUUGCUAUUUUCAUUUGGGGGUUUGCAAUUUGCCUAAAAUGCAUAACUUCAAAUGCAUAAUGGUUGGAGAUGCUCUUACACGAUGCAUCUGUGUAGGGCCUAUUUAAUUCCUCAUUUGGGCCAAAAAAUUUUAUGUUUUGGUUCACCAUUUUGCAGAAUGAAAUUAAAUAUCAUCUAAAUUUUUUAGAGUUGCCAUUUUGCACUAUAGAUUUUGGUGUCAAGAGCCAAAAAAAGCAUCUUCAUGUAUUUUGGACCCUAAAAAUUUUAGCAUUUUGGAUGAAACUAAACACACCUAUAAAAUUUGGCAUUUUACAUUUUAUCAUUCUAAAGUAUUUGGUAUUUUGCAUUCCAUUGAAAACUAAACACGCCCUAUGUAUUAUCUAAUAUACGAUUUUUUUUUCAAGUUAGCCAUUUUCAAUAUAAGAUAUUUUUCAUAAACUCGUAUACUAGUAACUUUUUUGUACUGUAUUGUAUUGUUGAUGGUAGUUGUAUACUUGUGUUAGAGCCCAUUCACUGGUGCGAAAAGCUAUGAGAGAAAAAUAUCGCUGCCUGACAGGCUAAUAUUUGUUUGAGAUAUAAUCGGCCCCUUGCACUGUUGCAUGAUUGGGUAUUAGCACCGGUCGGGAAGGGUUCUGUUGCCUCGGUUCCCGAGCCGGUGCUGCCCUUCCGGGACUAAAGCCCCACCCUUUAGUCCCGGUUCGGGAAACCGGGGCUAAAGCCCCCCCUUUAACACCAGUUGGUAAUACACCAACCGGUGUUAAAGAGGGCAGGACUCUUUAACACCGGUUGGUAUUACCAACACCAACCAGUGUUAAAGGGGUUCUUUUUUUCUUUUUUUUCGGUUCAUUUCUUCGGUUCUGUUUAUUGUUUUUAUAUAAUAAUAAUAGGUUUGUCAAUACAUAUUUUAUGCUGAUAUAAUAUAUAUAUAUAUAUAUAUAUAUAUAUAUAUUACACGCAUAUUAAGCAUAUAUAAAUGGAAAUUAUAGGCUUAGCUUUAUAAUUAAGCUUUGCCUAUAAUAAAAUAAAUAGUCCACAUCAAUAAUUAAAUAGAUGGAUAUGUAAAAAGCUUUAUAUAUAGUUUUAUAAGUACAAAAUUCGUAACACAUAUAUACAUAGAGUUUUUUCUCCCAAUGUCUAAAACCGAUACAAAUGAUCAUCGUUGUUUAGAAUAAGAGUUCCGUUGCCGUUGAAGUGAAACUCGCCGUUUGGAUUGAUCACUUUCUCACGGAGAAAUCCUGGUAUCGUCUCUUGAGUAGCUUUGAUGCGGUCUUUUUGCAUGACCUUUUCCCUCAACCAUUCCGUCUUUAAUUUGAAAUAAAAUAAAAAAGGUAUUAGUUAUCUAAGUUAUUUAAUAUAAUUAUGGAGAUAAUGAAAAGAGAUAUGCAACGUACUCUGAGCAUCUCUGUGGGUGUUUGAUUGACUUUUGCCAUUAUGAAUUUGCACAUGUAAUAUGCACAUAGGUUGUUUCCCCCUUCUUGUGUUAAACACCACUGUACGAUAUAUAUAAAAAAUAUUCACGACCACGACAAUAAGAAGGCUAAAAGUUAGCGAAAGUUUGCUAGCUAGUACAACUUACUUGUAGAUGAAUUAUAUUAAGAGGCGCUUUACAACCAAUGAGAUGUUCACGGUCAAUAAAUCUUUCCCAAACCCUACACACAGCCAUUGUGGAUCAUGAACUAAUAAUUACAGAGUCAUAUCAUGAUAUUCUUCUAGCUGAGAUCGAUAUUACGUACCUUUGAAUAAUGAUUACCAUUUACUGAUAAUUAAUUUUCUUGUGGUUUUCUCAUUGAGUCAAAGAUUAUCAACCGGUUCUUGGGAAUUUCAAUGACCAUGAGUAUCCAGUGAAAGCUGUUUAUAUAUAUAUAUAUAUAUAUAUAUAUAUAUAUAUAUAUAUAUAUAUAGUCAGGCCUAUAACUAUAUAAAACUCGUCUCGAGUAAUAAUAAGUAAAAUAAAAUGUGCAUGCACUUAAUAACUAUAUAACUCACUCGAAGUUGUAGGGGAAGAGUAUGUUUGUUUUUCUUUUUGGUUCACAAAGAACCUCAUAAGAUUGGUGCAGACUUCUGUCUCAUGAGAUGUUGUCCACACUGCGUGCGGAGCCUUGAAAACAACAUAAGGGUCAACGAACCCAAUACUAUUGCCAUUUUUGCUUCUGAGCUCUCUCAUUUGGUGCCUGCAUAUAUACAUACAAAUUCUAAGUGUGUAAGGAUUAUAUACAUAUAAUUAAAGAAGGUAGAAGUUUAAUAAAAAAAAUACUUACAGACAAAAGCAGCUGACAAGAGAUUUGUCGAAAGCAGCUGACAAGAGAUUUGUCGAGAGCGUCGUGGUGACAUAAUUGGUGCAAUUCUUCAAACUGGACGUAUAUGAGGUCAUCUCCACGAAAGUAGUGAUGUUGUCUAAUACGAACAGAAAUCCAAUUAUCUCCCCUUUUAGACGCCUCCAUACACCACUUGUUUAUUGCAAAUAUUUGUGUGCCGAGCUCAUGUAAAUGCUGAGGGUUGAAUAGACUCCUGUCCGGUUCAUAUCUUGUCCUCCAUUGAUCAACUACCUCAGCUUUUUCAAAAGUUUGGCAUCCAACAAUGGUGGCAAUGUCUUCAAUAUUUAGACCGCUCUGUCCAAAGUAAUGCUCAAGCGAAUCUAGCUCAUACAAGAUUAAGGAUUUCUUUAGCAUCAAGUCUUCAUUUGAGCCGUAUUGAUUUGGCACAAUCAAAGGGGCACCGAUUUUGAUACUUCUCCGAGCUGUGGGACCCUCUUUCCUACACUCUUUCUAGGCUGUGAAGACUUGACCAAAGACUGCUCAUAGUUUGAAAGUGUUGGCUUUUUCUGAGCUUCCCGCUUCUUCUUUUGCUGGUCCGCCACCUUCUUCCUCAGUUCCUCUGGCUUUACAUAAAAGUACAGCUUUUCUAGAUUUAGCCACUCUUUUCUUUCCUGCUUCAAUUUAUCGAAAAAUUAUUUGACCUCAGCUUUGGAUGUAGCAAUUACCUCCUCUUCACUCUUUUCAUAAGAUAAUUUCUCUGGUGUCUUAGCUUUCUUUGCUGAGGCAGCCUUCUUUGGAGGUGGGAUCGAUGACUUCGGUCGUUCUGGAGCGGACCGCUUCUGACUACCUCGCUUUGGAGGCGAUGGGACCGACCGUGUACUCUUUGGAGAGGGCGGUGGAGGUGGUGGGGCCGAUCUUUUUGGUGUUGGAGAACGUGGUGGAGGAGUUGGAGACCUCGGUGGAGGAGGUGGAGACCAUGGUGGAGGCGGUGGCGGGGUCGGUGUGGCCGCCGCAGGUGUUGGAGGAGAUCCAACAUUGUCACCGCCCACAGCACUAUGAUGCGCUGGGGAAAGAACUGGACUUAGGUUGGAGGAGUCCCUGCAGAGAAAACAAUAACAAGUUCUGUGAACAAACUUUAUUUAAAUGCAAUACAUAAUAAAUAAUAUAAGAAGUAAACAAUAGUGACAUUCCUAGAAUAAUUAUGAAGCGCUUGCGCCAACAAAUAAACGUCUUCUCAGCUUCACCUAAGUUCUUCUCUCCGUAUCCCCCUUCUAUUUCUAGAGGCACACUGCCACAACCUUUCUCAACCCUAUCAACCGAGACGCUAGCAUAUCCAGUUGGCACUGGUCGAUUAUGGAUUCUUGGAGUUCUCGUUUGGUCGAUAGGGUUGACAACACCGGUAGCCACCUUUUUUGUUGCAUUUCCAUCUGGUACAUGUAGCUCAUAAGUAGUAAAAGCCUCUGUAACAUCAUCCACGUGGAAGUGUAGCUUCGUGUCAUCCUGAAUGGUUGGUACUUCCGUGGAUGCGCAACUGCUUUUCAACUGGCCUGGGGGCUAACGUUGACCUCAGGCUGUGAUGUACCUUGUCCUUUCAUUAUUUGACUAAGUGCUGCUUGCACUUGCCUUUCAAUCUCCGCCUGCAUCCAUUCUUCAUGAGAUUUCUCGUGCUCUUGUGACUGCAGAACAAAAGCUUCCAGCCGGCGGAUCCGCUCUGCCUCCUCAUCCUUCUUUCUCUGGCGGCUUCUGUAGGUUUCUUGAUCAGCUUGGAAUGAUUGCAGCCAUGGAACUACCCCAUAGCCUCUCGUACGCCCACCGUGCUCAGGAUUUUCAAGCGCAUACGUGAGUUCAUCCUUCUUCCUGUUAGGCCUGAACUCACCAGACUGAACCACCUCUCCUGCAUGGACUAGUCUCUCUGCUACUCUAGAGAUUUCUUAGCCCCAAACUAGCACCCCGGUGUCUAGGUCCACGCUUUCCCCAUGACCGUAGAACCAAUGCUUGGAGCGCUCGCUCCAAUUCUUUGCUAUUGUCUCGGGUGUGACCCCCCUAAUAAGCAUCUCCUGUUCCAUUCUUUCCCACUUGGGAACAACACUCUUAUAACCACCUGAUCCCAUAUGAUGGUGGUAUGUCUUUUUACUUGCAUUUUCUUUGUUCUUAAUGGCUCGUUCCUCGCCCUCUUCUGAUAUUUUGUACUGCACGAAGUCAUCCCAAAAGGCCCUCAGCUUUACAUAUUGCUUGAGGUUGAAAUUUGGAGUCUCGUUUUUCUUGACAAAUUUAUUGUACAAAGACUUCUUCCAAUUCUGGAAUAGUACCGCCAUCUUCUUCAUAGUCUAGUCAUAAAUUCACACCUUCAACUCUUCAUCGUUAGUGUCGAAGGUGAAAACCGCCGUGCCGACUUUCCAAACUACUUACCACGAUCAGAGACAAAACUGAUUUCAGGAGCACCUCGCUUCUCUCUCCAUUCACGAGCACUGAUCGGUAUUUGGUCUCUCACAAGGUAUCCACAGUGACCAACAUAUUUAUUUGCAUGUUCACCAAGUGGUCUGCCUAUAGCUAUCUCAAACUCAGAGGUUACGUAGCGGCCCUCCAACGGCUUAUUUGGCCCUCGUGGAGGUAAGCUUCUCCCCGUAGAGGUCGAUCCAGAAGGCUACACGUAGAUAUAAAAACAAAAAUACUAAAUUAAUAACCAAGUAAGUCUAAAACCUAAUGUAAAGAUGCAUUAUAUAUGUUUACAUUUACAUACCUCGCCGGUAUUUCCUUCUUGUUGCACGACAAGUUGUUGCUCAGGCGCAUUACCCUCUUGUUGCUCAGGGGCAUUUCCCUCUUGUUGCUCAGUCGGAUUGUCUUGCACAAUCUCGUUGUAAUCAAUAAAGUACUGACCACUGUCGUCGAUCAUAUUUUGAAUGUCAUCUUCUAUAUAAUUAGGAUCAUCAUAAGGACGGUCGGCCAUUUCUAUGUCUGCAACCACAUAUACAUAUAUAUUCUAUAUAAGAUAAGAAAUACACUAGAAUAAUAUAAGUUCUAGAGUGCUCCAAACUAAAAAAUAAUACUAACAAUAACAUAUGAAAGUGCUAGAGUGCUCCAAACUAAAAAAUAAUACUAGAAUCCUUUAAGCCAAGUAAUACACUAGAAUAAUAUACUAAAAAUAAUACUAAAAAAUAAUACUAGAAUAAUAUACUAGCAAAAUAUAUUUCAUAACAAUUCAAAACACUACAAUUCAUAAUAUACUAGAAUAGUAUACUAAAAAGUCUUUUAAGCCAAGUAAUACACUAGAAUAAUAUACUAAAAAAUAAUACUUUAAAAUAAUACUAGAAUAAUAGUACAAACAAUAAUAUAUACAAAACUCUAGAAUUAAUAAUAUACUAGAAUAAUAUACUAAAAAGUAAUACUAGAAUAAUAUGCUAGCACAAUAUAUUUCAUAACCAUUCAAAACACUACAAUUCAUAAUAUACUAGAAUAAUAUACUAAAAAGUCUUUUAAGCCAAGUAAUACACUAAAAUAAUAUACUAAAAAAUAAUACUAAAAAAUAAUACUAGAAUAAUAGUACAAACAAUAAUAUAUACAAAACACUAGAAUUAAUAAUAUACUAGAAUAAUAUACUAAAAAGUAAUACUAGAAUAAUAUACUAGCACAAUACAUUUUAUAACAAUUCAAAACACUACAAUUAAUAAUAUACUAAAAUAAUAUACUAAAAAAGUAUUUUAAGCCAAGUAAUACACUAGAAUAAUAUACUAAAAAAAUAAUACUAAAAUAUAAUACUAGAAUAAUAGCACAAACAAUAAUACUAGAAUAAUAUACUAAACUAAAAUAUAUAUUACAGACUACAUGUAUACUAGAAUAAUAUACUAAAAAGUAAUACUAGAAUAAUAUACUAAAAACUAAUACUAGAAUAAUAUACAAGCAUGCAUUAUUUUUUAGUGUAUAAAUAUAUACUUAAAUAUAUAUACAAAUCAAAACACUACAAUUUAUAAUAUACAUAUAUUUUUUAGUGUAUAUAUAUAUAUAUAAUUCAGUGUGGUCUAGUGUGUGUAUAUAUAUAAUACAGUGUGGUUUAGUGUAUAUGUAUAUAUAUAUAUAUUUUUAGUAUACUUAAUUAAUAUGUUAUAAUUCAUAACAAUUCAGUGUGGUAGUGUAGAGGGAUGGCCGGAGUACGUGAUCUAGCGCGCGUAAAGAUGGCCGGAGUUCUCGGUGUGUCGUCCACGUACGGCGCAGCGACGCUGGUGGAGAUCGAUGGCCGCAGCGGCGAGCUGGAGACGGCGGCGCGACGCUAGAGACGAGGUCACGCGGCGCUGCAGUAGACGAACGGCCGGCGGCGCAGGAGACUAGGGCUGCUCGACGAAGACGAAGGAACUGUUUAGAUCCAGCGCGUAUAUGCGCUUAUAUAGGGGCAGACCCUUUAGCACCGGUCCGUAGCUGGAACCGGUGCUAAAGGGUCUUUAACACCGGCUGGUAACACGAGCCGGUGUUAAAGGGUGACCCUUUAGCAUCGGCUCGUGUUACCAGCCGGUGCUAAAGAGACCCUUUAGCAUCGGUUUUAGCCACGGGCCGGUGCUAAAGGGUCCUUAGACGGGCUCGGAUGGGGUUCUGAAAUUUUCAUUUUGAAGACCCGUUAGCACCGGUUCCAACCAUGAGCCAGUGCUAAAGGGUAUGUUUUUUAGUUUAGGGUUUUUAAAGUGUUUAUAUAUACACUUUACAUUAUAAAUUGUAUAGUAAAUUAAAUAUUUUGUAUAAUAUUUUUUAAAAAGUGACAUGUAUUGUAUUUUUUUAAUGUACACAUAAAAAUUUUUAACCUUAAAUAUCUUACUAUAUUUUUUAAAUUUGCAAUAAUUUUGUAAGUAAUGUUUAGUAUUUUGUUAAUGAAAAAAUAUAUUAUUCCAAUAAAUUUACAAAAACUAUAUCCAAUCAACUGGAAAUCUAUUUUCACAUCAUAUUGACGUUAAACUUUUUAUUUUUGUCAUUUAUUACUCAGAAUGCUAGUACGGUACAAUUUUCAUCAAAUAAAAAAUCUAUUUAUCAUAUAAAAAUGUAGAUCUUGAUGAAUACACCCUUUGACCAAACCCUAGAUGGUCCCAACUAGAAAAGUCAUGAAUACAAAGUUUGUUACACUCAUCAAGUUCUACAUUUGGUCUAAUGGUCAACUUUUCAUUUGGAAAAGUUUGAAAUCACUCAAUUUUGAAUUUUGAAAGAAUUCAUAGGCACGCAUCGGUUUCGGAACCCUAGAUGGUCUCGAAUGGAAAAGUCAUGAAUACCAAUAUUGUUCCACUCAUCAAAAUCUACAUUUAAUAUAUAGACCAUUUUUGCAUUUGACAAAGUGUUGGGAAGGUGUAGUUGAAAAUCCAUAACUGACAUAUGUAGUUUCAUAUAGUUUGUGUGAGAUUAAAGAUUUGGUGGGUAUUGUUAACUUAAACUUUCUCAAAUGGAAAAAUUUUGUAUAUAAAAAGUUUAUAUCUUGAUGAUAUCUAAUAACUUGGUAUUCAAAAUUUUUUCAUUUUAAGUAAUUUAGUUUGUCAUUUGACCAAAACCCGUGUUGGAUUUUAAAGAAAUGUGCUUAGGAUUGGCUCAAAUUUAUCCAAAUGGAAAAAUGGACAAUAUAUCAAAUGUAGAUCUUGAUGAUCUCUAACAACUUUGUAUUCAUUUUUUUAUUUGAAGUCAUCAAAUGGGUCAUUUAACCAAGUUUGACCAAAGUCAAAGCAUUGGUUUUUACAAACACACCCUUUGACCGAACCCUAGAUGGUCCCAAAUGGAAAAGUCAUGAAUACAAAGUUUGUUACACUCAUCAAAAUUCACAAUUCUCAAAUAUAGUUUCAUACAAUUCUUAGUAUUCGUACAUUUUACAACACAUACUAUUAAACAUAACUUUAUAUUAAGCCGACACAAUAGUGAACUUCUUCUUGAUGUAUGACCCUUGGUUAUGAUCCUGCCGUAACCAUGGAGUAUCCUCAUUGUUUAACAGAAUGCUUGGGUCUUUGUUGACUAUGAAGGGCGGAAUUCGAUCAUCCCUUUCGUAAUCGCCUGACAUGUCUGACUUGUCCUCAAUUCCGACAAUGUUUCUUUUCCCAAAAAGGACAAUGUGGCGCUUUGGCUCAUUGACGAUUGAGUGGUCAUCAUUUUUUCCUCUCUUUGGUUUCGUAGACAUGUCUUUCACAUAGAACACCUGACUCACGUCUGCAGCAAGGACGAAUGGUUCGUCUUUGAACCCACUAUUGUUAAGGUCCACGGUUGUCAUCUCAUACUCCUUAUUGACUAUUACCCCACCUCCGGUCAUCUUCACCCAUUGGCACCGGAACAAAGAAACUUUAAAAUUAGCUGCAUAGUCUAGUUCCCAUAUGUCUUCUAUGCGUCCAUAAUAUGUUUGUCUGUUCCCAUUUGGAUCCAUGGCAUCCACACGUACACCACUAUUUUGGUUGGUGAUCCUUUUAUCUUGGCCAACUAUGUAAAAUGUGUUACCAUUUAUCUCAUACCCUUUGUACGUGAGGACAUGCCAUGAUGGUUUCCUGGCCAACAAAUAAAGCUGCUCAUUAAUGUUUUCAUCACCCUGACAUUUUUUGUGCAACCAAUCGCCAAAAGUUUCCUUGUGCUGAUGCAUUAUCCAAGCUUCAUUCUUCCUAGGCCAUUGGGACCGUAGGAAAUCUUUGUGUACCUCAACAUAUGGUUCCACCAAUGAGGAGUUCUGGAGAACUGUGUAGUGUGCUUUAUUGAAGUAAUCGUCACCCGUACCAAUAUAUGUUUUCUUCCCAAAUGUUCCUUUUCCGCUGAGUCUGCCCUCGUGUCGAGAUUCAGGAAUGCCAAUUGGGUCAAGGUCUAGAAUAAAGUCAACAUAGAACUCUAUGACCUCCUCUAUUCUGUAGCCCUUGGCAAUGCUUCCUUUUGGGCGGGAACGACUAUGGACAUAUUUCUUUUGGACACCCAUGAAUAUCUCAAAGGGGAACAUGUUGUGUAGGAACAUAGGAUCGAGAAUACGAAUCUCUUUGAUCAGAUGAACUAGGAGGUGUGUCAUGAUAUCAAAGAAGGAUGGAGGGAACACCAACUCAAAGCUGACGAGACAUUGAACGACAUCAUUCUAUAGAGUAGCUAGUUGCUCUAGAUUGAUUGCCUUCUGAGAAACUGCAUUGAGGAAUGCACAUAGCUUUACGGUGGCUAGACGUACGUGUGGAGGUAAAAUUCCUCUUAAAACCACCGGCAACAAUUGCGUCAUUAGAACAUGACAGUCAUGGGACUUUAAGUUCAGGAAUUUCGUCUCUGGCACAUUAAUUAUUACCUUGAUAUUGGAGGAGAAUCCAGAUGGGACCUUGAUGUUGCUAAGACAUUCAAACAUGCUUUCCUUCUCUUCUUUGCUCGGAGUGUAGCUAGCAGGGCUUAAGUAAUGACGUCCAUCAUCUGUCUUUUCUGGAUGCAGGUUGUCUCGUUCUUUCAUGCGCUGCAAGUCUUGUCGUGCUUCAAGUGAAUCCUUAGACUUCUCGUAGACACCCAUGAAUCCGAGCAAGUUCACACAAAGAUUCUUUGUCAGAUGCAUCAUGUCGAUCGCGUUGCGGACCUCUAGGACAUUCCAGUAAAGUAGCUCCCAAAAUAUGGAUUUCUUCUUCCACAUGGGUACGUGUCCCUUAGCGUCCUUGGGAAUAGGUUCGCUGCCUCAUCCCUUUCCAAAUACCACUUUUAUAUCCUUGACCAUUUCGAGUACAUCAUUCCCAGUUCGAUUGAGAGGCUUGGUCUGGUGGUCUGCCUUGCCUUUGAAAUGCUUGCCUUUCUUUCGUACUGGGUGGUUCACAGGAAGAAACCGACGGUGGCCAAGGUACACGACCUUUCGACAUUUUUUCAAAAAUACACAGUCAAUGUCUUCAUAACAAUGUGUGCAUGCAUUAUAUCCCUUGUUUGAUUGGCCUGAAAGAUUACUCAGAGCUGGCCAAUCAUUGAUUGUUACAAACACCAAUGCUCACAGGUCAAAGUGCUCUUGUUUGUACUCAUCCCACACGCGAACUCCUGGUUUGCUCCAUAAAAGUUGAAGUUCCUCAACUAAUGGCCUUAGGUAGACAUCGAUGUCGUUGCCAGGAUGCUUCGGUCCUUGGAUAAGCACCGGCAUCAUAAUAAACUUCCGCUUCAUGCAUAGCCAUGGAGGAUGGUUGUAGAUACAUAGAGUAACUGGCCAAGUGCUGUGACUACUGCUCUGCUCACCGAAAGGAUUCAUACCAUCUGUACUUAAGGCAAACCACAAGUUUCUAGCAUUAUCUGCAAAAUCUGGGAAUUCUCUGUCUAUCGCUCUCCACUAGGAUCCAUCGGCAGGGUGUCUCAGCAUAUUGUCUAUCUUACGGUCUUCUUUAUGCCACCGCAACAACUUUGCAUUGUCCUUAUUUCUGAACAGACGUUUUAAUCGUGGUAUUAUAGGAGCAUACCACAUACCUUGGCAGGAAUUUUCUUCCUAUGACAUUCUUCACCCUCAACAUCGCCAGAAUCAUCUCGCCUGAUCUUAUACCGUGAUGCCUUACAUACUGGACAUGCAUCCAAAUUCUCGUAUUCCUCCCCACGGUAGAGGAUGCAGUCAUUAGGACAUGCGUGUAUCUUCUGGAUUUCUAAUCCCAAAGGGCAGACAACCUGUUUUGCUUCAUACGUAGUGGUGGGCAAUUCGUUGCCUUUUGGAAGCAUCUUUUUUAUGAUCUUCAAUAACUGCCCAAAUGCCUUGUCAGAUGUACCAUUCUUUGCCUUCCAUUGCAGCAAUUCCAGUAUGGUACCUAGCUUUUUUUCCCCUCUUCAGCGGUGGGAUAUAGCGAUUUCCUGUGGUCCUCUAGCAUGCGCUCGAACUUGGCUUUCUCUUUCUCACUUUCACAUUCUCUUUGUGCAUCACGGAUGGCAUCACCAAAAGCAUCAUCGCCCCGAUCAUCUUCUGUGCUACCUCUUAUUCAUUAUCUCCCCCCAUUGCAACAUCAUUGAAGCCACCGUACUGAGCAAUAAUGUUGGCGUGGUCCAAUUCUUCUUCUUCACCUUCAUCCAUUAUAAUCCUGCUUUCUCCAUGCUUGGUCCAACAAAUAUAGUUUGGUACGAAACCAGACUUUAAUAAGUGCGAAUGAAGAGUUCUUCAAUAUUCUGUCAAAUUCUUGCACACGGCACAUGGAUAGCACAUGAAACCGUCCCUUUUAUUUUUCUUGGCCACACUAAAAGGUCGAGAUGGUGGACUAGAGGGGGGUGAAUAGUCCUUUCUAAAAACUAUCGUACCGGCUAACCAAAACAAAUGCGGAAUUAAAUCUAUCGGCCUAGCCAAGACUACACCCCUCUAUCUAAGUUCUCUAGCACCUUGUAAAAGAUCCUAAACAAGAAAACAAGGUGCUACCUUAGCAAGAGCUCACCUAACCAAUUCUAGAAGCAAGGUCACACAAACCUAUGCAACUAGUACUUUGCAAACCGAGGGAGCUCCUACACAAACAAGUGAGGCAAAGCGCACAAAGCCUAAGCUCACUAGCAAGCUCAAUAACAAGGCAACUAAUGCCAAAUUAGAGAGCGCAACUUACUUAGCUACACAAACUAAGCAAUGUGACUAACAAGGUUACACAAACCAAAUUAGUCACGCAAGCGAACUACUUCUAGCUACACAAGCAAGAAGGUAACUAGCAAGCUACACAAGCUAACUAAUUACAAGAGCAACUACACAAGCACAAAUAUAUGAAUGUAAAUACAAGCUCGUAUAUAGCGAAUGCAAACCACCGAGAAGAGUAGACAAUGUUGACACGGUGAUUUUUACCGAGGUUCACUUGGUUGCCACCAAGCUACGUCCUCGUUGUGGCGAUACACCCACUUGAUGGAUCACGAGCUAAUUGGCAUUCAAAGCCAAACCCUCAGCGGGUGCCGCACAUCCACUCUCAAGAUGGGGAUCCUCCAAGCCACAAGAAAUCCACUAGAGUUGCUCUUCGCAAUCUCUGUGGGGUGAGCACCGUACCCCUCACAAUCUCUUCUCCGAAGCACCGCACAAUCUCCUUGCGUGCUUCGACGGAGUCACAAGCCACCAAGCCAUCUAGGAGGUGGCAACCUCCAAGAGUAACAAGCACCACCGGCUUGCAACACGAACACCUAGUGCCACUCGAUGCAAUCUCUCAAUGCAACGCACUAGAAUCGCUCACUCACACAAUCGGAUGAUCACUAUCAAGCAUAUGUGAGUUAGAGGCUUCACUAGCACUCCCUAACCAUGGACACUAAAUCCCAAGGGUGCUCAGCACAAGCCAAGGCCGGCCACCACUUCUAUUUAUAGCCCCAAGGGCUAAACUAGCCGUUGCCCCUUCACUGGGCAAAACACGUGGGCACCGGACGCUCACAGGGAGCCACCGGACGCUCAACCCCCAGCGUCCGGUGCUCAGGCGUCAGCCAUGUGUCACUAGCCAUUUGAACUCGACCGUUGCCGCCAACGGCUACUGCGCACGUGCGCCUACACAGUACCAUGUUGGGUAUUUUAAACGCAAACAGAAAAAUCCGCAAGCGCACGGAUACCGAUGUAGCUUUCACCCGGGAGUAUUCCAGAGUAUCGAUUUUCCACAGAGAACGUGAGUGUACUAAUUAAGAUCCAAGAUCGCCCAAGGAUAACUAUAUAAUUAUUUUUGGUGGGAAGAGAGGAAGUUUCCUGAGUGUUCUCUAGUUGAUCUAAGAAUCAAGAAUUACUUCAAGAUUAUCUAUAUCGGGACAUCAGAGCACUAACCACAGAAAGAGAUGAGAAGGGGGCUAGGAAGGUCUGACUACGGUCCUACAAACACCGAUCCGAACGUGGUGGAAUACGUCGACCGUUAGGGCUGUCACUACCCUAAGGCUACCACAACAAUCCGCAGGAUUGGGUGCAAUUCCAGGUAAUUGCAAGACUAAACACCACGUCUAAUCUAUUAAUUACUACUCUAGCGUUAUAAAGACUAGAGCACUUGAUGCAAGCGGGAAUCCAAUAAAUAACUUGAAUGUAAAUAAAAGUAAUUAAAGAACUCAGGAUUAUGAAUUGAAGAACCUGGAGAACGAUGAAGAAUGAACCAGUUGCUGCAAAAAUUUAAUGUUGAGGAAGAUCCGACAGAUCCGGGUCCUCCUCCGCUCUCCUCUUCUCUCUCCCUAUUUUCUAGACUACAACUAGAACUAACUAGAACUAGAACUAGAGGAACUAGAACUAGAACUAGAUGAACUAGAACUAGAACUAGAUGAACUAGAGGUAGAACUAGAAGAACUAGAGGGAUCCUCUCUACUUGGAUGAAGAAUUGAAACCCUAACUUUGAUUCUGUAGAAGAGGUAUGCUCUCCAGGGGCCAGGGGGCCUUGCUUAUAUAGUCUUUUCAGAUGAAUCUGGGCCGUCGGAUCGAACCGACAUUAAUCGCACAGUUUUCCUUGGUCCCUUAGGUCGGUGGAGCACGAUCCGCGAAGUUGAAGCUGAUUGGUUACUGUAGCUGGGCGGGCACCCAAGGGACUUGGGCGGGCGCCCUGCCCCCGGGCCCGAUCGGCCUCCCGUUCGUUCCCGUGGCUUCUGGAGUCUUCUAGAUGGUAGAAAAUUGCGCGGCACGUUAAUAUCUCUAUGUAAACCCGACGUGUGGGCUUUUCUUUCAUAUUUCCUGAUAACCUCCUGCAGAAAUAGACAAACACCAAAACUCGUGGAAUUCUGUCAGAUAAAACCCUAAGUCUAGGUGUUGGCUGCAUAUAAGUCUUUUUCCAUGAUUAGUUGAUGGUUAAAUGUGAGCAUUAAGGACCGUCAACAAGCUCCCCCAAGCUUAACCUUUGCUCGUCCCUGAGCAAAGAUGAACUCAAGAAUUUCUGCAGUGGUUUCAAUACAUGCGUUCAAACAAGAUCUCAUCUCUGGGUUAGGGUAAAUUGUUAAGAUUUAAAUUUACUCAUUUUUCCUUCCACCAUGGGGCUUGCAACCGUCACUUGUGUCUUGAGUAGUUAAAAGAUAGAACAGUCUAGUCAAGCGCUAUGUCUCUUGUUCUUCGAUUAACUAUAGCUCUGGAGUUUUUGCAGAUUUUCAAAUAAAACUCAGAGAUUCCUUGUAUGACUCUCUCUAGUCUCUCUUUUGUGGUAUUUCUGGAUCCUUACCAAGGCAGUAAUGGUGUAUGCCUUCUCUCAAAGUAUGUGGUAUUUUUGGUAUGAGGCAUAGUGACAUUGCUUUCUCUCUCACCCUACUCUAAUAAGGCUUUUGAUAUCUGGAGCUCAUUGGUGGGAGAUAGCUAAUACAUACUUACAAGACAUUUAUUGCAUAGUCAAACUAUGGAUCCAGAAGAACAAGUCAAUAAGUCAAAUCAAGAUGUGCAUGUGUGGCGAAUGAAUGGUGUAUGGUGAUGAUUGAUAACAAUAGUGAAAGUCUAAUUCUACUUAUGCUCUUUUGAGGGGAUACAUACUUUUCUUGCUCUUUUGAAACUUUUUGAGGGGAAUAAGAUGCUCUAUAUUUUCUUUUCUUUUUUUUCUUUUCUCUCAGGUGGGUAUCUUGUACCCCUAAUUCUACUGUCGCACACUUGUCCAUUUUUACCUCUCGUCUCACUUUUUCUUUUCUUUCGAGGUUCCGGGCACUUGCCCCUUUUUAUUUCCUCGUAUCUUUUUUUUCUCUUUUUUUAGAGCACUCAUCUCCUUAAAUAAUAUAGCAAGUGGUAGUAACCAAGAUAACUCGAGCAUUUAUUGCAUAGGGAAUAACAAGGAUAGGAAAAUAUUUUUGGCUAUUCUCUCCCGGAUUAGGAGUAGAAUACUUUUGGGUGAAUCUGGAGAUGGAAGUGAGUGGAUAUAUGUGGAUGCGUACUUCCGGAGUAGAAGCAACAUGUGUGAGUGAACGUGCAAGUGAAUCUUGAUUCUAACCGCAUGACAAGCUCCUAAGGGUCUACACAGCUUGACCACACUCAAUGCUCAUAAGUAGUAAAAAGUAAAUGUGUGGCUCAAAGUCUAGCAAACAUGUAUAUAUGGCUGUGGUAGGAAUUUAAACUCUCAUCAUACAGGAACUCAUCAUGUGAUAUUUUGAAGAUUUUCAAAGAUAAAAUUCUCUAGAAUUCUAGCAUCUCUAGGAACAGAUAAACAGCAGCUCAACCUUCCCAUAUCAUAUCCAUUAACAACUUAGACUUUAGAUCAAGUACUCUUCCCACAAGUUCAGGUUUAGAGCAAGUCUUAAUUAAUAACAGUCAUGCCUAAACUUGAAAGAGAUUUCAAUUUUAAGAACUAGUCAUGGCAGAGCAACUAUUCAUCAUUUCCACGUGACAGCUUAUCAUGAGGGUUCAUAGCAAACUUUAUUUAUUUAUUUAUUUAGCAAACUAAACAAAGAUAUAUAUAAGCACAAAAUCUUUAUUUGGGUUUUUAUGAUUAUGCAUCUUUUUAUUAUUUGAGUAAAAUAUAAACAUGAGUAGAGCACUUAACUGGAUAAAUGGUGGUGCUCUCCCCCAAGCUGGAUUUUGCCGUAAUUCCUUCUGAUGUAGCUAGCAGGUGGCGGAGGUGUAUUUGAAUGUUGGUAGCCUCCUGACAGCGAUUCGGAUGUCCUCUGUCUACUAGUCUUCUUUGAUCCUUGAAUUCUGUGGAGCUCAAAUAGACAACAAAGCUUUGUGGAACUAGUUAAGUGUUAACAUAAAUAUCUAGCCUUUAUCAUGUUGAGCCUCCUUAAUAAAUGUUACACUCUUUAGUAGGAUCACAAUCUUAUUUUUACAAUUUUAUUUUUAUAGGACAGGAAUAUAUUUAUUUCAUUUUUAUGCCACCACAGUGAAUGUACUUAUGGGUUUUAUGCCAUGAGCAUAAUCACAUGGGGCUUACUAUUUUUAACAUUUUUAUUUUCUUUUCAAGAUGAUAUGAACCUGAUUAACUAAGCAAACUAUUUUAAAAUAAUUGAAAGGAAAAAGAUAACUACCAAGUUUACCUCUUGGCAAGGCGUUCGGUGUUUUUAAGUCCUCCGAACGGGUCUCUCCGUUUUCUCUGUCGUCCUAGGAUUCGCUGGAUGGUGUAGUCGGUGGUUCCGGCGGCGCCUCCUCUUCGUGUAUAACUAUCUUUUCUCUCCACACCUGACUCGGUGCUACGGUCUCCUCAGGACAGUUCUGUUUAAGUUGUAUGUCUUCAGAUCUUACCACUUCUCCUUCGUAGUCUGCCCAUCCAUCCUUGAUGAUUUGCCUCCUCUGGUUGCGGUUGCGUCGUCUUCUUUGUCUUGACCUGCUUAGAGUCUUCAUAUAUAUAUAGUUAGGGUCAGUAAAAUAGCGGCGUACCUUCUCAGAGGGGAAGUGCAUGUGGACUUCUCCGGUUCCAAUGUAGAUGAUUGCUUUAACGGUGCUGAGGAACAGUCUUCCAAGGGUGAUGGGUGGAUUGUACUUGUCUUCUUCCAUGUCAAUAACCUUAAAAUCAUCUGGAGCUAAAUGUAUGUCGGUUUUAGUGGCAUGGUUCCGAAUAGGAGCUGAUAGGUGACUGGGUCGUCCUUUUUGGUCAGGAACGGUGACUUAAGUCAACGAUCUUGACCUCCUUAAACUGCAGUGACCAUCUUGGUUGACUCGGUCCACAUUUGCUUGUUCCUGUUCCUCCUGUUGGUCAUCUUCCUUGGUUCAUGUCGGGAUUGCUCUGAGAUUUGUAUAGUCUUGUUCUUGAAGGAAAACGUCUCCUUCCUCUCCUUGAUGUAGAAACUGAUCUUGACAGCACUAGCAUAGAUGACAGCUCCCGAGGUGUUCAGGAAUGGCCUCCCUAGGAUGAUGGGUGCCCUCUCGUCAGUAUCAGUCUCUAUCACCACGAAGUCUGCUGGAGCGUAUAAGGUACCAACUCGGACAUAGAGGUUAUUCAAUAUUCCCUUUGGGAAACUUAGUGUCUGAUCUGCAAGCUGCAAACACAUGGUUGUUUCUAGGAAAGGAUGUGUAAAGAAUUUUUCAUAGAGUACCCUGGGCAUAAUGUUGACGCUGGAGCCAAGGUCGCAGAGUGCUUCUAGGAAGUCCACCAUGCCGAUGGAGAUCGGGAUGACGAGGCGUCCUGGAUUGUCUCUCUUGACCGGCAGAAGGUCAGUAAUUACUUCCACAGCAGGGUUACUCCAGUAGUUACGUCCUCAAGCAUCUCAGGGCAGUGAUUGCCUGAGUGUCCAGUAUCCCCAGUGUGUUUGAGCUCGUAGAUCUAGGUUCUUCACUUGGUGGAGUGUGGGAGUUGUAAAAGUCCUUCAUAUUUUGCUCGAAGUGUACCUGCUCGUAGAGACAAGGGAGAGAUCAAGUGCAUGGGCCCUGUUGGUGGAAAACACCAACAGAACCAAAAGUGUAUUUGUGCUUCUCUACCCUUAAGCAUAGUGAGCAAGACAAAGUUGAUGGAUAAUAAGAUCAUGAGUGCAGCAUUUAAAAUAUUUGUCAGAUCAGAUUGCUCAACCUAAUGGAAAGAUAAUCUCUCUAUAGUUAUGUUGUUUUUUUAUAUAUCUUCCAAAGAUUGAGCGUGCAACAUUUUAGCUCAUAAGAUUAGGAGUGUGGGAUCACAAAGAUGGAAGGACUACACAUGUUGAAUCGAUUGGGUUGGUUAAUCUAGAGUUGUAAAUCAUACAUGUUUGUCUCUUUUAUUCAUGUGAACGCCAGAACCAAGGAGAAGCUUGUAGAAGUGAAAGUCAAGUACCUUAAGAUGUUACCUUACUUGAAGAGUGAUGGUACAGUAUCACCUUGUGGAAGCUCUCCUUUCUUAGUGGUUGUGCAUCAUGUUUGUGGCACCCUCCAUGGAUCAUCUCUUGUGAGGUAUGCCUUCCUUGUGUAAAUUGUUAAACUUCAUGUGUCUCUCUCUUUGUCUCCAAUGUGAGUUUAUCUCUGGACUUCCCAGGUUGAUAUUGAAAGUUUUCCUGCAGGGGUUAGUCCAACAAAAUAUCCAGUAUCUACUAUAGCAUAAUAUUGGCUCAAAGAUUAACCUAGACACCAUGUCUAAUUUGAUUUAGGAGGGCAUUUUAACCUAAGCAUCAUGCUUAAUUUAAACUCCCUUUGAAGUAAGAUCAUCAGCCCUAAACUAAGCACCAUGCUUAAUUAAGAGAUAAAUGAAACUACUCAAAACCUAGACAUAUACUAAAGCAAAUAAAGGUAGCAUCAGAGCGUUUAUAGAGAUCUACUCAAGUGGAGAUGAAGUAGUGUGAUUAGUAUUUAACAAAUUGAGCAUGUCUCAAAGGUAGGGACAACCAACAUAGCAACAUGGCAAAGGAUGUUUGUAUGUAAAGUACUCCCCCAAGCUUGAAUUUUGCAAAAUUCAAGUUUGGAUGAAUUUAAUUCAAUGUUAUAUGAUGAUUGGUUGGACAUACCUUGUGCUUGUCAUUCAUCCGAUCUUCUUGCUCCAAUCCUGGAAAGGUUAGUGACAAGAAUACCCGAAGGAAUAUUUUUACAAUUAUCCUUAUAUGCUCAACACACAAGGUAAUGUUGCAAAUAAUUAAAAGCUCAUAUUACAAUCUGAUCAGUGCUUGUUUUAGGACACUAAGCUUGUCCUUGGGAAACCAUCAAUUUAUGUCAGUGAAGUGGUUUCCCCUCCAAUGCUGACCUAUAUCAAGAUCAACUCAAUGACAUCUAGAAAAUUUAUUAUAGACAUAUGCAUCGACAACUGCCCUUUUAAAGUUUUUAUAAACAAAAAGGAUGCGGGGGUUGGAGAUCUCGAAUGUGGUGAUGUUGGAGAGACCAAUGGAUUGUGAAGAUGUUGCAUAUGAGCAUGGAGUAAAUGAAGUGGCAAUGAAAUAAAUUCCAUGCUCAUUAAUGCUUAGAGUGAAAUCCAUGUGGUAUGGUGAAAAUGAUAAGGUGAGUGUGGUAAAAAAAGAAAAGAAAAAGGAUACACGGAUGACUUGGUUCGAAACUAGCACAGCUACCGUUCCCCGGCAACGGCGCCAGAAAGCUUGUUGGGUAUUUUAAACGCAAACAGAAAAAUCCACAAGCGCACGGAUAUCGAUGUAGCUUUCACCCGGGAGUAUUCCAGAGUAUCGAUUUUCCACAGAGAACGUGAGUGUACUAAUUAAGAUCCAAGAUCGCCCAAGGAUAACUAUAUAAUUAUUUUUGGUGGGAAGAGAGGAAGUUUCCUGAGAGUUCUCUAGUUGAUCUAAGAAUCAAGAAUUACUUCAAGAUUAUCUAUAUCGGGACAUCAGAGCACUAACCACAGAAAGAGAUGAGAAGGGGGCUAGGAAGGUCUGACUACGGUCCUACAAACACCGAUCCGAACGUGGUGGAAUACGUCGACCGUUAGGGCUGUCACUACCCUAAGGCUACCACAACAAUCCGCAGGAUUGGGUGCAAUUCCAGGUAAUUGCAAGACUAAACACCACGUCUAAUCUAUUAAUUACUACUCUAGCGUUAUAAAGACUAGAGCACUUGAUGCAAGCGGGAAUCCAAUAAAUAACUUGAAUGUAAAUAAAAGUAAUUAAAGAACUCAGGAUUAUGAAUUGAAGAACCUGGAGAAUGAUGAAGAACGAACUAGAUGCUGCAAAAGUAUAAUGUUGAGGAAGAUCCGACAGAUCCGGGUCCUCCUCCGCUCUCCUCUUCUCUCUCCCUAUUUUCUAGACUACAACUAGAACUAGAACUAGAGGAACUAGAACUAGAACUAGAUGAACUAGAACUAGAACUAGAUGAACUAGAGGUAGAACUAGAAGAACUAGAGGGAUCCUCUCUACUUGGAUGAAGAAUUGAAACCCUAACUUUGAUUCUGUAGAAGAGGUAUGCUCUCCAGGGGCCAGGGGGCCUUGCUUAUAUAGUCUUUUCAGAUGAAUCUGGGCCGUCGGAUCGAACCGACAUUAAUCGCACGGUUUUCCUUGGUCCCUUAGGUCGGUGGAGCACGAUCCGCGAAGUUGAAGCUGAUGGUUACUGUAGCUGGCGGGCACCCAAGGGACUUGGGCGGGCGCCCUGCCCCCGGCCCGAUCGGCCUCCCGUUCGUUCCCGUGGCUUCUGGAGUCUUCUAGAUGGUAGAAAAUUGCGCGGCACGUUAAUAUCUCUAUGUAAACCCGACGUGUGGGCUUUUCUUUCAUAUUUCCUGAUAACCUCCUGCAGAAAUAGACAAACACCAAAACUCGUGGAAUUCUGUCAGAUAAAACCCUAAGUCUAGGUGUUGGUUGCAUAUAAGUCUUUUUCCAUGAUUAGUUGAUGGUUAAAUGUGAGCAUUAAGGACCGUCAACAAGCCACUGGACGCUCUACUGCGUCACACCGGACGCGUCCGGUGCACACCGGACCCAUGUGCAGAGAGCUCCGCAAACUCGCACAGUCACCGGACGGACCCUGAGCGUCCGGUGCUCACCGGUCAGAAACUCCUCGCGCACACUCGCUGACAUCACACACCACCAGACGCUCGAACAGUAACCGCCCACCGUCCGGUGCCAGCGUCCGGUGCGCUCUACACACCUGAGCCACAGACACCACACCGGACGCUCUGGACCAGCGUCCGGUGCUGCCAACACCAGCGUCCGGUGCUCCCGCAACUUCUCCAAAAUUCCCACCGGCGCAAUAGAAAAUAUACACUUAAUUUUCUCAAAAGCGCCGAAUCCCGCCGAGGAACCCACACCCCUCUCAACCCUAGGAACUCCACCUCCUUUGUAAAUGUGCCAACACCACCAAGUGUACACCACCAUGUGCAAGUGUGUUAGCAUUUUCACAAACAUUUUCCCAAAGGAGUUAGCCUCUCAAACUUGCCGCGCCACUCGAUCCUAACACAUAUGCAAAGUUAGAUCGCUCAAGUGGCACUAGAUGACCGAUAUGCAAACAAGUUUGCCCCUCUUGAUAGUACGGCCAUCUAUCCUAAAUCCGGUCAUAAACUUCUCUACACACCUAUGACCGGUGAAAUAGAAAAGCCCUAGGUUAUACCUUUGCCUUGCGCUUUCCAUUCCAUCUCCUCCAAUGUAGAUGCAACACAUGCACCAACCCAUCACCAAAUGAUAUGAUCCUCUUCAUAUCAUCAUGUGACUGUAUUGGUUCAUCGAUCUUGACCUCACUUGCUCUUCACCGUUGCCUCGGUCCAUCAGCGCCAAGUCUUGCUCAAGCUUCACCGUCACACGCGGUCCCUCGCUUCAAAGCCUCUGACUUUCCCUUCACUCUUGCAACCGGUCCAUCAAGCCAAGCCACAUCUUGAUCUUUUCCACCUUGGUCACAUGACUCCAUGUCAUGUCUCAUAUGCAAUGAGCUCCUCCAUCAUCAUAUAAUCACCUGUGGACUAAUCUCCUAUGUAUCUCACAUAAACACUAUUAGUCCACCUAAGUUGUCACUCAAUUACCAAAACCAAACAAGGACCUUUCACACACUUAAGAAAUAAUGCACGCCAUUAAUGAACUCUUCGGAGCGCCGAUCGGCAUUAUACAACCAAUUACGUGUUACCAUCUGCAUUAAAUAUAACAUAUAUAUUAUGAAAACCAUGCACACAUAUAGUUUCUCAUCUUAUUGCACAAUAUGUCUAACACACAUAGUUGAUUAAUUCAAGCAAGCUUGGCUACAACAAAUACAAUCGCAACUAGCACUAAAAAACCAAAACUAAAAUGCACUUAAGCAACAUAAUUAGUUCGAGUCUCAUCCCAACUAUAAUAGAUAGAUAAUUUGCUUGAUCAACAUCAUUGAACUCCUUUUGCCGGCUCACUGCCUCAUCACCUUCAGCCUCAACCACCUGUGCAAAAGAUUUCUUGAUGUGUUGAAUGUAUUCUUCCUUCCAGUACCAACCUGUACAUCCGCCGGUACCGUCCCACUGAAAUUAAAAGAGAGAAUCAAAAGUUUAAUUAAUAUCAUUAAAAAAAUAAGCACAUAUAUAAGCAAAUGUCUAGAAAUAACUCACAUUACGAUCCGGACACUUGUAGAAUAUAGGACCGUUGUUUACUCCCUCUUUCGACACUCUGUACUCCAUCACAAUCUUCUACCCACACUUGCCACAAGCAAUGAGAGGGAGUUCCGGCCGGUAUCGCUUUUGAACCCGUUGAGAGACUGAAGACCCGGUCACGGUUGCCAUCUACUAUCCAUACUCAAUUUUUAAACAAUUAUAAAUUCCACAUUUACUAGUAAACAUGUAUGAUAAAAGAAGAACCUAAUAAUAUCCUUUAUUUGUCUAGUUACUUCAACAAAUCUUCUAAAUUAUACAAUGGACAUUAUGUAGUAAUAAAAACUUAUCAAGUGAUAUUAAUAAACCAAUUAAUUUGAACUAUCCUACUUUCUAAGAUCAUAAAAAGAUACUAUUGACAGUCCUUAAGUACCAAAUAUAAUCAGCAAAUAAACAAAGAAAAGGAUCCAAAUACAACCAACAUCUAAACUUAGGGUUUUAUCUGACAGAAAUCCACGAGUUUUGGUGUUUGUCUACUUCUGCAGGGGGUUAUCAGGAAAUAUGGAGAGAAGGCCCACACGUCGGGUUUACAGAGAGAUAUUAACAUGUCGCACAAUUUUCUAUCAUCUAGAAGACUACAGAAGCCACGGGAACGAACGGGAGGCCGAGCGGGCUCGGGGGCAGGGCGCCCGCCCACCCCCCUUGGGCGCCCGCCCAGCUACAAGUCCAAUCAGGAAUCUCUUCGGGGAUUACGCUCCACCGACCUAAAGGAUCAAGAAUAACCAUUCAAUCAAUGUCGGUUUGAUCCGACGGCCCAGGUUCACUUGAGGGGACUGUAUAACCAGACCCCCUGGCCCCUGGAGGAGGCACCCCUUGAUCAUUAUUCAUUAUUCAUAGAUAGAGCAAAAGCUAGGGUUUAGAGAUGAGAGCUCUCCUCUCUUCUCUAAACUAGAGUAGAUCUAGAUAGUAGCGAGAUGGAGAGCGAAGGAGGAUUAGAGGAGAGGCCGGCCUGUCGGUUCUUACUCCGGUUGUACUUCGCCAUGAUCAAGCUCUAAUCAAGUUUGCUCAUGGGAUGACUUUGGUAAUCUACUUCUAAUUCAUUAUGCAAUUACUAAUCAUGUAUGUUCUGGUUCACAACUCUUUUGAGUACUUCUAAUCCAUAGGGCCCUAUAGGUUAGAGUUGUAGUAUAGGUGUAGGUGUGGUGCUUAGACCUAGAUUACUUGUGGAUAUCCCCUGUCUAGCUGGAUCGUGUGGUAGGCCGCGUAGGUGACAGUUACAUUGGUUCUCUGUAGUCCACCUCUCGUUAGCAGGACGGGUAGGGUUUAUUGGCCUAUGUAUAAGCAUCCUUUGUGGUGUACUCUUAUCACGUGGUUCGUCCUAGACAUAGACAUACCCCUUUGAAGAAGAGAAACCAUAGUUAUCCUCUCUAUUCUACUACCAUCGCCCAUAUAUUAGAUUGCUCUACUCUCUAUUCCCAUAUUAUCACCCACUGUUAUCUUACCUUUAAUAUUGUUCUUAUUCAAUUCUACCAUCUUUCCUAUUUACACCUAUCUAUUUAUCUUGGUUAAGUUAGAGCAUAGAUCAGUUCUCCCGUUUCCCUGUGGAUACAAUAAAACCUUUAACUGGGUAAAAGGCUACAACGGUAUGCAUGCGCUUGCGGAUUUAUCUGUGUGCGUAUAAAUACCAUAGUACACUCUAGUGCCAUGCUAGGGAUGACAACCUAGUAUUCAAGUGGUGUUAGCAAGUGUCAACAAGCAUUUUUGGCGCCGUUGCCGGGGAAACGGUUGCUGAGUUGACUACGAACUAGCUUAAUCAUUUUCUAAAAAAAUAAAAUAUAUAUAUUUUUUUCCUUUUAUCUUUUGCCUUAUCUCUGCUAUUCUUUCUUCUUAUCUAAUCCUUGAUCUCUGGUCUAUUAUGAAUUCAAACAUGUCUAUCUAUGAAUUUCAUAGACCUGUGGGCACACAUCUCGAACCACCAAAAUCUUCAAAGCCUAUCAUAGCAUCUAGUUUUGAGAUAGACCCCGAAUACAUAGAAUUUGUUCAAAAACAACCUUUCUCAGGAGAAGGUUAGGAAAACCCAUACACUCACCUAAGAGAGUUUUAUCGAGUCUGUGACCUCCUUCGCAUAGAAGGCAUGUCCGAUGAGACCCUUAAAUGGAAGCUCUUUCCGUUCUCUUUAACGGGAAAAGCUAGACAUUGGUACAAACUCAAAGUAGGGAGUGUUCAUGGAGAUUGGAAGGAGUUAUAUAAUAGUUUUCUUUCUAAAUAUUUUCUAAUCUCCAAAGUGGCGGAACCUCGGCGUAAGAUUCUUUCUUUUAGACAACUAGAAGAAGAAUCUCUUGGCAAAUCAUAGGACCGCUUCAUUAACCUUACUCUCACUGGCCCAAAGCUUUCUAUUCCAGAAGAAGUUCUUCUAAUUCACUUUUUUGAGGGCCUUAGUAGGGAAAAUAAGCGAACCCUUCAUGCGGCCUCUGGAGGAUCUUUCCACCACCUAUCCGCUAGUGAAGCUUGGAAUUUGAUUGAUUUAAUGAGCGGAAAGUCUCCUAGCUUUUAUAUCCCUGAGAAAGAGAAAGAACCAGUUCCUAGACAAGAAGAAGAAGUUUCGAUAGCCAGAUCACAACCACUUCAAUCCCAAACUUUAGCUAUCGAUCCUAAACCAUCAAUACCCCAAAAUUCUCUAAGGGAGGAAGGAAUUCUGACCUUAAAUCUUUCAGAUACUGAUGGUUUAGACUUCUGGUUCCAUAAGAGACCUUCAAGCAGGGAUAAUUCAAAUCCUUGCAAUAAUGGUUCUCUUAGAGAAUGUCCUGGUUUCUGUUAUGAAGAAGUUGAGGAUGACAUAUCAAGUGAAGGAGAGCUAAACCAUAUAGAAAAUCCUAUCUGCUCCCCUUCCAUGUUCACAAAUUCUAAAUCCAUCCUUGACCUUAGAGACCCCUCUUAUCCCUCUCCUUUUAAGUCUCAUGAUGAUCCUAGCAAUCCAUCAAAAUGAUCAAACCAUAGGAGUCAUAAAGACCAUGAGGAUGACGUGUCAAGUAAUGUCAUAGAAGGAGAGCUAAGCCAUAUAGGAAAUUCUAACACCUCCCCUUUCCUGAUCACAAGUUCUAAAUGGCUAGAAUGUGUAGAAUGGAUGGAUAAGGAAGAAGACUUAAUGGAUUCUGACUUUGGCUCAAUUUCAAAUGGUGAGUUCUUGACUCCUUUUGAAGAUGAGAUUUAUCCAACUACAGAAGAGGACACAGGUGAGACCAAUUCAAGAGAAACUCCAAACAUUCAGAUUGGAGACGAAGAUAACAUUAAUGAGUAUGGAAUUUAUUUCAUAGCCACUUUGUUUACUCUAUGCUCAUAUGCAACAUCUUCCCAAUCUAUUGGUCUCUCCAACAUCACCACAUUUGAGAUCUCCAACCCCCUCUUCCUUUCUAUUUAUAAAAACUUUAAAAGGGCGGUUGUCGAUGCAUAUGUCUAUAAUAAAUAUUGCGGAUCUCGUUGAGUUGAUCUUGAUAUAGGUCAGCGUUGGAAGGGAAACCACUUCGCCGACAUAAAUUGAUGGUUUCCCAGGGACAAGCUUAGUGUCCUAAAAUAAGCACUGAUCAGAUCGUAACAUGAGCUUUUAAUUAUUUACAACAUUACCUUGUGUAUUUAGCAUAUAAGGAUAAUUAUAAAAAUAUUCCUUCGGGUAUUCUUGUCACUAACCUUUCCAGGAUUGGAGCAAGAAGAUCGGAUGAAUGACAAGCACAAGGUAUGUCCAACCGAUCAUCAUACAACAUUGAAUUAAAUUCAUCCAAACUUGAAUUUUGCAAAAUUCAAGCUUGGGGGAGUACCUUACAUAAAAACAUCCUUUGCCAUGUUGCUAUGUUGGUUGUCCCUACCUUUGAGACAUGCUCAAUUUGUUAAAUACUAAUCACACUACUCUAUCUCCACUUGAGUAGAUCUCUAUAAAUGCUGUCAUGCUACCUUUGUCUAUUUUCUAGCAAGUGUUGGUUUGGAAGUACUCGACAUACUUCCAUUGGCAUUUAAAUUGAGCAUGGUGCUUAGGUUAAAUAGCCUUCCUUAAUCUGAUUAGACAUGGAGUCUAGUUUGGUUACUGAACUAAAAACUGCUUGAGUAGAUAUUGGUAUAUUUUGUCGGACUAACCCCUAUAGGAAAACUUUCACUAUCAACCUGGGAAGUCCUGAGAUAAACUCACAUCAGAGAUGAAGAGAGUAACACAUGAAGUUUAACAAUUUGCACAAGAAGGACAUAGCUCAUUCACCAUACAGAGAUGAUCCAUGGAAGGAGACAAAGUACAUAAACAAGAUACACAACCACUACGAAAGAAAAGCUUCCACAAGGUGAUACUAUACCAUCACUCUUCAAGUAAGGUAACAUCUUAAGAUAUCUGACUAUCACUUUUAUAAGCUUCUCCUUGGUUCUGGCGUUUACAUAAAUAAAGAGACAAACAUGUAUGAUUUAUAACUCCAAAUUAACCAACCCAACUGAUUCAGCAUGUUUAGUCCUUUAAUCUUUGUUCCUAGUACUACCUCCAUGAUCCCACACUCCUAACCAUAUGAGCUAAAAUGUUGCACAUUUAAUCUUUGGGAAGAUAUAAAGAAAAAGGCAUAUAUAUAGAUAGAUUAUCUUUCCAUUAGGUUGAGCGAUCUGAUCUGGCAAAUGUUUUAAAUGCUACACUCAUGAACUUAUCAUUCAUCAACUUUGUCUUGCUCACCAUGCUUAAGGUUAGAGAAGAACAAAUACACUUUUGGUUCUGUUGGUGUUUUCCACCAACAGGGCCCAUGCACUUGAUCUCUGCCUUGUCUCUAUGAACAGGUACACUACGAGCACAAACACACUGAGCAAGAUACUGCCAACACCGCACUUCGAACUACUGGGCAAACGAAGAACAUGGGUGACACCGUAUUAAGAGGUGCAGACGUCAAGGUCCACACCUGAAUCAAAUGACACACCUGAAGAAUGAACACGGUGAGAAGUCUUGUUCAGAAGACUUAAAACAUUGAAUCCUCGCCGAAAGGUAAAAUCGGUAGUUAUCCAUAUUUAUCCUUUCUGCAUUCCCUUUUCCCAUUAAUUAUUUACUUUCCUUAAAUAGAUUAUUAGUUAAUCAUGCUAUCUUGAAAAUAAAAUAAAAAUGUUAGUAAGCCCCAUAUGAGUAUGCUCGUGGCAUAAAACCUAUAAGUACAUUCACUGUGGUGGCGUAAAAAUAAAUAUAUUCCUGUCCUAUAGAAAUGAAAGUAUAAAAAUAAAUUUAUGAUCCUACCAAAGAGAGUAAUAUUUAUUAGAGGAAGCUCAACAUGACAAAGGUUAAGAGAUUUUAUGCUAACACUUAACCAGUUCCACAAAGCUUUGUUGUCUGUUUGAGCUCCACAGAAUUCAAGGAUCAAAGAAGACUAGCAAACGGAGGACAUCCUAAUCGUUGUCAGGGUGCUGCCGACAUUACACCUCCACCACCUGCUAGCUACAUUAGAAGAAAUUACGUCAAAAUCCAGCUUGGGGGAGAGCACCCCCAUUUAUCCAGCUAAGUGUUUCUACUCGCGUUUAUACUUUACUCAAAUAAUAAAAAGAUGCAUAAUCAUAAAAACCCAAAUAAAGAAUUUGUGCUUAUAUAUAUAUCUAUGCUUAGUUUGCUAAAUAAAUAAAUAAAUAAAGUUUGCUAUGAACCCUCAUGAUAAGCUCUCACAUGGAAAUGAUGAAUAGUUGCUCUGCCAUGACUAGUUCUCAAAAUUGAAAUCUCUCUCAAGUUUAGGCAUGACUGUUAUGAAUUAAGAUUUGCUCUAAACCUGAACUUGUGGGAAGAGUACUUGAUCUAAAGUCUAAGUCGUUAACAGAUAUGAUAUGGGAAGGUUGAGUUGCUAUUUAUCUGUUCCUAGAGAUGCUAGAAUUCUGGAGAAUUUUAUCUUUGAAAAUCUUUAAAAUGUUGCAUGAUGAGUUCCUGUAUGAUGAGAGUUUAAAAUCCUACCACAGCCACAUAUACAUGCUUAUGAGACUAUGAACCAUACAUUUACUUUUUACUGCUUAUGAGCAUUGAGUGUGGUCAAGCUAUGUAGACCCUUAGGAGCUUGUCAUGCGGUUAUAAUCAAGAUUCACUUGCACGUCCACUCAUACAUGCUGCUUCUACUCUAGAAGUAUGCAUCCACAUACAUCCACUCAUUUCCAUCUCCAGAUGCACCCAAAAUUAUUCUACUCCUAUCCGGGAGAGAAUAGCCAAAAAUAUUAUCCCAUUCCUGUUUUUCUCUGUGAAAUAAAUGCUCGAGCUAUUUUGGUUACUACCACUUGCUACAUUAUUCCAGGAGGGUGAGUGCUCUGAAAAAAAGAAGAAAAAUACGAGGAAAUAAAAAGGGGCAAGUGCUCGGAACCUCGAAAGAAAAAAGAAAAAGUGAGACGAGAGGUAAAAAUGGACAAGUGUCCGAUAGUAGAAUUAGGGGUACAAGAUACCCACCUGAGAGAAAAGAAAAAGAAAAUAUAGAGCAUCUCAUUCCUCUCAAAAACCUUCAAAGUGCAAGAAAGGUAUGUAUCCCCUCAAAAGAGCAAAAGUAGAAUUAGACUUUCACCAUUAUUUUCACCAUCAUCACCAUACACUAUUCAUCCACCACAGAUGCACAUCUUGGUUUGACUUAUUGACUUGUUUCUCUGGAUCCAUGGUUUGACUAUGCAAUAAAUGUCUUGUAAGUAUGUAUUAGUUGUCUCCCACCUAUGAGCUCCAGAUAUCAAACCUUAUUAGAGUAGGGUGAGAGAGAAGGCAAUAUCACUAUGCCUCAUACCACAAAUACUACAUACUUUGAGAGAAGGCGUAUAUUAUCACUGCCUUGGUAAGGAUCUAGAAAUACCACAAAAGAGAGACUAGAGAGAGUCAUACAAGGAAUCUCUGAGUUUUAUUUGAAAAUCUGCAAAAACUCCAGAGCUAUAGUUGAUCAAAGAACAAGAGACAUGGUGCUUGACUUGACUGUUCUAUCUUUUAACUGCUCAAGACACAAGUGACGGUUGCAAGCCCCAUCGUGAAAGCUAAUAUGAGUAAGUUUUAAAUCUUAACAAUUUACCCUAACCUAGAGAUGAGAUCUUGUUUAAACGCAUGUGUACCUUUAAGGCAUAAAACCACUGUAGAAACUCUUGAGUCCAUCCUUGCUCAGAGACGAGCAAGAGGUAAGCUUGGGGGAGUUGUUGACGGUCCUUAAGUACAAAAUAUAAUCAGUAAAUAAACAAAGAAAAUGAUCCAAAUACAACCAACAUCUAAACUUAGGGUUUUAUCUGACAGAAUUCCACGAGUUUUGGUGUUUGUCUAUUUCUGUAGGGGGUUAUCAGGAAAUAUGGAGAGAAGGCCCACACGUCGGGUUUACAUAGAGAUAUUAACGUGCCGUGCAAUUUUCUAUCAUCUAGAAGACUCCAGAAGCCACGGGAACAAACGGGAGGCCGAGCGGGCUCGGGGGCAGGGCGCCCGCCCACCCCCCUUGGGCGCCCGCCCAGCUACAGAGUCCAAUCAGGACUCUCUUCGGGGAUUACGCUCCACCAACCUAAAGGAUCAAGAAUAACCGUUCAAUCAAUGUCGGUUUGAUCCGACGGCCCAGGUUCACUUGAGGGGACUAUAUAACCAGACCCCCUGGCCCCUGGAGGAGGCACCCCUUGAUCAUUAUUUAUUAUUCAUAGACAGAGCAAAAGCUAGGGUUUAGAGAUGAGAGCUCUCCUCUCUUCUCUAAACUAGAGUAGAUCUAGAUAGUAGCGAGAUGGAGAGCGAAGGAGGAUUAGAGGAGAGGCCGGCCUGUCGGUUCUUCCUCCGGUUGUACUUCGCCAUGAUCAAGCUCUAAUCAAGUUUGCUCAUGAGAUGACUCUGGUAAUCUACUUCUAAUUCAUUAUGCAAUUACUAAUCAUGUAUGUUCUGGUUCACAACUCUUUUAAGUACUUCUAAUCUAUAGGACCCUAUAGGUUAGAGUUGUAGUAUAGGUGUAAGCGUGGUGCUUAGACCUAGAUUACUUGUGGAUAUCCCCUGUCUAGCUAGACCGUGUGGUAGGCCGCGUAGGUGACAGUUACGUUGGUUCUCUGUAGUCCACCUCUCGUUAGCAGGACGGGUAGGGUUUAUCGGCCUAUGGAUAAGCAUCCUUUGUGGUGUACUCUUAUCACGUGGUUCGUCCCAUACAUAGACAUACCCCUUUGAAGUAGAGAAACCAUAGUUAUCCUCUCUAUUCUGCUACCAUCGCCCAUAUAUUAGAUUGCUCUACUCUCUAUUCCCAUAUUAUCACCCACUGUUAUCUUACCUUUAAUAUUGUUCUUAUUCAAUUCUACCAUCUUUCCUAUUUACACCUAUCUAUUUAUCUUGGUUAAGUUAGAGCAUAGUUCAGUUCUCCCGUUUCCCUGUGGAUACGAUAAAACCUUUAACUGGGUAAAAGGCUACAACGGUAUCCGUGCGCUUGUGGAUUUAUCUAUGUGCGUAUAAAUACCAUAGUACACUCUAGUGUCAUGCUAGGGAUGACAACCUAGUAUUCAAGUGGUGUUAGCAAGUGUCAACAGAUACUAUAAUUCAUUCUUGCAAACUACAUUAAUACUAGGUCAACCAUGAAAUAUGAUAUAUAUACAUAGAUACUAAUUCAAGUGAAUGAUUCAAAAUAACAAAGUGGAUUUGAGCUAAAAAUAAUGGGAAAAUCACAAGCCAAAAACAACAUGAAAAAGACAAAAAAAGAUGAAGUUAGUCACCUCUAAGCACGAAGAGACGAUGACGGAGUCAAAGAAGAUCAACGAUGGGCGUCAGAGAUGAGGAACAAAGGAAGAACAAGCAAGAACAACAAAAUAGAAGCUCUAAGAACGACCAUGGUGCUCUCGGUUUCGAAUGGGCAGAGGGGAGGAGGUAGCCGGCCUAUAAACCGGACCUUUAGCACCGGUUCAGAGCACAAACCGGUGCUAAAGGGUCACCCUUUAGCACCGGUUCGUGUUACCAACCAGUGCUAAAGGGUUUGCCUCGGCCCAUGGCACUGGCCGGUGAUAUAAAGGCCCCUUUAGCACCGGUUGGUAACACGAACCAGUGCUAAAGGGUCCCUGCCCGGACAACACCUGUUAGUAGCCGUUGGGCAGGACCCUUUAGCACUGGUCCUUGUUCCGAACCGGUGCUAAAGGGGCCUUUAGCCCCGAGCCGCAAAAAAGCCGAGGUUUUUGGAGAUUUUAGGCAUCGACCAAUGCCUCAUUCUGUAGUAGUAGUGUUGUCUACUAAACUAAACACGUUAUGUGUUUGGUCUUUAUUAUGUAAAAAAAAAUGUGCUGGAGAGAUCUCACGGCAUUCUGUAAGUCUGAACCAAGUAGUACGAAAAUUUGGAUAUGGAGAAUCAUCAACAUUUUCAUUUCUUCUCUAAUAAUAAGGAUAUGUUUAGUUCCCUAUUAAAUACAAAAUACAAAAUAUCAAUUACUUUGGAAUAAUGAAAUACAAAAUGUCAAUUUAUUUUAUAGUUGUGUUUAGUUCCAUCUAAAAUGCUAAAUUUUUUCAGGUGCUGGCGGGGUGGGCACGGGCUCCCAGGUGUUUUUGGGCUUUUUUAGCCUCUUGAGACCAAAAUUCAAAACGGCGAAUAUCCAUAUUUUUAGUAAAAAUUUUUACAUGGUAUUUAGUUUCAUUAUGGAAAAUAAUAGAUCCAAAUAUAAAAUUUUAUGAUGAAAAGAGAAAACACCCCCGCAUUUUGGGAUGUGUUGUUUUCCGAUAUAAAGGGAUGGUAGAAUUGUUGCUGUGACCAAUCUUGUUGUACAUGUUUAUCAGUGGGCCUACUAGUGACCUCCUUGGUGGCAUGUUCUGGCCAGACUGCAGAAAGAAUAACUGUGGCAGGUGUUUUCCCUUUUUCGUAGUGGACAAACACGUUCGCCACAGUCAUAAGGCCACGGUAAAUCGUGUNNNNNNNNNNNNNNNNNNNNNNNNNNNNNNNNNNNNNNNNNNNNNNNNNNNNNNNNNNNNNNNNNNNNNNNNNNNNNNNNNNNNNNNNNNNNNNNNNNNNCUGCAUCUAGCUUCGAAUACAUUUAUUACCUAACAGACCGAAGCAAUAGCGGACCACGAGACUUUUGACCCUGGCAAAUUUUAAUACGAUGAGUAUUUGCUAUAGAAAAAUUGGAAACCGCUAAUGCGCGGCCGGCCGUGCAUUAAGCUUCCGGUACGCACAUUCCGUUUACGGAAGGUUUUUUAAAACCAUCAGUAACCAUUCCUAUUUGCUUUUGCACUCCUUUUUUCUCUUGUUGUCGUUUUCUACUUCUUCCAACUAACUCGCUGCUCCUAGAUUUUCUAGGCAUUAUUUAGCUCAUAUCCCAAAUAUUACAAAUUUGAUACAUUCACCAAAAUAAGCCGAAAUCAAAUAUAAACUAUUCAUCACACAUGACAUUUUGGACAUCUUGAGAUAUUUCGUAUAACAAUCCACAUAUGUCAUUUUGGGCACCUUGAGAUGUUUUGUAUAGCAACUCAGGCUUCUUAUAGAAGGGAACGUAUCCUGUGUAACCCAGCUUCGUGUGCAACCUAUGCAACUAUCAAUUAAGGCCACAAGAUCUAAAUCCAACGUCUGAGGUUUUUUCAUUUAAACCCUCCCAUCUAGAUACACACGGGUUAGAUUUAAACCCACAGGUGGAGGGGUUUAAGUGAAAAAAUCCUCAGACGUUAGAUCUAGAUCAUGUGACCUUAAUUGGUGGUUGCAUAGGUUGCACACGAAGCUGGUGCAUAUGAUACGUUGCCCUUAUAGAAUACAUAGACGAAAAGGUAGAUAUUAUGUACUACUACGAUAGAAAUACAUCUUGUUUGGACUAAAUCUCCUUGUGUUGGUAAUAUAUAUACUGAUCCACCAUGCAUCCCGCUUGCACACAUGGCUCUCUUUGUUCAUUUUAUCCCAUGUUGAUGCUUGAGAGACCAUCACACCUGCAAGUAAAAAAUGUUAAAAAAAUUUAGGCUUGCAGCAACUAGAUGUCAUAUAGCAUAUAUAAGUACUGAAACCUUGUCUAUGCAAAUGCAUAAACAUGAGGCACACCAUAGCAUGUUACUGAACAAAAAUUGCAUAACCUUGUGUUUUUUUGCCUAAUCCAGUACACUAUUAUUGUCUAAUAAAUUUGACUAACUACCUUGCAUGCCAUGAUAUAGCAGCACACAUCUAUCCUAUACACUUAAAGUUGUAGAUUGCUCCCCCUCUCACAAAACUCCUAUACAUGAACAGCUCCCAGACUCAGAACACUGUUCUGGUAACAGUAUCCAAGCAACCACCGUCGGAUCAGGCCGUAGUGAGCACCUACCGUCCAUGCAAGGAAUCAUCAUAUAUGUGUCAAAAAUAUAGAUUUGGAUGAGCUACCUCCAGAUUUUCAAUAGAAGGCUACAUUGCCUAUUUAGGAGCACAUUGUUGCCUAACAAAUGACUUAAUUUGCCUACAUGCCAUGAUAUAGCAGCACACAUUUAUACUAACUGUCUUGCAUGAAAGGAAUCAUCAUAUAGGUGUCAAAAAUAUAGAUCUGAAUGAGCUACCUCCAGAUUAGCAACAAAAGGCUAAAAUGCCUAUUUAUGUGCACAUUGUUGUCUAACUAAUGACUUAAAUUGCCAUAAAAAUGACACUUAAAUUGCCUAAGAAAAUGGUUGUGUUUUUCUUUUGCGUGUGUGCCAUCAUACCUCGUUGCUGCCAUUUGGACACCGGCACACAUACUCCACAAAAUCCCUGCCCUCUAGACAUUGUAUGAAGAACUAUCCCUGUAAAUGCAUGCAAAAAAGAGUUGUUUUCAUUACAUUUGUAUAUAGCAAGAAGCAAAAAAAACAUCACAGGUAAAAUGCCUACAAUCUGAGAAUAGAACAAAGGGCAACUAGCUCAAUAAUAUAAGUCAUCUAGUAUUUUCAUGUGUGCUUAGAAAUAAGGAACUCACAUGAAGAAAAUUUGGUAGUUAGCCUACUCGGUGGCUAUUAUUUGGUUGUAGCUGCACCUUAUUGCAGUUAUACCUACAAUAUAGUCUAGUUCACUUUUGCGGCCAAAAUAGCAGCAGCCGGCUGUAAGAAGUUGCAUUUUCUUAGGCAAUUUAAGUGUCAUUCAUUAGACAACAAUGUCUUCUUAAAUAAGUAGUUUUUGUAUUCUGAAAAAGCAAGUAUAGUAUUUGUGUUCAUUAGCAACCCACAACCCCACUCCCACCCCCGGUGUAAAAAUAAGCAGAGACAUAUGACUGUAUGAACCAUCACCUAGCAUUGCUAUAGAAGUAACAUGUAGUACAUCUUUGGCAUGCAGAUCUCCAAUGAAUGUAGAAGUGUUAAACCUAAAUCACAAGAAUACAAGAGAAAAAGAGAAGUAGGGAUCAGUUCAGAGCAGAUCCCAGAUGUGUAUAGAAAGAUUCAACAACAUGUCAAAAGGUAAGAUGAUAAGACUGGUAACCAUAAAGUGAAACAGAUGGUAAAGAGAUAUAUGCAUCUUUGAUCUUUCCACCUAUAGUUCUUUCAAAAGUGAUAAUUGUUAACACUAAAAACCAAGUAAAAAAAUUAGUGUGAACUUAGAGAAAGUUACCAUGAACAAAAAUCUGGGUGUUAUCAUGUCUACUAAAAACGUUAAUUGAAACUGUAGGAUCUAUCAAUUUGUUUCACUCGACUUUAGUUGGUAAAUGUUUUCCAAACUCCAACUUAAUUUCACUAUCUUACCAGUUUAUUCUACUGGUGUUCUCAAUUGGUAACUAUUUUUCCAAAUCCUACUUAAUUAAGCAAGCUUGCAUUCGCAUCUCAGUAGUUCACUUAGCAGAAAGAAAAAUAUAAUAGAAUUAAAUCAUUCUACAAACACUCACAUCGUUGCAGCCUUUAUAAAGAUGCUUCCCCUAGAACCACCUCCACCCUUCUCAUUGCUAUCCCCACCUGUGCAUUCAUGACCAGGUCGUCAUCAUAAAUGGUAGCAAAAAAAGCUGAUAUGUUGCGUAUCUAAAUGAUAUAUCGUUGCCUAUCCAAUGUUAUGUUAUUGCCUGUAUGAGCCCUUAUUGUUGCCCCGCCGUAUAAAUUAAACCUAGAGGAGGAUUAACAAUGGCAUAGCAGGUAGCUAGCUAUUGCCACCUCCAACUUGCCUAUGUGCUAUGCUUGAGGUGAUGAGGAGGAGAAUCGCAUCAGCAGAUGAAUUAAUGGAUGAAUGAAUGAAUAAACAAGCCUGGUUGGUGCAGAGUACAGCAGCCGGUGGAGCAAUUGGACAAAGAUUGCAUGUGGUUGUCAGAAGACAGAUGAUGCAUCAUUGGAAAUGCAAGCCAAGGUUAGUACUAUAAAAUGUGAUAAUCACAAUCGGGUACCAAAAAGGUUCAGAGUGAUGGCUGCCGUACUUCAAAAUUUUGCAUCAGAGAUGUAGACAGAGGUAAAAUUUUACGGUUCAGUUCUGUAACCUAGCCUCAUUCAGUCUAUAUAACGUAAAUGUUGGCAAGAAAAAAUCUUACUCUGAUUUGUUUUGAAUCUUUUGAAUGAAGAUCUAUAAUACUAGAGUAUUGACAAUGUUUAGAAAAAAUCUCGUUAGUUGAUACAAUAAGCAAUUAUUAAAAGGACAGGGAAAUGUGAAUCAUCAUAAUUCAUACGCACAAGGUAAGGGUUCAACUAGAACGGUGACUGAAACUUACCCCCACAGUGCCACCAUUACUCAUGACAUCUAAGAAGUAGUGCCCGUGAGCAUGGCCAUUAUGCCAGCUCCUCUCACCAUUAUCCUUGGAAGCCUUGAUCUUUCUUCUUGACAACUUGGAUAACUGCAAGAAAGUAAACAAACAGAUACAGAGCAGGACCCAACGACAGUGACACAACAAAGCUGUUAUUGUUGCCUAUCUAAAUAAUAUAUAGUUGCCUAUCCAAUGUUAUGUUAUUGCCAGUGUGAACUCUUAUUGUUGCCUAUGCAGUGCUAUAUUGUUGCUUAAACAUAUAAAGGUGUCAAAUGCAGAAUCUUAAAUACACCUUCUAACUUCUUUGUCCUCUGUUUUGAGCAGUACUCAAUGAUCUUAAAUCAACUGCUCAACAAGCAUCUGCAUGCAUCUACAAGAGAAUGACCAAAUUAAAAUCCCAUCAUUCAGUCACACACUUAAUAAGCACCAGAACAUUGUGCCCUCAAAUACCAACAUAUAGAUUACAAAACUACAUAUACAACAACCACGAAAAUCGUAAAGCAAAAUUAAAACUAAAACCACUCAAUCAUAAUCACUGAAUAUUAAAAAAAUAGAACAGGAUCUGGAUCUCACAUUAUUACCUAACUGUCAAUCUGUCACCGACGAAGGAUUGGGAGCGGGCAGGACCGUGCAGCCGACAGGGAAAAGAGCCAGUGGAGGGCCGAAGGGCCUGCAAGCCGGCCGGCUUGGUCCCUGAUGUAGCCGCGCAGGCGGUCUGGGAAGCUCCUCGCCUGCAUAGCUAGUUAGGCGGGGGAGGUGACCGACGUGACCUUGGCUGUGGCCACCGGUCGGCUAGGCUCGGCCCCAGGCGCAACCGCGUAGGAAGGAGCUCUGGCCCCUGGCAGUGGAGGUCGGGUUGGGGAAUGUAUGACCUGCAACCAUGGAUGAGGCGUGGGGAAAUCGAAUAAAAACAAAUCAGCAUCAAAAUCAAUCAGCUCACAAUUACAGGCGAAUCGAUUAAGCGACGGCGACUUGCCUCACAACACUAUAGCAUUGAGCGAGGCCACUAGAUCGUGGAUCUAGGGCAUCAGACCCUGGAUCUAGGCCGCCUGUCCAUGGAUGCGGCGACGCCCACGGCACUAUCCAGGUGGCGGUGCAGGGAGGCGGCGACGGGGAGCAGGAAAGGGUCAGCGCUGGGGAGCGAGUCCACUGGAGCAGGUCGUGCUCAUGGAAGAAAGGUGACCACGCGGGCCGGGGGAGAGAGAGAGACAGGGGCGAGUGGAAGACGAGCAGGUGGGCGACGACGAGCGUAAGAAGUGUCCGUGUGGGGCGAUAAUAAGAUGACGGCCGGCCAAAACAAAGUCUUUACCUUUUUUUAAAAAAAAAACCCGAGGAACUAAACUUUUCAAGGAACCGAACGGAUAACCAAAUGCCAAUCCCCUAAAUACUGGAUUGAGGUGGACGCAAGUCCGGCACAAAAAGGCCAUAUGGAUUUCUGACGUGUUUCGUGGGUACCUUCCAACUAUUUCUGACUGCAUGACAAAUAUGUACGAAUUCGGACAGAGCUUGCCUCACAUGUUUCUGUACCACCAAAAACCAGGUAAAUAGACCAGUUGAAACAAAACUGUACAGCUCGAGAGGCUAACACUAUCCCCACCAAAGAACAAGUGGGCGUGUUUGGUUGCCCCUUCUCCCCCAUCCUGAUUUUGCUCAUGCGUAUAUAUAUACCAAAAGAAGCUUCUUUGGUUGCCUUCAUUUACUGUUCUAUGCUAUAAUCAACAAUUGUACUCCUGUUAUAAAAAACAAUUGUACUCCCACAUGUGAUAUGCACUACUACAGGAUUGAUUAACCGCAACGAGCCCAUUUCCACCUCCGUGGCAGGCACAGUUUUCAUCCGCCACGGUUAUUCAACCGCACACAAUUACUUUUGGCCACAGGAACGCCCGCUGCGAAGACAAUGGCAAAGGACAAGGCGAUGGCCAUGGCCAGGACAAGGAGAAGGCACAAGACGAGGACGAUGGCGGAGAUAAGGAGAAGACACAAGUAGAUGAGGGGGACAAAGACAUGGGCACAACCUGUGCCCCUCCUCCAAACAGCCCACCUCGGAGCCCAAACAGACAACAAGGAGGCACGGAGGAGGCAACGAGGACUAAGACACCUCUGCCAACAGCUACUCCUACGCUUGAAGCCCCCUCCUCCACCAAGCAAGGAUGCAUGCAUGACCGCUAAGGAUGAAAACGGAACAGAAAUAUCGCAAACCGAACCGAACCGCUUUCUAUAUUGGAUCCGAUCGAAUUUAUAUUUUCUUGUCCGACUUUACCGUUUUCGCUUUUGUAUUUUAGAUGUUUCGUAUUUCAAAUGUAAAAGUAGAAAACGGUUUAGACAUUUUUCGACCGUUUUCUACUUUUCUACUUUUAAUUUGAAAUAUUUUGAAUUCAAAAUUUGGUUUAAAUCGAAUUUAGUCAACUGCACGGUCACACAGCCCCAAUUACAGAGUACUCACCAAGGAUUUGUGUUCUUUCUACUAGUGGCUAGCUAUGUUCCUGCUAGCUAUUAAUUGUUUGUUCUUAUUUAUGUGUGGGCUAUUGUAUUAAAUACCUAAGACCAAGAAUCAUGCACUUUUUAAUUAUUAUAUGCACUUAAACUUGAUCGUGUGUAUACUUAGUUAUGCACUUGGUACUACACAUCGGUAUUUCGUAUUGAGUUUCCGUAUAUCGACCGUGUUCGACAUAAAUCUGCUUGAAUUGGUUCGUUUUCGAAAUUCUUGAUAUUUCGUAAGUUCGCGUUCGUUUUCGUGUCCGACUUUACCGUUUUCGUUUUCGUUUUCGUUUUCGUAUUUCAAAUGUAAAAAUAGAAAACAAUUUAGGAGUUUUUCGACCGUUUUCAUCCUUAAUGACCGCCACACUGCUCCCGUACACUACUACGUCCGAAAGGUAUGAGAUAAACAAACAUAAUAUUCUCGUAACCUUUCUAUAACACAUCAAAUGGUAAUAACAUUUGUAUCCAUGUUUUGCCAGGCCUACAAAUACUCUUCAGAUCAAUCUAUUUACCGAGGCGGAAGACUGUCCUGGCCACUAUGAGCUUGGAAAGUUCAUGCUACCUAAGGCUCAGCUCAUCGACGAUGAAAAGUGGGAUACAAGGAAGUUCCACCUGUGGUAUAUGGAAGCGGCAAAAGCCGAGAUGACAGGUUUCACCGUCAAGAUUCCCAAGGAGUUGUUCCACUUGCCCGGUGGCGAUAUUCAGCUACAUGUGGACUUCUAGGACAUGUACAAUCUAUUGCGGGAUGAAGACCUUGACAUCGUCCAAAUCACCUUAUUCUCUCUGUAACUGAUGAUUGCGACCUUCAUAGACCAAUCUCUACAUUUGUAUUGGAGAACUAUAUGAUUUUUAGGACACGAUGACUUGUCCGUGCAGGUUGACGGUCACUAUUAGCAACAAAAGGCACCAUCCUAUCCUAUACCUCUCUCCAAUGCAUAUUGCUAAGAGAGUGAUCAAGGGUUUCAACAUAAUAGACCCAGAGUUGACCGUGCGACAGAGGGAAAAGAAGUACGAAGACAACAUGAAAGAGGAGAAGAAGAAAUUGUUAAGGUACAUCUUUGAAGUAGUGAAGAAGCUCAACCCGGAUGGGCCGCAUUGUAUUAUGGCUACCUACCACUUUGGGUAAGUCAAAAACAUCCAUGUAGAGCAAAAGUGGUUAGGAUCAUGCCUUCUCAUCGACAUAACUUAUACUUUGUUUCAAUGGUGUAGAAAUGACCUAGCCGGCGGCCACUGGGUUGCCUUCCUCAUCUAUCCUCAAGAUGGCCGGAUUGUCAUAUUUGACUCGUUACAGGUCCCGGACAAAAAGGGAUACAAAGCCUUCGAAGACUGCUUGAAAAAGUAAGCCACCGAGCUUCUUGAUCAUUUACGGUUAUCGUAUUCAAAUUGACGCUAACACUAAUACACUUCGUACAGCGCUUAUAGUGCAUAUCUCAAGGAUCCGCAAUGCUAGAAUUAGAGAACGGAGAAAUUUAAGAAGAGGCAUAAGCACCACCUCAAAAUCCGACAUGAUUUCCCGGUAAGUAUGUUUCAAAGGUAGUUCAAUCAUGUUUGUGGUACAUAUGUGUUCUAAUGCUUCUAUAUCGAUCAUGCAGUGCGCCAAACAACCCUUGGGAUCAAAGGCAUGUGGCUUGUACACCUGCGAGAACCUAAGGUAAAGCAGGGAGUACACCAACAGCUGGAAGAAGCUCAAGGAAGCACUGAAGGAUCAUGGAGAGACGAUGAAGAAUGAACACCACGCUUUCAAGCAAAUCAAGGCGGACAUUUGUAAGUUCAUCCUAGAGAAAUGUGUGCUCGAAGGCGAACCAUUCUUUGACAAUGAAGGUGAAUUUGCGGUUCGACCUGAGUUCGAGAAGUUUAGGAGAUGGAACACCAUGCUACGGCCGACGGAUUACGUCCAUACAGUAGAAUUGUGAUGUAUAGCGGCUUCCUCGGUUUCCUAUGUGUAUAUGUGAAUGAUGAGAACAACUAAGUGGAUUUAUAUAUUAUGUCAUGUCUUAUGUAUUGAACUUCUAGGCAUAUAUAUAUAUAUAUACGGCAGCGCUAUUCUACACCCUAAAUCUGAGCAGAAAAAUACUGAGCAAUACUGAACAACGUUCAGUAUCAUCCAGGACCGCGAAAUACUGAAUAAUACUAAAAUAUGGGUACUGAAUAAUACUGAAAUUUGUUCAGUAUAACACUUUGGUGUAGAAUAGUAUUCUACACCUAGAGUGUAGAAUAGCACUAUAAACACCCGGCGACCCCGACCAGCCAUAUACGGGCUCCUUGACAAAUACACAAUGAAACACAACGAAGUUGUUAUGGUAUCCAAAGGAUUUUUCUAUGGUAAAGACUUUGUUUUGGCCGGCCGUCAUCUUAUCGCCCCGCACGGACACUUCUUACGUUCGUCGUCGCCCACCUGCUCAUCUUCCACUCGCCCCUGUCUCUCUCUCUCUCUCUCCCCCGCGUGGUCACCUUUCUUCCAUGAGCACGACAUGCUCCAGUGGACUCGCUCCCCAGUGCUGACUCUUUCCAGCUCCCCGUCGCCGCCUCCCUGCACCGCCACCUGGAUAGCGCCGCGCAUUUUAGCCUUUUGUUGCUAAUCUGGAGGUAGCUCAUUCAGAUCUAUAUUUUUGACACCUAUAUGAUGAUUCCUUUCAUGCAAGACAGUUAGUAUAAAUGUGUGCUGCUAUAUCAUGGCAUGUAGGCAAAUUAAGUCAUUUGUUAGGCAACAAUGUGCUCCUAAAUAGGCAAUGUAGCCUUCUAUUGAAAAUCUGGAGGUAGCUCAUCCAAAUCUAUAUUUUUGACACAUAUAUGAUGAUUCCUUGCAUGGACGGUAGGUGCUCACUGCGGCCUGAUCCGACGGUGGUUGCUUGGAUACUGUUACCAGAACAGUGUUCUGAGUCUGGGAGCUGUUCAUGUAUAGGAGUUUUGUGAGAGGGGGAGCAAUCUACAACUUUAAGUGUAUAGGAUAGAUGUGUGCUGCUAUAUCAUGGCAUGCAAGGUAGUUAGUCAAAUUUAUUAGACAAUAAUAGUGUACUGGAUUAGGCAAAAAAACACAAGGUUAUGUAAUUUUUGUUCAGUAACAUGCUAUGGUGUGCCUCAUGUUUAUGCAUUUGCAUAGACAAGGUUUCAGUACUUAUAUAUGCUAUAUGACAUCUAGUUGCUGCAAGCCUAAAUUUUUUUAACAUUUUUUACUUGCAGGUGUGAUGGUCUCUCAAGCAUCAACAUGGGAUAAAAUGAACAAAGAGAGCCAUGUGUGCAAGCGGGAUGCAUGGUGGAUCAGUAUAUAUAUUACCAACACAAGGAGAUUUAGUCCAAACAAGAUGUAUUUCUAUCGUAGUAGUACAUAAUAUCUACCUUUUCGUCUAUGUAUUCUAUAAGGGCAACGUAUCAUAUGCACCAGCUUCGUGUGCAACCUAUGCAACCACCAAUUAAGGUCACAUGAUCUAGAUCUAACGUCUGAGGAUUUUUUCACUUAAACCCCUCCACCUGUGGGUUUAAAUCUAACCCGUGUGUAUCUAGAUGGGAGGGUUUAAAUGAAAAAACCUCAGACGUUGGAUUUAGAUCUUGUGGCCUUAAUUGAUAGUUGCAUAGGUUGCACACGAAGCUGGGUUACACAGGAUACGUUCCCUUCUAUAAGAAGCCUGAGUUGCUAUACAAAACAUCUCAAGGUGCCCAAAAUGACAUAUGUGGAUUGUUAUACGAAAUAUCUCAAGAUGUCCAAAAUGUCAUGUGUGAUGAAUAGUUAUAUUUGAUUUCGGCUUAUUUUGGUGAAUGUAUCAAAUUUGUAAUAUUUGGGAUAUGAGCUAAAUAAUGCCUAGAAAAUCUAGGAGCAGCGAGUUAGUUGGAAGAAGUAGAAAACGACAACAAGAGAAAAAGGAGUGCAAAAGCAAAUAGGAAUGGUUACUGAUGGUUUUAAAAAACCUUCCGUAAACACGGAAUGUACGUACCGGAAGCUUAAUGCACGGCCGGCCGUGCAUUAGCCGUUUCCUAAAAAACGGUUUCUAGAAAAUGGGAACCGGUUGAUUCCAAAAUUCUAGUAAAUGAAAGUCUUACAAAAUACAAGUACAACUCAUGUAUUUAGGUUCUUUUGGUUAAUUGGUUAACCGAGAGUAGGAACCCAAGUUUCUUUGGUUAUUUCGGUUUUGGCUAUAUGACCGAAUAAAGAACUAAACCUUUUGGUUUCGAGUCUUUCAGUUUAAGUUCAGGUUCUUUUUUUUAUGUUUUUUUGGUUUCAGGUAGUUAUGCCCAUCCCUAGUAUUGGAGUAUAUUAAAGUGGAAAUUCACUCAGGGUCGAGGCCUUGAGGUUCUGUUUGACUGCACUCAUAUCUAUCCAAAUCGACAUUGUGUUAAGGCGGAUUAUGGUGAAAAUUAAACUAACUUAGAGCAUUUCCACCACUUUCCUAAUAAUCAAUCCCCAAUAUGUAUAUAUUGGAGUAAGCCAAUAUUAUUAUUCCUAAAUAUUGGAGUGCCUGCAACAUUACCCCAAUACCCAUAUGGAAGAUGGAUCCCAUAAGAAUGCAGGGAGAAAGAUGGAUAAAAAGUAGUAGUUGGGGGAAUCCCCAUGUUAUUGAGUGAGAUACAUCUUCCCCUUUAUUUGAGGAAGGAUGAGAAAAAUAUUAGUGAUAAAAAAGAAAGUAUUAGAGAACUGAGCAAGAAAGAAGCAUAGUUAUCUCUAAUAUGAUAUUUUUAUGGGAUAGGGAGAAGUAUUGGGGAUUUGGGGUACUAUCGGAGACGUUGUUACAUUUUUGCCACAAACUGUUGUCUGAGAGUUGCCUGUAAAGUUUAGAAAAUUUGGAAAAAUGUGUUUGGUUGGAUGCCUAUGCCUGAGAACGCUAACUAAAGUAAAUUGAUUUUGUAUUAUCUAAAUAAGACCCGCAUACAUUAUUAUUGUUUGUAUAUUGAGAUAAAUUAUUUGUAUUAGCCUUUUUCUGAGUUCGUAAGAUUAAAAUAAUUAUUUUUCGUUAUAUUUAAUUAGAGUGAAGCAUGAGGAAUUAAAGUAACUAUAAUUAAUUAUUUUUUAUAAGUUGUCUUGUCAAGUCCGCAUAACCAUGUACUCUAAUUCAAGUAAAAAAACGAUAUAGGAUUUAGAAAUCGUUUAUGACAGUGACAUGGUCUUCAAAAUACAACUUUAAUCUCUUAUUUUUAUAAAAAUAUUUAGAAAAAAUGAUAUAUGUAUAUUUUUAUAAAAGUAUUUUUCAAAAAUAAAUCUAUUCAUAUAAUUUUCACAUUUACAAACUUAACAAUUUAAAAGUUAUUGGUAAUUUAUAUUCUCAAUAUUUGACUCAAACUUUAUCCAAAAGAGCUUCUAAAUCCUAGGAGGGAGUAGUUAAUUAAGAAAAGAGAGAUAAGACAGAACCGGUGCGAUUAGCAUACCAUAGCUAUUUCCAGGCAAGUGAGCUUUUACACCAGGCGCUGGAUAUCGUCCGCAUGGCUGGGCCAUUGUUGCCUGGAGCAGGCAAGGUGCAACUAAACGGUGUACAGGCAAAAACCAGGCAGCUGUUCAUCGAGGUAAUUGGAGUCCUAGUUUAGACUAUCUCCAAUAAUCAUCACUUAAAAUACAAGAUUCAUUUGUCCUUUGGAUAGCGCUAUAGGUAAAAGGUUUCAUACAUAAUUUUAGUCUUCUCCAACAACAAGAUCUAACCGUGUGUUUGGUUGGGGGUUGGGUGGGUUGGGUUGGAUCCAACACAGUUUUUAGGGACGGAGCCAACCCGUCCAGUGUUUGGUUGCACUUCUGAUUUUGGGGACGGAGCCAACCCAUUUUAGUGUUUGGUUGAAGAAUUGGGGACAGAGCGGCUCCGUUCAGUGUUUGGUUGAAGGAAUUUAGUGUUUGGUGGGAGCCAACCCAGCUGGAGCGGCUCCGUCCGCCAGAUUUUGACGGACGAGUCCAACCCGCAUCUGAGAGGAAUAUUCCACCCUGGAGCCAACCCAACCCUCUCAUCCUCCAACCAAACAGCCACAGGAAUGAGUUCGCUCCGACCCGGCUCGCCCCGCUCUCCAACCAAACACACGGUAAAAGACAACACUUUCUGCAAAUGGGUCUCGAGAAGAGAGGAUACCCAAAUUUAAAUUAUGUCUCUCCUAAUACUUAAAAUGAGUUUUCUGUAUGUGUACUUUAUUGAUACUAUAGGUAUUGUGUUGAAGACCCAUUUUAGGUUUGGGUUCCCAAAUAGGUCUUCUAUUUGAGACAAUCUUAGAAAAAAAAAGCCUAUCCCAGGUGUAUAGGAUGGAAAACACGUGAAAGAAUGAAAGCUAUCACCUAUUCUAGAUACAGAUAUGGUUCAGGUUACAGACCACCUUGCUAUUCCUCUAUUUCAAAUUAUAAGUCAUUUAAAGAAUCUUGGAAAGUCAAAACAUCUCUAGGUUUGAUCAAAAUUAUAGAGAGAAAUACUAAGAUUUGUAACAUAAAGUGAGUAUAUUAUGAAAAUAUAAGUAAGAAAGAAUCUAAUGAUACUUAGUUGAUAUCAUAAUAAUUAUUAUUUUAUCAUAUAAAUUUAGUUAAACUUUAGAUAUUUUUAUUCUCCAAAAUUCUUAAAAUAACUUAUAAUUUAGGAUGCAGGAAGUACAUCGGUAUAAACUAUGUUGUAAACUGUUGUUAAAGCUAAUUCUUCGUUGCAUGAAUCUAAGUCAAAACUUGCGAUGAUGCGGGAGCACAUGGCCAUGUACUCCCUCUAGUCCUCCUUUGAGCAGCAGCUGCAUCAGGCUUUCUCAAACACACUACGGUGGUAUGUUGUCUCGGUGUCCACCUCAGCUUCAGACUUCCAUAUCAUAGAAAAUUAGCCUCGCAGAGAGUCAUAUUGUCUUGCAAAGGAAACCAUUACCUCAUCUGACAAAAGUCAGAAGCAACAUCGGGAGCGCGGUGCGGUGGGAGUAAACUUUCUCAGGCUAGAAUAGAGUAGUGUGCUGAGUGUGGAUCUCGAAAGAGACAACACACAUACAACUUACAUUGAGAAUAAUCCUUCGGGUGUACGUGGAGGGUGACCUUUUCUCUAGGGCUAAUGCUGCUAUAUGCCCGCGUUGUUAUUGGCCUCACACGGCUCCGCACAUGCUUCAUCGUGUCAUUGUCGAGCCUGGCGUCAUGGAUUUUGGCCAUGUCUCCCGUGCGGGAGGGGUUCAUGAGAAUAAUGUGUUUUGUUUGGGUUGGACCUUGUUUAGCACUACUACACAAUAGGCCUUUAGUCACUUGUCCAAAAUGAACAAUAAUCUCGACCAAAACAGCGUCAGGGACAAAAACAUAUUUAGUCUCGGUUGGUGAGACCAACCGGGACUAAAAGUCCCCUACCCAACGGCUAUUGUGUCAGACAUCGGCGGAGGAGACUUUUAGUCCCGGUUGGUCUCACCAACCGGGACAAAAGCCUAGCCUUUAGUCCCGGUUGGUGGUACCAACCGGGAUUAAAAGCUGUUGUCCCGGUCCGUCCCACCGGCCGGGACUAGUGUUGGAAUUUAGACCCGGUUUUUAAAAGGACCGGGACUAAAUGUCCCUCCCCAUAUUUGAACUCUUCUUCCCGUGGCCGAGCCCAUCGAUCUUCACUCUUUUGCUCUGUUCUUCAUUUGGAGUUGCUUGUUCUUGCUCUCAUCUCCGGCUAUUGAUUCAUUUCAUUGUUUCUACACCGUCAUCGACUUGUUAAGAGGUCACUAGCUUCAUCUUCUCAACAUUUAGAAGCGGCAUAUGUCAUUUCCUAGUGUUAUGUAUAUUGUUUUUUUAUUUUAUGGUUUUUUUAAGAGGUUAUUAGCUUCAUCGCCAUUUCAAAAGCGACACGUUCUUUUAGAGAAAUAGUGGUAAUAUGUUUUUUUAUUUUAAUUAGUUUAGAAAAAAAAUAAAAACAUAUAAUACUUUAAUUUGCAAUUUUUGACCGAUUUAGUUAGUUAAUUAUAACUAGUAUGCAUACCACAUUUCAUGAUUAUUUAGGAAAAUAGAGAAUUUUUGUGCUUUUUUAAUAUUGCUUGUUUAGAUAAAUUAGAAAUAGAGAAUUUUAGGUUUUUUGUUACUUUAAUUUCUCUAUUAAAAAUUAGAAACUUAUAAUACUUUAAUUUGCACUUUAUGACAUGGUUAAUUAGUUAAUUAUAACUAGUAUGCAUGCCACAUUUCAUGAUUAGUUAGAAAAUAGAGAACUUUUAUGUCUUUUUAAUUUUGUUGGUUUAGAAAAACCAGAAAUAGAGAAUUUUAGGUUAUUUGUUACUUUAAUUUCUUUAUAAAAAAUUAGAAACUUAUAAUAUUUUACAUUGCAAUGCAGACAAUGACACGUCAUUGGAUGUACAAUGCCGAUCGCCGCUCCAAAGAAUUCAUUGAUGCUGUGCAUUAUUUCUUAAGAGUGGCCGAGGAAAACAAGGGGGAUGGAUUCAUACGUUGCCCAUGUGCCUUGUGUCAGAAUUUGAAGGAAUAUUCUAGCUCUAGAAAUAUUCACUCACAUUUGUUGAAGUCGGGUUUUAUACCAAACUAUAUUUGUUGGACCAAGCAUGGAGAAAACGGGAUAAUGAUGGAAGAAGGUGAAGAAGAACAGUUGGAGCCUGACGACAUUAUUGCUCAAUACGGUGACUUCGGUGAUACAGCAAUGGGAGAAGCUGAAGAUGAGGCAGGUGCAGAAGGUGCACCUGUUGAAGAUGAUGCUCUUGGUGAUGUCAUUCGUGAUGCACAAAAAGAUUGCGAAAGUGAAAAAGAGAAGACAAAGUUUGACCACAUGUUAGAAGAUCACAAGAAAUUACUAUACCCAUCUGCCCAGGAUGGGCAAAAAAAACUGGGUACAACACUAGAAUUGUUAAAAUGGAAGGCACAGAAUGGUGUAUCCGAUAAGGCAUUUGGGCAAUUACUGAAGAUCCAAAAAAAAUGCUGCCGAAGCCUAAUGAACUGCCCACUACUACGUACGAAGCAAAACAGAUCGUCUGUCCUUUGGGAUUAGAAAUCAAGAAGAUACAUGCAUGUCCUAACGACUGCAUCCUAUACCGUGGCAAGGACUACGAGAAUUUAGAUGAAUGCCCCAUAUAUAAAGCAUCACGGUAUAAGAUUAGGCGAGAUGACCCUGGCGAUGUUGAGUGGGAAGAACGUCCUAGAAAAAAAAUCCCUGCAAAGGUUAUGUGGUAUGCUCCUAUAAUACCACGUCUGAAACGUCUUUUUAGAAAUAAGGACCAUGCAAAAUUGUUGCGGUGGCACAAAGAAGACCAUAAAGUAGACAACAUGUUGAGACACCCUACUGAUGGGUCCCAGUGGAGAGCAAUAGACAGGGAAUUUCCAAAGUUUGCAAAAGACGCAAGAAACUUAAGGUUCGCUUUAAGUACGGACGGUAUGAAUCCUUUUGGUGAGCAAAGCAGUAGUCAUAGCACUUGGCCUGUUACACUAUGUAUCUACAACCUUCCUCUAUGGUUAUGCAUGAAGCGAAAGUUCAUUAUGAUGCCGGUGCUCAUCCAAGGCCCGAAGCAACCGGGCAAUGACAUUGAUGUCUAUCUAAGGCCAUUAAUUGAAGAACUCCUUCUUUUAUGGAGUGAAACAGGUGUUCGUGUGGCGGAUGAGUACAAACAGGAACACUUCGACCUACGAGCACUGUUGUUUGUGACAAUCAAUGAUUGGCCUGCUCUAAGUAAUCUUUCAGGGCAGACAAACAAGGGAUAUAAUGCAUGCACACGUUGUUUUGAUGACCUUGAUAGUAUAUAUUUGAAAAAAUGCAGAAAGGUCGUGUACCUUGGGUAUCGUCGAUUUCUUUCUAUGAAUCACCCAGUUAGAAAGAAAGGAAAGCAUUUUAAAGGUAAGGCAGACCACCGAUGCAAGCCUCGCAACAGAACUGGAGAUGUAUUUGAGAUGGUUAAGGAUGUGAAAGUAGUUUUUGGUAAGGGACAAGGCAGCCAACCAGUUCCAAAAGAUGCAGCGGGUCAUGCACCCAUGUGGAAGAAGAAGUCAAUAUUUUGGGAGUUACCCUAUUGGCAAGUCCUAGAGGUCCAGAAUGCGAUCGACGUCAUGCACCUAACAAAGAAUCUUUGUGUGAACCUUCUAGGAUUCAUGGGUGUAUAUGGUAAGCCUAAGGAUUCACUUGAAGCACGACAAGACUUGCAACGCACGGAAGAACGAGACAACCUGCAUCCAGAGAAGACAGAUGAUGGACGCCAAUAUUUAAGACCUGCUAGCUACACUCUUAGCAAUGAAGAGAAAGAAAUCAUGUUUGAAUGCUUAAGCAGCAUCAAGGUCCCAUCUGGAUUCUCCUCUAAUAUAAAAGGUAUAAUUAAUGUGCCUGAGAAGAAAUUUUUGAACUUAAAGUCGCAUGACUGCCAUGUGCUUAUGACGCAAUUGCUUCCAGUUGCAUUAAGAGGAAUUCUACCUCCACAUGUACGUCUGGCCACCGUAAAGCUAUGUGCAUUCCUCAAUGCAAUUUCUCAGAAGGCAAUCAAUCCACUGGAACUAGCUGCUCUACAGAAUGAUGUGGUUCAAUGUCUUGUCAGCUUUGAGUUAGUGUUCCCUCCAUCCUUCUUUGAUAUCAUGACACACCUCCUAGUUCAUCUGGUCAAGGAGAUCAAUAUUCUAGGUCCUGUGUUCCUACAUAAUAUGUUUCCCUUUGAGAGGUUUAUGGGAGUUCUGAAGAAAUAUGUUCACCAACGUGCUCGGCCAGAAGGAAGCAUCACCGAGGGCUAUGGGACAGAGGAGGUCAUUGAGUUCUGUGUUGAAUUCAUUCCUGAACUUGACCCAAUUGGUGUUCCUGAAUCGCGCCACGAGGGGAGACUGAGUGGAAAGGGAACACUAGGAAAGAAAACAUACAUCGGUACGGGGGACGAUUCUUUCAAUAAAGCACCCUACACAGUUCUUCAAAACUCAUCCGUGGUGGAGCCGUAUGUCACGAAACACAAGGACUUCCUACGAUCGCAAUUCCCAGAGNNNNNNNNNNNNNNNNNNNNNNNNNNNNNNNNNNNNNNNNNNNNNNNNNNNNNNNNNNNNNNNNNNNNNNNNNNNNNNNNNNNNNNNNNNNNNNNNNNNNNNNNNNNNNNNNNNNNNNNNNNNNNNNNNNNNNNNNNNNNNNNNNNNNNNNNNNNNNNNNNNNNNNNNNNNNNNNNNNNNNNNNNNNNNNNNNNNNNNNNNNNNNNNNNNNNNNNNNNNNNNNNNNNNNNNNNNNNNNNNNNNNNNNNNNNNNNNNNNNNNNNNNNNNNNNNNNNNNNNNNNNNNNNNNNNNNNNNNNNNNNNNNNNNNNNNNNNNNNNNNNNNNNNNNNNNNNNNNNNNNNNNNNNNNNNNNNNNNNNNNNNNNNNNNNNNNNNNNNNNNNNNNNNNNNNNNNNNNNNNNNNNNNNNNNNNNNNNNNCAGAUAUUUCAAAAGAUUAUGAAAGGGAUGACCGAAUCACGCUUUUCAAUGUGACCAAAGAUCCGAGCAUACUGAUAAAUGCUGAGGACACUCCAUGGUUACGUCAAGAUCAUGACCAAGGAACAUACGUCAAAAAGAAGAUCACUAUUGUGCCCGCCUAAUAAAUAGAUUGCAAUAUAGUAUGUGUAUGUGACAUUUGUAACUUAAGAUGUUUAUAUUAGUUUUUCUUAUUUUAUAUCAUUUCAAAUAAUGAAAUGACAUUUAAGUUUGCUAUAUGAAACUACAUGUGUCAAUUGUGGAUUUUGAACUACACCUUCGCAACACUUUGUCAAAUGCAAAAAAUGGUCUAUAUAUUAAAUGUAGAUUUUGAUGAGUGGAACAAUAUUGGUAUUCAUGACUUUUCCGUUCGAGACCAUCUAGGGUUCCGAAAACCAAUGCGUGGCUAUGAAUUCUAUCAAAAUUCAAAAUUGAGUGGUUCAAACUUUUCCAAAAGAAAAGUUGACCAUUAGACAAAAUGUAGAACUUGAUGAGUGCAACAAACUUUGUAUUCAUUACUUUUCCAUUUGGGACCAUAUAGGGUUCGGUCAAAGUGUGUGUUUCUAAAAACCAAUGCUUUGACUUUGGUCAAACUUGGUCAAAUGACCCAUUUGAUGACUUGAAAUGAAAAAAAUUUGAAUACAAAGUUGUUAGAGAUCAUCAAGAUCUACAUUUGAUAUAUUGUCUAUUUUUCCAUUUGGAUAAAUUUGACGGUAUUGGUCAAACUUGGUCAAAUGACAAACUAAAUUACUUAAAAUGAAACAAUUUUGAAUACCAAGUUGUUAGAUAUCAUCAAGAUCUAAACUUUUUAUAUAGAUAAUAGAUCUAAACUUUUUAUAUAGAUAAUUUUUCCAUUUGAGAAAGUUUAAGUUCACAAUACCCACCAAUUCUUGAAUCUCACACAAACUAUAUGAAACUACAUGUGUCAAUUGUGGAUUUUGAACUACACCUUCGCAACACUUUGUCAAAUGCAAAAAUAGUCUAUAUAUUAAAUGUAGAUUUUGAUGAGUGGAACAAUAUUGGUAUUAAUGACUUUUCCAUUCGAGACCAUCUAGGGUUCCGAAAACCAAUGCGUGGCUAUGAAUUCUAUCUAAAUUCAAAAUUGAGUGGUUCAAACUUUUCCAAAAGAAAAGUUGACCAUUAGACAAAAUAUAGAACUUGAUGAGUGCAACAAACUUUGUAUUCAUUACUUUUCCAUUUGGGACCAUAUAGGGUUCGGUCAAAGUGUGUGUUUCUAAAAACCAAUGCUUUGACUUUGGUCAAACUUGGUCAAAUGACCCAUUUGAUGACUUGAAAUGAAAAAAAUUUGAAUACAAAGUUGUUAGAGAUAAUCUGAUGUAAUGGUGAAUAUUGUUGUAAGCAUAAAUAAAUAAGAAAUAGAGAAAAAUUUUAAAAAAAUAAUUCGAUGUAAUGGUGAAUAUCACGUAUAUCAUGAUUUUGGAGAUAAAUGAUGAUAAAUAAACAAAAUUUACAUUUAAAUAUUGCACAAACAAAUUUUUCUAUCAAAAACAUCUGCUUUAAGAUAUUAAAAUUAAAUAAUACAUUUUUGCAUUAACAAAAUACUAAUUAUUUUUCAUAUUUAAGUUUGUUAAUUGUCGAGGGUAUCAGUAAGGGGUAUCCUCACUAAUGCACAUAACAAGAUUACCCGUAUGCAGGUCGAGGCCCUCAACUCGACCCUAAACCCUAAACCCUAAACCCCUACCUGGCGCGCCAACUGUCGGUGUUUUCCCACGGGGGUCACACCAACGAGUAAAUUUGUAUGCGUGCUCCCUUUCCCAAAUGGUGAUGCAAGAAUACACAAAGAUUUAUCCUGGUUCGGGCAAGAGAAGGCCCUACGUCCAGCGGGGGAGGGAAGUUUGUAUUAUCUUGCACCUAAGUGCUUGUACAGGGGUGGAUACAAGCGUGGUAUGGAAUGGAGUAUGGGAGUUCUACUGAGUAUGGUGUAGUGUUGCGCGUGUGUUAUCUAUUCCCGGGUCCUUCCUUUUAUAGCACCAAGGAGAGACCGAGGGUACAUGCGUAGGUAUCAGAGUAGGGGUCGAUAGAAGCAUGGCGCGCUGACCUACUCGAGGCCUCCGUACCGGCGUAGUCUCGAGCCGUCCCGUCUCGGUAGCUUGAUGAUGAUUACGCGUGCUCCUGUAUCCUGCUCUGCGCGCCGUCUUGGGCUGGUUCACCGAUCGCACGCUUGUACGGUAUGGCGGCAGAUCUGGCGGAGUGGUUGCGGUGUUGUCAGUCGACGCCCAAUUCGUCUCCAAGAAGGAACCAUGUCUGGUCGAGGGUCGGACGCCGUGCAAUCCCCUGAUAUCCGGAGCGCUGACCUUGGUUGUCUCGAGGAGGUCCUGAUUAGACGUUCCAUUCCUGUUUCCCACGUCCUGACACGCCCUGGGUUGUUUGGUGGGGAAGGCUGCAAAAAGUACGACGGGACAGGUGCCUGUUCCCUAUCACGCUUCCCGUGAUCAGCGCGUUAGGUGGGAAAGCGACAGGCGCAUUAAAUGCCCUGGCUCUCGUGCGUGCGUCAGGCGACGGGCGGCGUCCUUGCGCUCGACGCCUCCUGGUUCGCGCGAGCCCGUUUCCGUAUUCGACGGUAGCUGGUGCUCGACCCCUGAUCGAUUCGCUCGAUGCCAUUUCCGUCUUUGAGGCUGCGGUCGUCGACGACCGCGCAUAUGUAUGACCAGAGCGUCGAGUUGAGGGCCUCGACCUGCAUACGGGUAAUCUUGUUAUGUGCAUUAGUGAGGAUACCCCUUACUGAUACCCUCGACAUUAAUAUAAGUGAUGAAAAGAUUUUAUGUUUCCAAAUUUAUUAUGUAACCAAUUAGACAAAAAGAAAUGGAACUAUUAUUUUUUAACAAAUUAAUACCUAUUAUUCUAUUUACUAUGCAAUGAAAAACAUUAAUCUAAUUAUUGUAUGCAUAAAUAAAUAAGAAACUGAAAAAUACAUUUAGUCCCGGUUUCUGGCUAGAACUGGGACCAAAGGUUGUAUUUAGUCCCGGUUCUAGCUAGGAACCGGGACUAAAGGGUGGACCUUUAGUCCCGGUGCGUAGCACCAACCGGGACUAAAGACCCUUUAGUCCCGGUUGGUGUUAGUGUUACGCACCGGGACUAAAGGUCUCCGCGUGUAUAUAAGAAAACUGUCGUCUUCAUCCUCCAGAUCGACGUUGCCCUAGCCUUCUUCACCGCUGCCGCUCCCCGCGCUGCCUCCACAUCCUGCCCGAGCCACCGCUGCCUCCUUCUUCUCCGGCGUAGAGACUCUCCCGGACGAGCGCCGCCGCCGCUUCCUCGCCUCCGGACAUCGUCGCGCCGCCUCCUCGUCAUCCCCGAGCCGUACGUCGUCGUCGCGCCCCUGUGCGGCCUUCGAGCUUCUCCGGCGCCGCCUCCUCGCCCUCAUCGCCCCCGCGGCCACCUCCUCGCCCUCGUCAGAGCGCCUCCGACCGUCGCUCUCCUCCCCGGCCAGAGAACGCUCGCGCCGCCGUCGUCGAGGAUGAGCACGUUUAGUGAAUUUUAUUUGAAUGAAUGAGGCGGCGCCGGAGAAGAAUCCGUUCCCAAACGAUUUUAGUGAAUUUUAUGAAUGAGAUGAUUUUAGUGAAUUGUAUGAAUGAGAUGAUUUUAGCGAAUUGUAUGAAUGAGAUGAUUUUAGUGAAUUUUAUUUUUGAAUGAAAAGAAUCGGUUCCCAAACGCAUGAUAAAAAUCAUUUUAGUGAAUUUUAUUUGAAUCAAAACUAUAAUUUAAACUAUGAAUCUGUUGUGGCCCAAAUGCAUGAUAAAAAUCAUUUUAGUGAAUUUUAUUUGAAUCAAAACUAUGAAUCGGUUCCCAAACGCAUGCCCACGAGAAAUACGUACCUCUCGCCAAAAUAUACUCCUACAUCUAUACUUGUUGCACUCCGAUCGACGAAACACAUGCGCUCACGAAAUGUACACUUUUUAAAAAUCAAACAAUUCAAAAUAUUUAUGACAUUUCUAUAAAAGAUAUAAAUAUUAUUAGAUUAAUUAUUUAUAUAUUUUUAUACUAUAAAUUUACUUGAGACAUAACCUUGUUGUGUAUAGUUGAACUUGAAUAUAGAAAGCACAAGUUACUUUAAUUUAAAUAAAAAUUGUAAUUUAUCCUGUGUUGUAAUUAGUUAGUAGGGAUAGAUAUUGAGAUGAGAUGUAUAAUUUCUAUUUUAUAAAAUAUUUUUUGUAUUAUAUAAUUUAUAUGUUAUAAUUUAUCCAGUGUUGUAAUUAGUUAGUAGGGAUAGAUAUUGAGAUGAGAUGUAUAAUUUCUAUUUUAUAAUUUAUCUUUUGUAUUAUAUAAUUUAUAUGAUAUAAUUUAUUCUGUGUUGUAAUUAGUUAGUAGGGAUAGAUAUUGAGAUGAGAUGUAUAAUUUCUAUUUUAUAAUUUAUAUUUUGUAUUAUAUAAUUUAUAUGAUAUAAUUUAUCAUGUGUUGUAAUUAGUUAGUAGGGAUAGAUAUUGAGAUGAGAUGUAUAAUUUCUAUUUUAUAAUUUAUCUUUUGUAUUAUAUAAUUUAUAUGAUAUAAUUUAUCCUGUGUUGUAAUUAGUUAGUAGGGAUAGAUAUUGAGAUGAGAUGUAUAAUUUCUAUUUUAUAAUUUAUCUUUUGUAUUAUAUAGUUUAUAUGAUAUAAUUUAUCCUAUGUUGUAAUUAGUUAGUAGGGAUAGAUAUUGAGAUGAGAUGUAUAAUUUCUAUUUUAUAAUUUAUCUUUUGUAUUAUAUAAUUUAUAUGAUAUAAUUUAUCAUGUGUUGUAAUUAGUUAGUGGAGAUAGAUAUUGAGAUGAGAUGUAUAAUUUCUAUUUUGUAUUAUAUAAUUUAUAUGAUAUAAUUUAUCAUGUGUUGUAAUUAGUUAGUAGGGAUGGAUAUUGAGAUGAGAUGUAUAAUUUCUAUUUUAUAAUUUAUCUUUUGUAUUAUAUAAUUUAUAUGAUAUAAUUUAUCAUGUGUUGUAAUUAGUUAGUAGGGAUAGAUAUUGAGAUGAGAUGUAUAAUUUCUAUUUUAUAAUUUAUCUUAGUUGUUGUAUCGAAUAUUGUCUAAGUUUAGCCUAUCUAAAUAAUUUUUGUUGAUCGCGUCAAAAACUUUUAACACUUGAUUAAAUUUGCAGAAAUGGCCAAUCCGAAUGACAACAUGGAUGAUGCAAUGAUGGACCUACUCAACAGCGGUGCCAAUCCAGAUCCCCAAGGCGAAGAUGAUGGGAGUCAGUACUUUGCUGAUUAUGAAGAAUUUGUGGGAGACAAUCCUGAUCAGGUCUAUCUACAAUCUAGUAUAUAUGUAUAUAUAUGAAAUUAAAAUAAAUGACAUUUAUACUAAUAUAUUUAUACUUGUUUGUGUAGCCCUCUAAAUCGGCGACAACUUAUGAGAGAGUAGAAAAGUGCGCGGUCCGAAGAAGCCGUUGGAGGGUCGGUACAUUCUGUCGGAAUUCGAUGAGGGUACAGGACAAGUACUUGGAGCUAAUUCUAAAAAAUUUGUUGCGCACUGUGGCUACCUUGUAAGGGACAGGCUCCCGGUCAGUGCUCGUGAAUGGAGGCAACGGAAAGAUAACCCUAAUAUUAGUUUUGUCUCAGAUCGUGACAAGGAAUUGAUUUGGCAAGAUAUCCUUCAACAUUUCACGCUCGAUACACAGGAUGAAGCUUUGAAGGAGAAGGUUAAAAUCUGGGCUAUGCAGAAGAUGGCCAAACAAUUUCAGGCUUGGAGGAAGACAUUAUACAAGACUUUUGUUGCACAAGGCCGGACACCAGAUUUCACCAACAAGGCCUACGUCAAGUUGAGGCCUUUUUGGGAUGAGUUCGUAGAGUUUAAGAACUCAGAAGAGGGUCAGGCACGGAUGAUCAAGAAUCAAGAAAAUGCUAAACAAAAGCAAUACCACCAUCACUUGGGUUCAGGUGGCUACAGAACUGCUAUUCCUAAGUGGCAAAAGCUGGAACAGGAGAUUCUUGGGAGAGGGAUCGAACCAGAAUCAAUGCACUGGCCCGAGCGCGCCAAGUAUUGGUUCUUUGGUCAUGGGGGAACCAUAGACCUAGAGACCGGAAAGAUAGUGUACGGCGAAAAGCUCGAGAGAGUAGGACAGAGAAUGGCCUAUGCUAGAGGAUUAGUUGAAAGCGGCACCUGGCAGCCAAAUAGAGAAAAGGAUGAGCUGACAUACGCCCUGGAGACUGCUGAACACGGUGGGCGAACCAGAGGCUAUGGGGAGAUAUCAUGGGAGCAUGGCUUCCCUAAAGAUAGACCGACUUAUAGAAGCCGCCAACGAAAGAAGAAAGAGGAAGCAGAGCGGUUGCAUAGGUUGGAGGCAAUGGUGAUUGAGUCACGCGAAGCGGAUCGUAAAGCGAUAGCGCAAGAGAAAGCGCUUGAAGAGAGAAUGAACGAGGAGAUCAAAACACAAGUGCAGAUUACAGUAAGUUCUAUACAAGGGCAAACUGCAUCAGAGCCUAGAGUCAACAUUAGCCCCCCCCCCCCGGUCAGUUGAAAAGUAGUUGCGCUUCCACAGAGAUGCCAACUAUUCAAGACGACGUGGGGCUGCACUUUCCGGGGGAUGACAUCACUGAACCUCUGACAACAUGUGAGCUGCACAUUCCACAGGGGACUGCCACAGUCAUGGUUGCUGUCGCUGUUGUAACUCCUGUCGACCCUACGAGGACACCAAGAAUCCAUGGGGCGAUAGUUCCACCUGGAUAUGCUAGUGUCUCGGUGGAUAGAGUUGUCAAAGGCUUCAGUAAUGUGCAGCUUGAGAUAGAAGGAGGUGAUGGAGAGAAGACUCUAGGAGAAGCAGAGAAGACUUUUAUUUGUUGGCGCAAGCGCUACAUCAUUAUUCCUGGGGCAUCACCUAGUAGUCUACCACCACCUCCUUGUCAUGAAUCUAAUCCUAGGUGCGGAUGAAAAUUGACAAUACAUUUGUUCACUAAAUUUAUUUUGCAUUCUCUUAGUUAGCGGUUUACUCAUAUACCUUUUGUUUUCACAGGUGGUCACCGACAUGUCAUAGUGCUGCGGGUGAUGACGAGGGAGUGCAAGACACGGCUGCAUCGCCUCGAUCUCCAACGCCACCACCUAGGGCUCUAACACCGCCACCUCGGGCUCCAACACCGCCACCUCAGGCACCAACACCGCCACCUAGGGCUCCAACGCCACCUAGGGCUCCAACACCGCCUCCUCGGGCUCCAACACCGCCACCGGCCGCCCCAUCGCCUCCACACGUGGCUCCAGCACGAAAGAAGAGGCCGGCCACACAAUCAAAUGUGUCGGCCGCCCCGCCGCAAAAAAGAAAGCCUCCGAAAAGAAACAAGCUAUCAUUCCUAAGAAGCUGUCCAAUGAGAAGACUGAUGCAGAACUAAAUGCUUCAGUAAAAUCAGACGUGGAUAGUUUCUUCAAGAAACUUAAGACUGAAAGAGAAGCCAAGCGAAACCUUGAGAAGCCGUACCUCUUACUACGGCCAUAAGAUCUACGACAAAGGGUUGAGGUUGAACAAAAAAAGAGACAUGAAGCUCAGAAAGAAUCAUCAUCUUUAUCGGACUAUGAUCGCACUUUAAGAAAAUCCCUAGAAGAAGAGAAUAAGAAAGAGAAAAGAGCACGCAAGGGUGUAGCACAGCUCGGGGAACAAUCAAAGCAAUCAGUGCCCCCGCUAGUCAUUGGAAAUGAAUAUGGUUCAAACAUUGACGUGCUAGACCAGCAGAUACCGGCAGAUUUAAAAUUUGAAGAGCUUGAAAAUUUUUUGCGGAAACUGGUCUUAGCUUAGCCCAAAUGAUAGCAGGGGCAUCAAUUGAAAGUGCUCCACAAAUUGAUCAUUGGCAGAAGGAAUAUACAUAUGACAAGAGUUUAUACAACCCUGCGGCCCUCAACAAGCUUGGAACGCAAAUGUACAUGCUAAACAAAUGGUACAUGGAAGCGUGUGUCAGAAAAGCAGAUGACUAUAUUUGUGUCCGAAUUAGAAACUAUCAUUACUUCCAUGGUGAUGAUAUUAUUUAUGUUCAAUUGAAUGAGCUACACCAACUAUGCCACAUGGACGCUCGACAAAUCUCUAAUGAGUUGCUUCUGUCUGUAAAUGAUUCUUCCUUUCAAUAAUGUCUCUGUAACUUAUCAUGUAUAUAUAUAACUAAUUACAGAAACCCGUUAUACAUAUGCAGAAACAUGAUGAGGGACCUUAGAGUUAGAAAUGACAAGGAGAUUGGAUUUGUGGAUCCAAAUGUUGUAUUCAAAGACCACAAGACCCCGUAUGUUUUAUGGAGAACUCAAACGGAGAGAAAUCUACGGAGGUUCUUGAUCAACCAAAAAGAUAAAAGAUAUAUACUCUUUCCCUACAACUUUAAGUAAGUGUCGUUAUCGUGUGUACAUUCUAUUUAACUAAUUAAUCAGAUCAAUAUGAAGAUAUAUACUAAUUUUGCCUACAUAUGCACACAAAUGCAGCUUUCAUUGGAUACUAGUUGUCAUUGAUCUCUGGCAAUGUCAAUUGGUAAUCUAUGACUCAUUGAGAAAACUACAUGAUGAUUACUGUUGAUAUUUGGGAACGCAAUAAGGAAUUGAUCCGCAAGCGCACGGAUAUCGGUGAGCACUUCACCCGGGAAAUUAUCCAGAGUAUCGUAUUUAUUUUUUUUACCACUAGGAGAAAGAGUGCAUCUGACUAACCGGUCUAUUACUACUAACCUUUAGGCACAAAGAAUGUCUUUCGAUGUGAGUGAUAAAUAGAUAAGACUGCAACCGUAGUCUCCUUCUAACCUUGGUAAGGAUGAUCUACUGUUCUAAUGGGGAGGCUAACGUAAUCUAGACACCACAAAGGAUGUUCAACCCGCACCUAUAAACCCUAUCCUUCCUGCUAACGAGAUGUGAUCUACAAAGGUAGCUCGGAAUUGUCACGUUCCUCACUACUACCACGGUCCAGCUAGUCAGGGAAUAUCUAUGAGUACCCCAGCCUAAACACCACGUUUACGCCAGCAAUGAUUACUCUAAACUCUACGCGAAGAGAUUAAAGUUAACUCAUAUACCAUAAGAACAAUAAAACAAGAACUUACUAGAAUUUAGAAGUCGAAUUACUGAAGAAUCCUAGGAGCAAGAUUCGGGUUAGGAGAACUUGAUCCCGCAGGUACAAGCUUGGAGUAGACACCGACAGGCCGGGCUUCCUCCAAUCUAUACCUCCACUCUAUCUCUCUCAAUCUAGUAGAAACUAGAAGAUCUAUUUCUACCUUACAUUGAUUGCUAAGCCUAAAAAGAAAUAUUAAUUAGAGAAGAGGUUUUCCUUCGAGGGCACCCCUCAGUCUCUAUGAUAAUUUCUUCAUGUCUUCUCCAGGGGCCAGGGGGGUCUCCUUAUAUAGUCCUCCUCUUCUAUGCGUUUUUGGGUCGAUAGGCGAGGUGGUACUAUGUUUUUCUUGAUCCAAUAGGUCGGUGGAAUAUUCCGAGCGAAGAGAGUCCUGAUUGGCAUCCAGAGGGGGGCGGGCGCCCAGGUCACCAGGGCGGGCGCCCUGGGCCUGGCCCCUUUCGGCCUCCGUCUUCUUCCCGUGGCUUCUGGAGUCUUCUAGAUGGUGGAAAAUCGUGCGGUGCGUUGAUAUCUCUAUGUAAUCCCGACAUGUGGGCCUUUCUUCCUUAUUUCCUGAUAACCCCCUGCAGAAAUAGAUAAACAACAAAACUCGUGGAAUUCUGUCAGAUCAAACCCUAAUUCUAGGUGUUAGUUGCAUAUUGGUCCUUUCUCUUGUUUAUUUGAUAAUUAAAAUUGAUACUUAAGAACCGUCAACAAUUACCAAGAAAUGAUAGAUAUUAUCCAAGGGUAACUCCGAUCUCUAUAUAUUAAAUUCUGCUCUUUUAACUUGGUAAUGGAUAAUUAAUAAUGAUCGUUUUAUUGCUAGGGUUUGGGCUGGGUUCGUGCAGAAACACCGUCCAGAGUUGAAUGCAGCACUUUCAAAGCCAAUCUUACUUCAGUAGGUUCUACGACAGACACUGGGCAACAAUUUGUGUGGCUACUAUGUGUGCGAGUUUAUGACGGUGUAUGCCAAAAGAACUAAUCUUGAGCACCUAAAAGUAUGUAACAUGUAUAUAUAAUAAGUUUAUUUCAUUUAUUUGUUGCUAUUUAAUAAAUCCUAUUCAUACCUCUAACUUUUUUCUUUAAUGUCUAUUAAAGGAGAUGUGGCUGAAGGAGCAGGUGUUGGAUGCGGUGCACCUAAAAGGAAUUCAGGAGACAAUCACAGGAUUUCUUAACGACCAAGUCCUGGAUUCCGGCGGCGAGUGCUACUUCAACCCUCAGGAGCAGAUGAAACCAAAUAACGAUGAUCAUUUGUACGAUGCUUGAGUGGUGGAGAUAAAUUGUGUUGUAAAUACUUUGUCCGUGAAGCAUAUGUGUAAAUAUUUUAUUAUGGACCUAUAGAUACAUAUUAUUUUUAUAUAUAUAGUGUUUUAUAGUAUAUUUAUAUGUAAUCAUUUAAAUUAUAUAAAUUAUAGGUGCGCGUUCCAUAAACUACCAGCAAACAAUACGCAUUCGAAAAUAACAAUAACAUAAUUGUAAACCCUAAAUGGAAAACCAAAUGAAAAGAAAAAGAAAAAAGAAAAAAGACUUUAGUCCCGGUUGGUAGCAACAACCGGGACUAAAAGUGGAGGCCAGGUGGCACACCCUGGCGCACCUUUUAGUCCCGGUUGCUGUUACCAACCGGGACUAAAGGUGGACCUUUAGUCCCGGUCUACGGAAUCGGGACUAAAGGUGGGACAUUUAGUCUCGAAACCUUAGCUCCGGUUUCCGUAGCCGGGACUAAAGGCGCUUACGGCCCGGGGCUAAAGCCCUUCCCUGUACUAGUGUAGUUGGGGAGUGAAAAGUUUUUAAGUGUCAUAUUGGAUGUUUUAUAAGAUGUUGGAAGAAGUAUUUAGAUACUAAAAAAACUAAUUACAUAGCUCACUUGAAAACUGCGAGACGAAUUUAUUAAAUCUAAUUAAUUCAUCAUUAGCACAUAUAAGUUAUUGUAGGACUAAUUAGGCUUAAAAGAUCCGUCUCGCGAUUUACAAUCAAAUUGUUCAAUUAGUUUUUGUUUUUGUAUACAUUUAAUGCUUCAUGCAUGUGUCCCAAGAUUCGAUGUGAUGGAUAAAAUUUUUUUGAAUGGAAACUAAGGCCUUGUUUAGAUCUAUUUUUUUACAUUGUAGCACUUUCGUUUUUAUUUGACAAGCAUUAUUCAAUCAUGGAGUAAUUAGGCUUAGAAGAUUCGUCUCGCGAUUUACAAGCAAAUUAUACAAAUUAAUUUUUGUUUUCAUCUAUAUUUCAUGCUUCAUGUAUGUGCCAUAAAAUUUGAUGUGAAUGAGAAUUUUAAAAAAUUUUUAGUCUUUAGAGUGAACUAAACAAGGGCUAAACAAGCCUUGGUUGGUUGGAAGCGAAGCUAGAAAUGGACGAUGCCAGGUGGUUGGUGUGGGUGGCGUUGGGGGCACACUGGUGGUCUCGUGAGCGUCCUCGCGAGACUUGCGAAGGUGAGCAUCUGCCAAAAUCUGCUUCAUGCCUUAUGUUAGGUGCAGGGUUAUUUUGGUCUUUUCUUGCUGCCUGGGUAAAAAUAAGAAUAUAUUAAAAUAAGGUCUUGUUUCCUCUCGGGAUUCGGCGCUUUUAAGAAGAUUAAGUGUAUAUUUUCUAUUGCGCCGGUGGGAAAUUUGGAGAAAUCGCGGGAUCGGACGCAGUGCGUGGAGGCACCGAACGCUGGCCUGAGCGUCCGGUGUGCUGUCAGUGCUUGGCCCUAUUAGUGUUGAGCACCGGACGCACUGCAGCAGACGCAGAGUGUUUUCUGUUCAUGCGUCCGGUGUGGCCUGACUUAAGCAAAGGUUGUUUGUCAGAGAGCACCGGACGCUCUGAGUGCGUCCGGUGGUGUGCGUCUGGUGUGAGGGAGUUUUGUAACCCUCUCUGCGCACGAGUCCGGUGAGCACCGGAGCGUCCGGUGCUCAGAGUCCGGUGAGAUCUGAGUUUUUACAAACUCUCUACGCACGAGUCUGGUGCUCACUUGGUCGCGUCCGGUAGUCCACAGGUGACCGUUAGAGUCUGACGCGCGAGAUUCAAAGGAGGACACGUGGCCAAUCUCAGAGCACCGGACGCAGGGGGUCGAGCGUCCGAUGAUCACUUGGUAGCGUCCGGUGCCCCCGAUUUCAGCCCAGUGAAAAAGUCAACGACUCUAUUUGUUGAGGGGGCUUAUAAAUAGAAGGUGGCCGGCUUUGGGAGGCUAACUCUUGCACAUUUGAAUACUUAAGGCAUACUUUGAGCUAAAGAACACUCCCUCCACUCAUCUCCUUUCUUAAUUGCUAAUCUUUGUGAGAUUGAGUGAGAUUCAAGUACUUUGCUUUGAGAGUUGCAUCUAGUGGCACUUGAUUCUUGACUUUGUUGCGGAUUUCUUGUUACUCUCGGGUGUUUUCCGAUGCCCUAGAUGGCUUGGAGCAGCGGUGGUGUUGAGCUCGUGAUUGGAGAUUGUUUCGAGCCUCACCAAGUGUUCUGUGAGGGGUUCUUGAGCCUUCCCCGCGGGAGAUCGCAAUUGGCUACUCUAAUAGAUUGCUAGUGGCUUGUAAGAUCCUCAUCUUGUGAGUGGAUGUGCGGCACCCACUGAGGGUUUGGCUUUGGAUUGCCAAUUAGCUCGUGAUCCAUCAAGUGGGUGUAUCGCCACAACGAGGACUAGCUUGCCGGGAAGCAAGUGAACCUCGGUAAAAAAUCUUGUGUCAUCUCUUGCCGAGGAUUCUCUUGUGAUUGUGAGUGAUUGGUUGGAUAUAUCUCUACUCUACAACGUUGGUUUAACAAUCACUCUCAACUCCUUUACUUACUUGUAUACCUUGCUGCUAGUUGUUUAGUUUAGUCUUCUUGUUUAGGAGUGAAAUUAGCUCUCUCGUGUUGUUGUGUUUUAGUGUUUAGCCUUGUACUAGUUUGUAUAGGUGGCUUGCAUAGCUUAGUUGAGCUAGUGCUAGAAUUGCUUCGCCAUUUGUUUAACUAACUCACUUGCUUAGUGAAGUUUGUAGAAUUAUUCAUCUCCCUCUAGCUAUUUGGACCUUUCACAUAUAGACUUUACUUGGCAUAGCUCAACUUCACUACUGAAGUUAUUUCUUGUAGAAAAGAGUUUUAUGAACAACUGUUUAAAUAAAGUCGAGCUGUUUUGAAAAAGCUACUCCCUCCAUCCCAAAUUGUAAGUCAUUCCAAGAAUCUUGGAGAGUCAAACUUUUCUAAAUUUGAUCAAAUUUAUAUUAUAAAAUAAUAAUUAUUAUGAUACUAAUUAAGUAUCAUUAGAUUCUUUCUUAAUUAUAUGUUCAUAGUAUAUUCACUUUACGUUACAAAUCUUAAUAUUUUUCUCUAUAAUUUUGGUCAAACAUUAAAAUGCUUUGACUCUCCAAGAUUCUUGGAAUGACUUACAAUUUGGGAUGGAGGGAGUAUUUGGCAAACAGCUUCGCUAGCAAUUUCAUGCAUAGAUAAAAGAAAAAAAAUGAGAGAUAGCUAGAAUAAGCUAUUUUUCGAGCGUUAUCUAAACUCAUGUCUUUGUAAGUAAAAAACAUUACUGCACCUAUAAAGCUGUUUUGAAAAAUAGUAUUCGGAUAAAUUACUAUAAUCCAAAAAUCACCGUAUUGCUGCAUUCUAAAUUUGCAAUAUUAAUUUAUUUUAAAAACAAAAUCACAUUUUAGUUGCUUAUUAUAAGAUUUAUUACAAAAUCCCUGGUACUGAUUUCAGUUCGGGUUUCCGUGUCCAUUUCCCUUCUCUCACAGUCAACAGGACCCCGAACCCUAAAACCUCCAAACCCCAGCAAUGGCGGAUUGCCCCUCGUUCCGCCGCCACCCGCUCGCCUCCUCCAUCGACCUCGUCCGCUGGCUCCCAUCCUCCUCCACCUCCCCUUCCGGUCGCCUCCUCGCCGCUGCCGCCCACGACCCCACCUCCGCCCCCGCCGCCUCCAGCAUCCACCUUCUCCCCCUCUCCGACCCCGGCUCCCCGCUCGCCUCCCUCCCGCUCCCGUCCCGCGCCACGGCACUCCGCUGCUCCACUGCUGCGCUCGCCGCUGCCACCUCCUCGGGUUCGCUCCACUUCCUCCCCUCCUCGUUUGACUCGGACGCCGCAGUGUCCGUCCCCGGCGGCGCGGGCUUCCAUGUGGGCCCUGUCCGGGGCCUCGACUGCGGCGGGGAGGAGUGGGUCACAGCGGGGGAGGACGGAAGAGUGCAUGUGGUCGGCGGCGCAGCGGACGGGAGAGUGGUGGCGAGGAGGGUGUGGGACGGGAAAGGAAUGUCAGGGUAUGAAGCCGCCAGGUGGGCGUCGCCGGUGGAGUUCGCCACGGGGGGCGCCGGAUGUGGCGUGCAAUGGUGGGAUCGGAGGAAAGGGGACGCCGUCGUGGCGCAGUGUAACGGCAUCUGGUGAGUGUAGGAAAGCCUGGAUCUAUAGGGUUGUCUUUCUGGUUUAUGUUCCUGUUAACGAUGGAUUUCUGGUAGUUGUAAUAGAUUAUUUUUGUGGUUUUCUUGUGGAUUGGUACGUUAUCUCAGCACCUUUGAAAAUAUUGGCACAUCCACACAUUACUUUGAUGAACAUGUUUCACGAACAUUUUAGUUAUGUCAGCACCUUUCAAAAUAUUGCACAUCCACACAUUAGUUUGAUUAACAUGUUUCACAAACACUUUAGUUAUGUCUGUACCUUUCAAAAUAUUUUCACAUCCAUAUCUUCCAUUAUGGAAGCGGGAAGCCUAACUCAAUGUUCACCAUUUGUAAUAAAUGUUCCUAGCCAUGCAUAAGCUCUGGUGCAGAGGUCAGAUUAUUGUGCAUCUCUAUCAUUUUUUUUAUGUUUUGGCUGUGCACUACCAAAGAUGGUUUCAGUAGGUUUGGUGCAUGCCUGUUAAUAUUGAAGAUACUUUCUGGAUGGUUUCAUGCAUGUCUGUUACUAUCUUUGUUCUGAACUGAUAAAUGAGACUGUCAUUUCAGUUUAUUGUAGCAGUGCAAUAGUUGUAGUCACUGCUUGGUUUCAUUCCAAUCUCACCCACUCCACUUCUAUGUGAGUACAUUUGUAAGAUCUUGAUGACAUCUGUGAAUUGUGGUUAAAAGAAAAUCUGGUGUACCAAAAUCAUGCUUAUUCUCCAAAACUCACGUCAUGCAUUAGAGGUUUCUGGUACAUACACAGAAAGAUUACAUUGAGCCAUUGAGGUGAAAUUUAUAGGUUUAAAUUUGUUUUCAACUGGUGUCUGAACCAUAUAUUCUACAAGAUCAAAGUAGUUUUUGUAUCUUAAUUGAACCAGCUCUGGUGGCCUCCUGUAAUUGCCCUCUUUAAAGUGAGUUAACUAUGCUGCUAACAGAUGAGAUAAAAUAGAAAAUAUCGAACUCCAAACAUUCUUGUUGUCAUAUGUUUUUCAUUGUACCUGUUAUGCCAAGCGCUGCUAUCUUGCUGACAAUGGGUGAACUUGCAAAUACAGGGGUCAUGGCAUAGUUACUGGCAUGGUGCAUUCCAUUGACAUUCAUCCGUCAAGAAAGCAUAUCUGUGUGGUAAGAUCAAUAUGUGGUAGCAAAUGCAAGUUUACUUUGAAUAAAUAAAUGAUUUUAGUUAUGUGUUAUGUUCCAUCUUAAUAGUUUUGAGGAUCUAACCUCUAGGAUAACCAAUCGUCCCAAGUACCAUGUAACUUAGUGAUGAACUGAUUUAGGUUGUUGAUGGUUGAGCAAAUUAAUGUACACCAAUAAGCUUCCAUUUGAAAUAUGGAAUUCAUUCAGGAAAUAACCUGUCUAGUACCAACUAUAUCAAGCAGCGUUCAAUCUUUUUUCCCCAAAAUUCCUUUGAAAAUUCAUAUAUAUCCCAAACAGGUCUUGUUUUUUUCAGUAAGAGGUAACCUACAUCAAUUCACUAGAGAAAUCUUGCAAUUGAAGUUUAGACAAAUAGAAAAGAAUCAAGCACCUUGUUUGUCAGUUUCAGUUGUGUUAUUUUCUGGCUUCGAGCCUUCGACGGUUCAGCCAGUGAUGUUAUUUUCUGACUUCAGCCUCAGAGCUAGUAAUUAAUACCUUUGUAAUGAUUUCCAUGUUGAAAAGAAGCUUACCUUGUGUAUAACCCAAAGCAUUUAAAUUGAAAAUACAAAACUAUGAUCUAUAUACACCUUGAAUGCAUUAGGUUAUAUUUGUCGAAGCAGUUUCACUUUCUAUAUUUUCCAAAUGUAAAAUGUUCUUAACAGAGCAGCUUUUUCAUGCAAUCAAGAACCAGAAGGUUAUGUUGGCUUACCUUUUUUUCUGAAACUGAUUUGCUGUUUUGUAGAAUUAUUUUGCCCUAUGAUAUGAAAUAUCCAAAUUCAUUGAAAUAUUUAGUUAAAUUGAGAUGAGUUGGUUAAUGUACCAGUGUCCAUGCCCUCUAGUGUAUGCUCUUGCACCCGUGUAUACCUAAUAAAUGAGCCUGAGCAGUGAGGCAUAUCGGGCCUAGAGGACUCUAGCUAACGUAGUCCACUGGGAGCUUGGACUCUAUGGAUGCAGGUCACUGCAUUGCUGACAGUGAGGAGCAGAAAACUCAUGCUAUUGCUAGUGCGCAGACCCUACCGCUCCAGUUUUAGUCCACCCAUGUUGAGCACAUAGUUGAAAUGAGUUUUAUGGGUGUGAUUACAUGAGUCAUAUCUGCAGCAUGGCUCAUCUCUGAAUGUUUGCAGGUGGGAGGCUCAUCAGGGACCAUAUUUGCCUGGGAUCUGCGGUGGCCACAGCAGCCGAUACCACUCUCUGGUGUAGGCCUUAAUAGAACAGCUGAGCCUGUGUGUGAAAGUGAGGUGUGGGAGGUUCUUUUUGACACUUGCACUCAGUCUUCUGAUAUCAUCUCAUCUGCAUCUGCAAGAAUAUUGCCAGUGAUGAUGUGUUCAGAGGAUGGGAUCCUUGCAGUUGUCGAACAAGGUAAGUGAGAUGUACAUGUAGCGUUCGGAUUGUUGGUGUUUAGUGUUUACUCAUCUUUAAUUAAUGUGCCUUUUUCCGAUUAGCAGAUGAGAGACCCCUUGAAUUGCUUGCUGAAGCUUGUGCUAUCAACUCCUUUGACAUAGAUCCUCAGAACCCCUCUGUAAGUCCUUGACUUCACCUGGUCAAGUGAAAAGUUUUUUGUUAUUUUUUGAGGGGUAACAGUUUUUAUUAUUUAUAGGUAAUGUCAGUAUGUUGUGUUAAUACUGUUAUGGAUUUGUCGCAGGAUGUUGUUUGUGCAUUGGAAUGGGAAUCGAUCGGUGUCCUAACUCGUGGUAGAGAUGCAAUGGCAGAAUAAUGAAAUUUUUCACCACCCAGGGAUUCCAAUCAGAAUUUUCUGCAAGGUGGCUGAAACUACUGUCAGAAAGAAUCUUCUGACUUCUGAGGGCUUCAUAUUCAGGGACCAUUCUCAUGGUAUUGGGCAACGGUAGAAGGAAUAAAGCGUGCUUGACGAGUGCUCUUUCCUGUCUCUGCAUACUAACCAGGUUUUACUUAUUAUGAGCUUCUGUUGUCAUGGGUAACUGCAGAUUGUAGAAACAUUUUCUGGUGUAGCUCCAAGUUGUGUAAUUGGUUCACUAUUGGAUGCUAACUGCUGACAGUUUGAAGGAGAGUCAUCACAAACAAUUCAUUCCUUUUAGUUGGGGGCUGAUGGACUCAAGGGGCUGUUUGGUUCUUGUGGCGUAUAUUUACACUGCAUGUGCAUGUGGCUGCCACAGUCUAUAGAGCGAACCAAACAGCUGGUUCGCCUUGUGUGGCGUGCAGUAGGUUAGGCUGGCGGAGUGCGGUGUGGAACCAAACAGCCGGUUGAGCUAUAGUUUGUUUCAUAAUGUUUGCGUUUUCCCUAGCACGCCAUGUGGUGUUAAAUCAGCUCCUGAACAUUAUGGACUCCAUUACGUAUUUUAUUCAUCUGGUUGACAAUUUAGAAAUUCUUGUUACUAAUGCAUAACUGAUGAAUCUGAAGGUGGACACGGCUUGUCGAGUGGUACAUCGAUCUAUGUAAUCUAAAGCCAAGGGCAAGACAUCGACAGCUCACACUGGUGCUAUGUAAAUUUUGAAAUAGAAGGCUGUAAAUUUUGAAUAGCGCUUUUUUUUAAUAACAAACAACUUCAUAUAUUAGCAGCAAUGUGCUGCUGAAAUGAUUAAAUCGUUCAAGCGUACCUCAAGAAGGGCUUAGCAACACUGGGGUACAUGAUGCUCAGAUGAGCAUAAAAAGUAAGGUUCCCUGUGAGCUGAGUUCCUGGAAUGCCUAGUAUGAGCUGUAGAGUUUAAGCUUCCGUGGAUCUCGUGGGUAGUAGCUGAAGAAGAGACUGCAUUAUUUGUGUUGAAAGUGAAUGUAAAUUAAUUGCUAAUCUCUAACACUAAUCGUAACUGUUUGUAUGGAUGUCGUACGGAUGAGAUCAUCAGUGAAUGGAUGCCUACUAGGAUUAGGCGUUUCACAACACUCCCCCUUGAUUGAAUCUUCUUUGAUAUUGAUGUAGCUGUAAACUUGGAUUUCUUGAAAAAACCUGUGAGAAAUCUGAGGAAUAUAUAUGUAUAGGUAUAUCAUAAAAGUUCCUUUAAACCUUAUAGGUAAAUAGAGAAAAUAGCAUAUAUGAGUGUGAUUUAAAUAAAUCAUUAUGUCAUUGGUAUCCCAUUAAAAACCCUAGUAGGGAAAAAUAUUGGAGAUAUGACAUAUUGAUUACUCCUCCCAAAACCCUUUUUAGGAAAAAAUAUGAGGAGCAAUAUAAAAUGAUAUGCCGCUAAAACUUCUAUAAAAACUUAGUGGGAAAAUUAGGAUAAAAUGUGACAACCGGUAUUGCCUCUUGGAUAACUCCCACCAAAAAACUUUGCAGGGAAAAACCAUGGAUGAGUUAUGAAGGCAAUGUGUGUCUUUGAUAUUUCCCACAAAAACCCCAAUGGGGAAAAUAGAAAAUAUGACAUAUGCUUAUGUUAAUAUUACCUCAUUAGAAACUUUGACAAGAAACCUUUUGAGUAAAACUUAUAAAAUAAAAGAGUAUAAUAUGAUGCUGGUACAGGUGGCAUUUAGGAGAUGUCUUCUCUUGAUUCUGGCAAAUCUCGAAGUCGUCGCAUACCAAUUCAUGUCAUUUGAGAUUGCAAUUUUACCAAGCCCCUUGACCUUGCCUUUCUUGUUGUUGCCGAAGGUGAUAGAAUCAAAGCCACCAUUUUGAUUUGUAUCAAUUGAUUUGAACAUACAAGACUCUCCAGCCAUAUGUUGAGUGCACCCACUAUCAAGCACCCAAUGUCUUCCUCCGGCUUUGUAAUUAACCUACAAGUCAAGAUCAAUUCCUUUUAGGUACCCAAAUUUGAUUGGGUCCUCUAAGGUUAGCAACUAAGCUCUUUGUUACCCAAAUGACUUUCUUAUUUGAACCCAUCCAUGGUGCACAAAUGAACUUAGCAUGAACACCUUUUGUAUACUUGGUAAGUACAUAGAAAGAAUUAAGCUUAACUCAUGUAUUGUUGCUCUAGGUGACCAACUUGCUUGCAAGCUUUGCAAUACCAACCAUUGUUCUUCACAAAACAUGUCUUGUGAGGAGCAAAGGCGGCCUUGCCUUUCUUGGGGUUAUAGCCCAAUCCCUCUUUGUAGAGAGAAGCUCUUUGGCUACCUAAGCACAUAAGCAAGCGGUCCUCACCACCAUAGGCCUUAGCUAAGGUGUGAUUGAGCUCUUUCACCUCCUUCUUGAGAAUUUCAUUCUCAACCAUCAGUGUGGAGUCACAAGUGAAACCAUCAAUACUAGAUGAGGAUGAUGUAGAUGUGCUACAUGAAGGGUUAGUUGAAGCAAUAACAAUAGGCUUACUUAAGAUAUCACAUGUUAUGCCUAUGUUGCAAGUUUGAGCUUUUUCAGUUUUAGUUGGCAUGGAUUCACAUUUGUCAACUAGAGAGGAAGGAGCUUCUUCAAGCUUAGUGUGAGCCUUUUGAAGCUUCUUAUGGUCUUCCUUUAGAUUCUCAUAAGAUGCUCUAAGCUCAUCAAGUUCUUGCUCAAGGGUUUUCUUAUCCUUAAGUAAGGCCUUGCAUUCCUUCCUAGAUUUUUUAAAGUGUUGUGUGCAAUCUUCUAGCAUAGUGAUUAGUUCAUCUUUAGUUGGUUCAUCAUCAUCACUAUCACUAUCAUUAGCAUGAUCACUCUCAUCAUCGGAUGAUACCUUAGUGGUGUUAGCCAUGAAGCAUGAAGAAGUGUCGAAGAUGGAGCUCUUUCCUUGAAUUGCAAUGCUAGCAUGCCCCUUCUUCUUGGUGCUCUCAUCAUCACUUGAGGAGUCAUCACUAUCCCAAGUUGCAACAUGGGCAUCACUGAAAGGUCCUUGUUUGGUUUUGGUAAUUGAGUGACAACUUAGGUGGACUAAUAGUGUUUAUGUGAGAUACACAGGAGAUUAGUCCACAGGUGAUGAUGCGAUGAUGGAGGAGCUCAUUGCACAUGAGACAUGACAUGGAGUCAUGUGACCAAGGUGGAGAAGAUCAAGAUGAGGCUUGGCUUGAUGGACCGAUUGCAAGAGUGAAGGGCAAGUCGGAGGCUUUGAAGCGAGGGACCGCGUGUGACGGUGAAGCUUGAGCAAGACUUGGCGCCGAUGGACCGAGGCAACGGUGAAGAGCAAGUGAGGUCAAGAUCGAUGAACCAAUACGAUCACGUGAUGAUAUGAAGUGGAUCAUAUCAUUUGGUGAUUGGUUGGUGCAUGUGUUGCAUCAAUAUUGGAGGAGAUAGAAUGGAAAGCGCAAGGCAAAGGUAUAACCUAGGGCAUUUCCAUUUCACCGGUCAUAGGUGUGUAGAGAAGUUUAUGACUAGAUUUAGGAUAGAUGGCCGUACUAUCAAGAGGGGCAAACUUGUUUGCAUAUCGGUCAUCUAGUGCCACUUGAGCGAUCUAACUUUGCAUACGUGUUAGAAUCGAGUGGCGUGGCAAGUUGAGAGGCUAACUCCUUUGGGAAAAUGUUUGUGAAAAGCUAACACACUUGCACUUUGGUGGUGGACACUUGUUGGUGUUAGCACAUUUGCAAAGGAGGUGGAGUUCCUAGGGUUGAGAGGGGUGUGGGUUCCUCGGCGCUUUUGAGAAAAUUAAGUGCAUAUUUUCUAUUGCGCCGGUGGGAAAUUUGGAGAAGUCACGGGAGUGUUUCUCAGUAGGAAACACUCACCGGA